GCAUCAACCGUGUGUGUAGCCGUGAUGGUCUCUUUUCGGUGGAGUCCGAGAAGUGAACACGGUUUUGGGUAAUGUUUGACGUAAGUAGGAGUUCAGGAUCACCUCUUGAUCAUUACUAGCUUCACGACCAUUCCGUUUGUUCUCUUCUCGCUCUUAUUUGCGUAUGUUAGCCACCAUACUUGCUUAGUCGCUGCUGCAACCUCACCACUUUAGCUCUUCCUUGCCCAUUAAGCUUUGCUAGUCUUGAUACCCAUGGUAAUGGGAUUGCUGAGUCCUCGUGGCUCACAGAUUACUACAACAACAGUUGUAGGUGCAGGUUAUGCGAUGAUCAUGACGCGAGAGCUAUGUUUGCUUGUUUUGGAGUUCUUCUUCUGCUUCUUCUUCAAUCAGGGGAUAGGUUCUAGGUCGGCAGCCUGGGCUAGCAGGGUGGAUGUCGUUUGAGUUUCUGUUUGUGUUUCAUCCGUAGUCAGAUGGUGCCCUUAUGUAAGAUGAUGUCGUAUUCGUGUGGCAUUGUAUGCCUUUUGUAUGUAUCCCCGUCUAUUAUGUAAUGUUGAUGUAAUGAUAUCCACCUUGCAAAAGCGUUUCAAUAUGCGGGUCUAUCCUUGGUGGGACCUUUGAGUUCCUCUUGGAUAGGGUCGCAUAUUGGGCGUGACAAUAACCUCGUAUAAAUCAUUUUACACUAUAGUUGAACUAGCUCUAUAAACUAGUAUAGAUAAUUUUACACUAGAAUUGAACUAGCUCUAUAACCUAGUACGAUUUUUUUACAUUAGAGUUGAACUAGCUCUAUAAUGUAAUACAAAUAAUUUUACACUAGAAAAAUGAACGAGCUCUAUAACCUAGUACACAUAUUUUACACUAGCAUGGUACUAGGGCUGUAACCUAGUACAAAUCAUUUUACACUAGAGUUGAACUAGCUCUAUGACCUAGUACACACAAUUUUAUACUAGAGUUGAACUAGCUCUAUAACCUAGUACAAAUCAUUUUACACUAUAGUUGAACUAGCUAUAUAACCUAGUACAAAUAAUUUUACACUGGAGUUGAACUAGCUCUAUAAUGUAGUACAAAUCAUUUUACACUAUAGUUAAACUAGCUCUAUAAACUAGUACAAAUAGUUCUACACUAGAAAUGAACUAGCUCUAUAACCUGGUACACAUAAUUUUACACUAGUGUUGAACAAGGGGAAUAACCUAGUACAAAUCAUUUUACACUAUAGUUGAACUAGCUCUAUAACCUAGUACAUAUAAUUUUACACUAGAGUUGAACUAGCUCUAUAACCUAGUACAAAUAAAUUUACACUAGCGUUGAACUAGGUCUAUAACCUAGUACAAAUCAUUUUACACUAUAGUUUAACCAUCUCUAUUAUCUAGUACAAAUAAUUUUACACUAGAAUCGAACUAGCUCUAUAACCUAGUAUAAAUGAUUUUACACUAUAGUUGUACUAGCUCUAUAACCAAGUACAAAUAAUUUACACUAGAAAUGAACAAGCUCUAUAACCUGGUACACAUAAUUUUACACUAGCAUUGAACUAGGGUGAUAACCUAGUACAAAUCGUUUUAAAUUAGAGUUGAACUAGCUCUAUAACCUAGUACAAAUAAUUUUACUAUAGAGUUGAACUAGCUCUAUAACCUAGUACAAAAAUUUUUACACUAGAGUUGAACUAGUUCUAUAACCUAGUACAAAUCAUUUUACACUAUAGUUGAACUAGGUCUGUAAACUAGUACAAAUAACUUUACACUAGAAUUGAACUAGCUCUAUAACCUAGUACAAAAAAAAUUACAAUAGAGUUGAACUAGCUCUAUAACAUAGUAUAAAUAAUUUUACACUAAAAAUGAACUAGCUCUAUAACCUAGUACACAUAAUUUUACACUAGCAUUGUACUAGGGCUAUAACCUAGUACACAUCAUUUUACACUAGAGUUGAACUAGCUCUAUGACCUAGUACACAAUUUUAGACUAGAGGUGAGCUAGCUCUAUAUCCUAGUACAAGUAAUUUUAAACUGGAGUUGAACUAGCUCUAUAACCUAGUAACAAUAAUUUUACACUGGAGUUGUACUAGCUUUAUAACCUAGUACAAAUAAUUUUACACUAGAAAUGAACUGGCUCUAUAACCUAGUACAAAUCAUAUGACAGUAGAGUAGAAAUAGCUCUAUAAAUUAUUACAAAUAACUUUAGACUAGAGUUGAACUUGCUCUAUAACCUAGUACAAACAGUUUUACACUAGAGUUGAAUUAGCUCUAUAACCUAGUUCAAAUAAUUUUACACUAAAUUUGAACUUCCCCUAUAUAUUAGUACAAGUAAUUUCACACUAGUGUUGAACCAGCUCUAUAACUAAAGAUAAAUAUUUUUACACUAGAGUUGAACUAGCUCUAUAACCUAGUACAUAUAAUUUUACACUAGAGUUGAACUAGCUCCAUAACCUAGUACAAAUCAUUUUACACAAGAUUUGAACUAGCUCUAUGACCUAGUACACACAAUUCUAGACUAGAGAUGAUCUAGCUCUAUAACCUAGUAAUUUUACACGUAAUUUUACAUUAGGGUUGAACUAGGGUUGUAAGCUAGUAAAAUAAUUUUACACUAUAGUUUAACUAACUCUAUAACCUAGUACAAAUAAUUUUACAGUACUAGCUCUAUAACCUAGUACAAAUAAUUUUACACUAGAGUUGAAUUAGCUCUAUAACCUAGUACAAAUCAUUUUACACUAGAGUUGAACUAGCUCUAUAACCUAGUACAAAUAAUUUUACACUAGAAAUGAACUAGCUCUAUAAAUUAGUACAAAUAAUUUUGCACUAGAAUUGAACUAGCUCUAUAACCUAGUACAAAUACUUUUACACUAGAGUUGAACUAGCUCUAUUUCCUAGUACAAAUAAUUUUACACUUGAAAUGAACUAGCUCUAUAACCUGGUACACAUAAUUUUACACUAGCGUUGAACUAGGGCUAUAACCUAGUACAAAUCAUUUUCCACUAUAGUUGAACUAGCUCUAUUAUCUACUACAAAUAAUUCUACACUAGAGUUGAACUAGCUCUAUAACCUAGUACAAAUCAUUUUACACAAGAUUUGAACUAGCUCUAUGACCUAGUACACACAAUUCUAGACUAGAGAUGAUCUAGCUCUAUAACCUAGUACAAAUAAUUUUAAACUAAAGUUGAAAUCUCUCUAUAACCUAGUACAAAUAAUUUUACACUAGAGUUGAACUAGCUCUAUAACCUAGUACAAAUCAUUUUACACUAGAUUUGAACUAGCUCUAUAACCUAGUACAAAUCAUUUUACACUAUAGUUGAACUUGCUCUAUAACUAGUACAAAUAAUUUUACACAAGAAUUGAACUAGCUUUAUAACCUAGUACAAAUAAUUUUAAACUAGAGUUGAACUAUCUCUAUAACCUAGUACAAAUAAUUUUACACUAGAGUUGAACUAGCUUUAUAACCUAGUACGAAUAAUUUUACACUAGAGUUGAACUAGAUCUAUAACCUAGUACCAAUAAAUUUACACUAGAGUUGAACUAGUUAUAUAACCUAGUACAAAUAAUUUUACACUAGCAUUGAACUAGGGCUAUAACCUAGUAAAAAUCAUUUUCCACUAUAGUUGAACUAGCUCUAUUAUCUAGUACAAAUAAUUUUACACUAGAAUUGAACUAGCUCUAUAACCUACUACAAAUCAUUUUACACUAGAGUUGAACUAGCUCUAUGACCUAGUACACACAAUUUUAGACUAGAGUUGAACUAUAUAUAUAAACUAGUACAAAUAAUUUUAAACUAGAGUUGAACUAGCUCAAUAACCAAGUACAAAUAAUUUUACACUAGAGUUGAACUACCUCUAUAACCUAGUACAAAUAAUAUUACACUAGAGUUGAACUAGCUCUAUAACCUAGUACAAAUCAUUUUACACUAGAGUUGAACUAGCUCUAUGACCUAGUACACACAAUUUUAGACUAGAGUUGAACUAGCUCUAUAACAGAAUACAAAUAAUUUUAAACUAGAGUUGAACUAUCUCUAUAACCUAGUACAAAUAAUUUUACACUAGAGUUGAACUAGCUCUAUAACCUAGUACAAAUAAUUUUAAACUAGAGUUGAACUAGCUCUAUAGCCAAGUACAAAUAAUUUUACACUAGAGUUGAACUAGCUCUAUAGCCAAGUACAAAUAAUUUUACACUAGAGUUGAACUAGCUCUAUAACCUAGUACAAAUCAUUUUACACUAUAGUUGAACUAGCUCUAUAACCUAGUACAAAUAAUUUUACACUAGAAAUGAACUUGCUUUAUAACCUAAUACAAAUAAUUUUACAAUGAAGUUGAACUAGCUCUAUAAGCUAGUACAAAUAAUUUUACAUUAGGAAUGAACUAGCUCUAUAACCUAGUACACAUAAUUUUACACUAGCACUGUACUAGGGCUAUAACCUAGUACAAAUCAUUUUACACUAGAGUUGAACUAGCUCUAUGAUCUAGUACACACAAUUUUAGACUAUAGUUGAACUACAUCUAUAAGAUAGUACAAAUAAUUUUAAACUAGAGUUGAACUAGCUGUAUAACCUAGGACAAAUAAUUUUAGACUAUAGUUGAACUAGCUCUAUAACCUAGUACAAAUACUUUUACACUAGAAUUUAACUAGCUAUAUAACCUAGUACAAAUAAUUUUACACUAGAGUUGAACUAGCUCUAUAACCUAGUACAAAUAAUUUCACACUUGAAAUGAACUAGCUUUAUAACCUAGUACACAUAAUUUUACACUACCAUUGUACUCGGCUUAUAACCUAGUACAAAUCAUUUUACACUAUAUUUGAACUAGCUCUAUAACCAACUACAAAUAAUGUUACACUAGAAUUGAACUAGCUCUAUAACCUAGUGCAAAUCAUUUUACAGUAGAGUAGAACUAGCUCUAUAAACUAUUACAAAUAAUUUUAGACUAGAGUUGAACUUGCUCUAUAACCUAGUACAAACAGUUUGCCACUAGAGUUGAACUAGCUCUAUAACCUAGUUAAAAUAAUAUUACACUAGAGUUGAACUUGCUCUAUAUAUUAGUACAAGUAGUUUCACACUAGUGUUGAACGAGCUCUAUAAACUAAGACAAAUAUUUUUACACAAGAGUUGAACUAGCUUUAUAACCUAGUACAUAUAAUUUUACACUAAUGUUGAACUAGCUCCAUAACCUAGUACACAUAAUUUUACAUUAGCAUUGAACUAGGGCUAUAAGCUAGUACAAAUCAUUUUACACUAUGCUUGAACUAACUCUAUAACCUAGUAAAAAAAUUACACUAAAAUUCUACUAGCUCUAUAACCUAGUACAAAUCAUUUUACACUAGAGUUGAACUAGCUCUAUAACUUAGUACAGAUAAUUUUACACUAGAAAUGAACUAGCUCUAUAAACUAGUACAGAUAAUUUUACACUAGAGUUGAACUAGGUCUAUAACCUAGUGCAAAUACUUUUACACUAGAGUUGAACUAGCCCUAUAACCUAGUACAAAUAAUUUUACACUUGAAAUGAACUAGCUGUGACGCCUGGAUAAUUAAGCUAUAGUAAACCCUCUUUAAUGGUGCCAUGUCAUCACAUUACUGUUGCUAAUCCUCGGUUGAUCCAAGUCACAAUCAAAAUUCAAAUUUAAAAUAAAAGUCCAAGAUUCAAAUUUCUCAAAAUACAAAAUAAAAUGUUCAAAGUGUGAAAAAUAUUCCAUAGCUAAUUAUAGUGGUGACCCAACAUUUUUAUAAAGUGAUUAAUUGCACUAAACUAAAUAAUCAUUGGCUAAAAUAAUAAGUUAAAUGCUUUUAAAAUUUAUAAAAAUGCUAAACUAUUUUAUUUAAACCUCAAACCUGUUGUGGCAGUGGUAUAAAUAGAAAUACUAAUUUAGGAACAAAUUCAAUGUUUUAUAAAACUCUAAUGAAUUAAAAAUCAAAACAAAACAACAAAAAUGGUAAAAGUAAAUGAGAAAGAAAAGAGCCCCACUAAUUCCCCUGGGCCUUGGCCACUGGACAGGCCCAGCAAACCCACCAAACCCCCACGGUCGCCCCUCCCUUCCUGUUCCCCUGGCACAGUCGCAAUAGGGGCAUGGUUGCCCUUGACCGUCUCGCCGACGCCGACGGGGAGGGGAUAAGGACACCUUCCCCUCGGUCCCCUCGUCUCCCCGCUGCACUUCCCCUUCUCCUCCUCAAUUCCUCCUCCCCCCUCUCGCCAGAUCCGCUCCAUCCGCGGCACCUCGACGCCGACACCACCUCGCCCCGACAUCGUCCCAAGGGCUCGCCGUCGCCAUGGACGCAGCCACCAGCCUCCCCUCUCCGUUCCGAGCUAUCCGACAGCUCCAUCGCGGAUGCCUUCCUCCUCCUCGUAGACGAGAUCGGACCGGGACGGCCCCGCAGCACCGCCCCGACCCCUUCGACCACCUCGGAACGCCACCGCGCCGUCUGCCUCCUCCACUACGACGGCGGGCUUCCUCCACUUCGACCGCCUGCUGCUCCUAAACCUCUCGCCGAGCCGCCGUGUGCUCCUAGGUGAGCACCACGUCCAAACUCCCCUUCUCCUAUUUGAUUUGACACCGUAGUAUGCUGCGACCGACUCGCCCGAAGCUCCACGCGCCCGUUCCUCCCCUACACGCGCUCGCGCUCCCCUGGCCCGCACACGCAUGGCACCGUCGCUGUCAUCUCGCACUCGCGCCGGAACAUGCUCGUUGGGAUCCCCUACUAUGCCCGGGCCACAACCCUUCUCGUCUGCCCACGCCUCCAAUUACAAGCACGCGCGCUCCCCUGCACGCCCGACACUACUCGCUGCUCCCCGCGCUGGUCAUGCCUUGCGCGUGCGCACGCGUCGGUGUGCGUGCCUGCUGCUACCAGCGGCUACUGCUUCUAGUUGCCCACUGCUGCUGCCGCUUGCUACUCGUCUACUGCUACUGAUGCUAACUGAUGAUAGCAAUUGUAGCUACUAGCUAGCUUUUUAGUUUUUACAUUGAGUAACCCCCUAAACAGCCCCUAAACUUUGGUUAAACAACUGUUAACAAGGCUAAAAAUAAUAUUAGUAGAAAGUACACUUGACAAUGCUUAAAUGUGUCCAUUGGACCAAAUCCAUUUGACGCAUGGAAUAAAUCCUAUGAAAAUCACAAAAUGUAUCUUUUGUUAGUAGAAAACAGAACUGUGUGUGCGUGUGUGUGGUGGCCGGCCGGCUCUCCGUUAGCUAAUUAGUACUCCUACUUGUUAGUCUAAUCAGUGGUUAGGUAUAGUGCAAAUGACAGGUGGACCCCCCCUCCAAAUAUCCACUUAAAAAGAAUAUGCAAGAUAUGUGUGAAUGACACCUAGGCCACAUCUACAGUUUUGACCAGUCAACAGUCAAACUAUUGACUGUUGACUGAGUCAACUGGGCCCCCCUGGACCCACUCUCAGCCUCUAGUGGCCCUGCUGUGUACACUCUGCCAGGUGCACAUAUGUAACGCCCCAGAUUCGAUGCGCCAGGUGUCUGCCAGUUAUUCGCCUUCUUUCCCAUGUCAUUUGCUUGCGUGUUGCAUUUUAUCAUGUCAUCAUGUGCAUCUCAUUUUGCAUACGUGUUUGUCUCAUGCAUCCGAGCAUUUUCCCCGUUGUCCGUUUUGCGAUCCGACACUUCUAUGCCCUCCAGCGUUCUCCUUUUUGUCUCCUGUUGUGAGCGGGUGUUAAACGUUCUCGGAAUGGACCGAGGUUUGCCAAGCGGCCUUGGUAUAGCACCUGUAGACCGCCUGUCAAGUUUCGUGCCAUUUGAAGUCCGUUUGAUACUCCAACGGUUAAUCGGGUAACUGUAAAGCCUCUUUUGUUUGCAGCCCAACACCCCUUCAAAGUGGCUCAAAACCCAGCAAACUCCCCUCCAUGCUCUCGGUCGUUCGAUCACGAUCGUGUGGGCGAAAACCGUGCCUCAUUUGGACCCUCCUAGCUCCCUCUACCUAUAUAUUAGUCCCCCUUCCCCGAUUUCGCGGAUGAACCCUAGCUCCUUCCUCCCUCCGCGCCGCCGGACACGUCCGGAUCGGCCGGACAUGUCCAGCCGCCGCCGCCUGAGCCAAUCGACGCGCGCCACCUGUCCCUCCCCGUCCCGCGCGCCGCCGCGGGCCCACGCUAGCCCGGCAGCCCCCGUCGCCCGAGGCCCGAGGCGCCAGCCUCCACCGCCGCGCCUCCCGUCGCCUCCGCCGCCGUUCGCCACCGCCGCUGCCGCGGCAAGCCGCUGGAGCUUCCCGUNNNNNNNNNNNNNNNNNNNNNNNNNNNNNNNNNNNNNNNNNNNNNNNNNNNNNNNNNNNNNNNNNNNNNNNNNNNNNNNNNNNNNNNNNNNNNNNNNNNNNNNNNNNNNNNNNNNNNNNNNNNNNNNNNNNNNNNNNNNNNNNNNNNNNNNNNNNNNNNNNNNNNNNNNNNNNNNNNNNNNNNNNNNNNNNNNNNNNNNNNNNNNNNNNNNNNNNNNNNNNNNNNNNNNNNNNNNNNNNNNNNNNNNNNNNNNNNNNNNNNNNNNNNNNNNNNNNNNNNNNNNNNNNNNNNNNNNNNNNNNNNNNNNNNNNNNNNNNNNNNNNNNNNNNNNNNNNNNNNNNNNNNNNNNNNNNNNNNNNNNNNNNNNNNNNNNNNNNNNNNNNNNNNNNNNNNNNNNNNNNNNNNNNNNNNNNNNNNNNNNNNNNNNNNNNNNNNNNNNNNNNNNNNNNNNNNNNNNNNNNNNNNNNNNNNNGACGAGUGCGCCCGCCGCCCCUGCCUCGCGCCUCGUCAGCCGCCCGCUCGCCCGCCCUCCGCCGCCGUCCGGCCUCGUCUCCGCCGCCGUGGGCGCCGGAUCCGGCGAGGAGCGCCUCGGAUCCGGUCGUCCUCCUCCUCUCCGGCCACGUCCCCGGCCAACUCCGGCGAGGCCCCCGGAUCGGGAUGAGAUCCACCAGGAGCCGAACCAAACGCGGUGUUCCCGGAUCCCUCCGUCCCGCUCCGCCCCGUCCCGCGUUGACUUUUCGCGGAGGUAAAAUUCCGCUAAGUCCCUGAGAUUUUUGCAUUUUGGUGCCCUAUUCAACGCAUCAUAACUCCAUGCAUACUGUUCCGUUUCAUGCGUGUAAUAUGUCAAAUUGUUCGUUGUGAGAUGCUCUACAAUUCAUUCCAUUGUGCCAUGCGUGUUUGAGGUCAUCUUGAUGCCUGAAUCAUCGUUGCAAGAGUGCUAUGUGAUGUUAAUAUGCUGAAACUGUUAUAACUUGGUGAUUUGUCAUUUUUGUUGCAUUUGAUGUGUGCAUCCUUUGAGCAUGAGUCCUACAUGAGUUUUGACCUAUGACAUGCCAUCUUUACAGAAGUGCUAUCCAUGUAUUUUUGUGAGUUGUGUAGUGAGUGCAUCAAGCUUGUUAAGGAGGGUACUUGCUGUUACUGUUUUGCUAGGAUGAAUCUGUUAUUUCGGGAUGCUAUGUAAACCUGCUGCUACAAGUCAUUCUAUACAUAAUCUGGAGAUGUUCACUAAGGAUGAUUUGUUACACAUGUCAUUUUAUAUCCAUCCAUGCCCUUGGUUGCAUUUAUAGCUUGUUGUAGAUUGUUGUAAUCUUGCUCUCAACUUGCUAAAUAAUGUUGAUGUCAGCCUGUUAACAUUAAGUUCAAUGUUGCCAUGAUUGUUGUUAGUUAUCCAUGCACCCUAUGAGCUUGCUAUUGCCAUUCUUAGCUCGACAAACAUGUAUGUUACUGUUGGUUGCCGUGUCAUGCCAUGUAUUGCUAUGUGGUGAGUGGUUCAAGCUCACCAACAUGCCUACUUAUUGUUAUUCCUGCCAUGUAUGAAUCUGUCAUAUAACUUGCUAUGUUUACAUGGGUGCCAUCAUAUUUUCUGUGCCCUUUUGGCUCAUGGUCAGUAAGGGACUUUUGUUCUACACAUUUAGUAGGUUCAUGCCAUGCCUUUUUUUCUAUGAUAUGUUCCUGUAGCAUGUUGUUUGAUAGCUCUAAACAUUGCAACCUGAUGUUAUUUCUGUAAAGUCUGAAACUGUUAUUAUUUGCAAUCUUGCCAUGUCCUUUUGAGCAUGUUGUAGUGAUUUCUGGAGAUAUCUCAGUGUUCAUGUUUUGUUAUGCUUUACCUAUACAUCAUGUCCAUGCCUUUUGUUAUCAUGUUAGGAUGCUAUAGCAUGUUGUUUUGAUGCUUGCAAGAUGCCUAGUUGCUGUUUUGGACAGAUUGUUGUUAUGACUUGUAUAGUGUAUGUGUUGCACCGUUGCUCCGUUUUGAGUGUGCUUUAUAUGAAACUUGUUUGUUUUUUCAUGUAUCUUCAUAUUAUCAUGUUGCAUCCUUGUUUUGAGGUGUUUGCUUGAUGUUUAAAUGUCUUUUGCAUCAAUGCCAUGUUUAACUUGUUUUGCUCAUAUCUUCUAGGUCGUAGCUCCGAAUCUAAUGAACUUUAUAUGUAACUUGACUAGAAUCUCGUGUAGAUCAUCUUGGUGCAUCUUAACUUGUUGUUUAACAACUUGAACAUAAGGUUUAUUCAGAUCUGGACCAACUUCGAAAUUUACAUAUGAGGACUUACCAGAAUUGUUAUAUGUUGUUCCCGGCCUCAUUUAAACUUGCUUUGAUGUGUUGCUCUUGUUUGCAUCAUCUCUUACCAUGAGUAGCUUCAUGUAGCUUUGUCAUGCAUCAUGAUUGUUGUGUAUCAUGUCUUGUAUAUGUGUGGUGUGUUUACCAUGUUGUGUGCUUCUUCUCGAUAGUUCCCGUUUUGUUGCGAUCGUGAGGAUUCGUUCGUCUAUGCUUGGUUCAUCUUCGUGGCUUCAUCUUCUUCAUGGACUUGUUCUUCUUCCUUGCCGGGUUUCAGGCAAGAUGACCGCUACCCUGGAUCUCACUACUAUCAUUGCUAUGCUAGUUGCUUCGUUCUAUCGCUUUGCUGCGCUACCUAUCAUUUGCUCUUCAAGCCUCCCAAAUUGCCAUGUCAGCCUCUAACCUUUUCACCCUUCCUAGCAAACCAUUGUUUGGCUAUGUCACCGCUUUGCUCAGCCGCUCUUAUAGCGUUGUUAGUUGCAGGUGAAGUUGAAGAUUGCCCCAUGGUGGACAGGAUUAUGUUGGGAUAUCACAAUAUCUCUUAUAUUAUUAAUGCAUCUAUAUAUUUGGUAAAGGGUGGAAGACUCGGCCUUAUGCCUGGUGUUUUGUUCCACUCUUCCCGCCCUAGUUUCCGUCAUACCAGUGUUAUGUUCCCGGAUUUUGCGUUCCUUAUGCGGUUGGGUGAUUUAUGGGACCCCCUUGACAGUUUGCUUUGAAUAAAACUCCUCCAGCAAGGCCCAACCUUGGUUUUACCANNNNNNNNNNNNNNNNNNNNNNNNNNNNNNNNNNNNNNNNNNNNNNNNNNNNNNNNNNNNNNNNNNNNNNNNNNNNNNNNNNNNNNNNNNNNNNNNNNNNNNNNNNNNNNNNNNNNNNNNNNNNNNNNNNNNNNNNNNNNNNNNNNNNNNNNNNNNNNNNNNNNNNNNNNNNNNNNNNNNNNNNNNNNNNNNNNNNNNNNNNNNNNNNNNNNNNNNNNNNNNNNNNNNNNNNNNNNNNNNNNNNNNNNNNNNNNNNNNNNNNNNNNNNNNNNNNNNNNNNNNNNNNNNNNNNNNNNNNNNNNNNUUCGAACCGAGCCGCCUGCGGGGCCCCCUCGGGGCAACUCGAGGUCUGGUUUUACUCAUAGCCUGUCUCAUCCGGUGUUGCCCUGAGAACGAGAUAUGUGCAUCUCCUAUGGGGAUUGUCGGCGCAUCGGGCGGCUUUGCUGGUCUUGUUUUACCAUUGUCGAAAUGUCUUGUAAACCGGGAUUCCGAGUCUGAUCGGGUCUUCCUGGGAGAAGGUAUAUCAUGGGCUAAGUUGGGACACCCCUGCAGGGUAUAAACUUUCGAAAGCCAUGCCCGCGGUUAUGGGCAGAUGGGAAUUUGUGAAUGUCCGAUUGUAGAUAACUUGACACCAGAUCCGAAUUAAAACGCAUCAACCGCGUGUGUAGCCGUGAUGGUCUCUUUUCGGCGGAGUCCAGGAAGUGAACACGGUUUUGGUGUUAUGUUUGACGUAAGUAGGAGUUCAGGAUCACCUCUUGAUCAUUGCUAGCUUCACGACCGUUCCGCUUGCUCUCUUCUCGCUCUUAUUUGCGUAUGUUAGUCACCAUAUAUGCUUAGUCGCUGCUGCAACCUCACCACUUUACCCCUUCCUUUCCCAUUAAGCUUUGCUAGUCUUGAUACCCAUGGUAAUGGGAUUUCUUGAGUCCUCGUGGCUCACAGAUUACUACAACAACAGUUGCAGGUACAGGUUAUGCGAUGAUCUUGACGCGAGAGUGGUGUUUGCUUGUUUUGGAGUUCUUCUUUUGCUUCUUCUUCGAUCAGGGGAUAGGUUCCAGGUUGGCAGCCUGCGCUAGUAGGUUGGAUGUCGUUUGAGUUUUUGUUUGUGUUCCAUCUGUAGUCGGAUGUUGAUCUCUUGUAAGAUGAUGUUGUAUUCAUGUGGCAUUGUAUGCCUUAUGUAUGUAUCCCCAUCUAUUAUGUAAUGUUGAUGUAAAGAUAUCCACCUUGCAAAAGCGUUUCAAUAUGCGGGUCUAUCCUUGGUGGGACCUUAGAGUUCCUUUAGGAUAGGGUCGCAUCUUGGGCGUGACAAGUUGGUAUCAGAGCCUCGACCGACCUUAGGAGCCCCCUUGAUUGAUCGUGUAGUUUGGCCGUUGUUGAGUCUAGAAGAAAACUGUUUUCUGAGUCUAGUUAUAUCGGAGAGUAGGAAUUCUUUUUACUCCUCAGCCCCUUCGUCGCUCUGGUAAGGAAUCUUGACGUAGGUGUUUUGAAUUACUCAUCUUCCCCUUCAAAUUUUCUUUAGGUUCACGCAGUUGGUUUUUUGAUUGUUGUUCCUUAGCUCUUUUCAUCCGGUGCAUUUCUCGUCAAGUUGACUCGAGCCUCUUCAUCUUUGCGUUCAAUCCUCAGUUGUUUUCUUUUCCCACCCGCCCACCCCUUUUUCAUCUCGGAGCCGGAGUCCGUAAUCGAGUAUCCAUCCUACUCAUGCGAAGCCUUUGCUUUCUUUCAACUGGUGUUUUCCCUUCAAGAUAUUCGUCGGUUUCCCCUUCCAAGUUGCCUUUGUUUUCCCGCCCUCCCACCCUUUUUUCUUCCCGGAGUCUGAGUCUCUUUCGAGCAUCAAUUUCAUUCGUACGGAGCCUCUUCAGUCUUUCGUAAAUUAUCUCAACCGGUGAAUUCUCGUCUCGGUGGUCAUUCUUCAACUCUUUUCUUCUUCGGUGGAUUCAAUUCUAAUUUUCGGUAGUGAUUACAUUCUUUUCCUUGGAUCAAGUGUUCUCCUUGCUCGUUUGCCUCUCGCCAUUCAAUCAUUUCGGAGUUCAAGACAUCUCAGGAGAUUCAUCUAUGUUCCAAUUAAUUCGAGGUUGUCACCUCAUUCAAAUAUCUCCAUUGUUCUGGUGCAUCAUCUAUCUUUUCAACAAUCCUUUUCAACGGUGUUAUCUCUUCAGUGGGCCCUAACCCACAGGUCUUUUCCCAGGAUCUUACCUGACUCUUCUAAUUUCCCCGGGGUUAUUCUCAAAUUCUUUUCAAGCGUGACGUAAGAAUGAAUUUCAUCAGUCACAUGCCUUCUCCAAGAUCACUUUCAAAUCAUUUCAUUGUUAGCUCAACCUCUCUGCUUUUCAUUCUACCGGAGUACUUCAAUAAUUUCCUCUAGCAUAUUGGUUCUUCUAAUUUUUCCCGGUGAUUCAUUCUCUUUCAUGAGUCAUUUUUCUAAUUCUUACGGUGGUUCAUUCAGAUUCUUUUUUUUCCUUUGUCAUCGUAUAAAUCCUUUCGUUCUUUUCAAUCCUACCGGUGGUUCAUGAAGACCUUCUCAAGUUUGUGAUGUGUCAUUUCUCAAUCCUUUUCAAGAAGAAUAAGUAGUAUUCUAAAUCCAUUGCUUGUCAUCAAUUUAAUUUGAUGAAGGAUAAGCAUGCAAUAAAUCUUAUUCUUAUUUCAUCCAAGUGAGUAAUCCCUUCCUUCAGAGUUUGUUCUUGAUGAAUAAAUUCUAGUUCCAAGUGUUUUCAUCUUUUCUUUUCCGGAGUUCAAAUUUCCUCCGCCAUCUCGUCAGAACCUCCAUAUAAAUCAUCGCAAGGCUCAUCUUAUUCUUUCAUCCUUUAUUCUAGCUCAUCAUCCUUUUGUCACCGGAGUUCUUCACGAUGGUUCUUCAUGAUUUAAUUCAUUCUUCAAGAGUUCAUCAAGAUUCUUGUUGGAGGAGUUCAAGUAUCCUUUUAUUCUCUUUUUUUGACUAUAAACAGUAGGGUAAAACCCCACUGCAAUUUUUAUUAAAAUAACGCAGAAAAACAAAAAGAGUCUGAAAGUGCAAUUAAUUCUCCGUAUUCUUUUGAAGUGGAGUUUUGCAUUUCUUCGUUCUUCUCAGCUAUCCAAUCAUUUCCGUUUGUGGCCGAUUAUCACCUUAUGAUCUUGAGAUGUUACCUAUAAUACCACAACAAGAAUAUUCUUUUGUAGUUGAAUUUCCAACAACUCAGUUCAAUCCUUUCUUCUAAGGUUGCUUUCUAGUUCAUUCGUGGUAGAGGAUGUAAUCUUCUUCUCCGUUCUUUUCUUUCAACUUUUUCAAUUCUUCCGGAGGCAUUGUGUUGUUCCUCUCGUCAACUAUCGUUCCAUUUUGUCAAUCUCAGUUCCAACUCUUUCGAUGUUCAGCCGGAGUGCUGCCUAAAUCCUUUUCGGUCUUAUUCGUUUCUUAUCUCGUUCUAACAGGAGUGGUUUCAUAGUCUAUCUGAUUCCGUGAGCUUUCGAUUCUCGUCAUUCGCGUCGUUCCUCUCUUCUUCUCAAGUGCACUAGAUUCUUUGCUUCUUCUCUUGAGUUCUUGUUUCACCUCAUCCCUUUUUCCUUCCGUCUCGGUCCUAAGAUCUCGGCACGAGAUCUCUUGUUAGUGGAGGAGUGUUGUAACGCCCCGGACUCGAUGCGCCAGGUGUCUACCAGUUAUUCGCCUUCUUUGCCAUGUCAUUUGCUUGCGUGUUGCAUUUUAUCAUGUCAUCAUGUGCAUCUCAUUUUGCAUACGUGUUCGUCUCAUGCAUCCGAGCAUUUUUCCCCGUUGUCCGUUUUGCGAUCCGACACUUCUAUGCCCUCCGGCGUUCUCCUUUUUGUCUCCUGUUGUGAGCGGGUGUUAAACGUUCUCGGAAUGGACCGAGGUUUGCCAAGUGGCCUUGGUAUAGCACCGGUAGACCGCAUGUCAAGUUUCGUGCCAUUUGGAGUCCGUUUGAUACUCCAAUGGUUAACCGAGUAACCGUAAAGCCUCUUUUGUUUGCAGCCCAACACCCCUUCAAAGUGGCCCAAAACCCAGCAAACUCCCCUCCAUGCUCUCGGUCGUUCGAUCACGAUCGUGUGGGCGAAAACCGUGCCUCAUUUGGACCCUCCUAGCUCCCUCUACCUAUAUAUUAGUCCCCCUUCCCCGAUUUCGCGGAUGAACCCUAGCUCCUUCCUCCCUCCGUGCCGCCAGACACGUUCGGAUCGGCCGGACAUGUCCAGCCGCUGCCACCUCAGCCAAUCGGCGUGCACCACCUGUCCCUCCUCGUCCCACGCGCCGCUGCGGCCCGACAGGCCAGCCGCGGGCCCGCGCCAGCCGGGAGCCCCCAUCGCCCGAGGCCCGAAGCGCCAGCCUCCGCCCCCGCGCCUCCCAUUGCCUCCGCCGCCGUUCGCCGCUGCCGCCGCUGCCGCGGCAAGCCGCCAGAGCUCCUCNNNNNNNNNNNNNNNNNNNNNNNNNNNNNNNNNNNNNNNNNNNNNNNNNNNNNNNNNNNNNNNNNNNNNNNNNNNNNNNNNNNNNNNNNNNNNNNNNNNNNNNNNNNNNNNNNNNNNNNNNNNNNNNNNNNNNNNNNNNNNNNNNNNNNNNNNNNNNNNNNNNNNNNNNNNNNNNNNNNNNNNNNNNNNNNNNNNNNNNNNNNNNNNNNNNNNNNNNNNNNNNNNNNNNNNNNNNNNNNNNNNNNNNNNNNNNNNNNNNNNNNNNNNNNNNNNNNNNNNNNNNNNNNNNNNNNNNNNNNNNNNNNNNNNNNNNNNNNNNNNNNNNNNNNNNNNNNNNNNNNNNNNNNNNNNNNNNNNNNNNNNNNNNNNNNNNNNNNNNNNNNNNNNNNNNNNNNNNNNGACCCCGUCGCCUUUAGCCGCCGGCGCCCCGCUCCGGUCGCUGCCAUGUUGCCAGCGAGCGCGCCCGCCGCCCCUGCCUCGCGCCUCUUCAGCCGCCCGCUCGCCUGCCCUCCGCCGCCGUCCGGCCUCGUCUCCGCCGCCGUGGGCGCCGGAUCCGGCGAGGAGCGCCUCGGAUCUGGUCCCCUUCGCCCUCUCCGGUCGUCUUCCUCCUCUCCGGCCACAUCCCCGGCCAACUCCGGCGAGGCCCCCAGAUCGGGAUGAGAUCCACCAGGAGCCAAACCAAACACGGUGUCCCCGGAUCCCUCCUCCCGCUCCGCCCCGUCCCGCGUUGACUUUUCGCGGAGGUAAAAUUCCGCUAAGUCCCUGAGAUUUUUGCAUUUUGGUGCCCUGUUCAACGCAUCAUAACUCCAUGCAUACUGCUCCGUUUCGUGCGUGUAAUAUGUCAAAUUGUUCGCUGUGAGAUGCUCUACAUUUCGUUCUAUUGUGCCAUGCGUGUUUGAGGUCAUCUUGAUGCCUGAAUCAUCGUUGCAAGAGUGCUAUGUGAUGUUAAUCUGCUGAAACUCUUAUAACUUGGUGACUUGUCAUUUUUGUUGCAUUUGAUGUGUGCAUCCUUUGAGCAUGAGUCCUACAUGAGUUUUGAUCUAUGACAUGCCAUCUUUACGGAGGUGCUAUCCAUGUAUUUUUGUAAGUUGUGUAGUGAGUGCAUCAUGCUUGUUAAGGAGGGUACUUGCUGUUACUGUUUUGCUAGGCUGAAUCUGUUAUUUCGGGAUGCUAUGUAAACCUGCUGCUACAAGUCAUUCUAUACAUAAUCUGGAGAUGUUCACUAAGGAUGAUUUGUUAUACAUGUCAUUCUAUAUCCAUCCAUGCCCCUGGUUGCAUUUAUAGCUUGCUGUAGAUUGUUGUAAUCUUGCUCUCAACUUGCUAAAUAAUGUUGUUGUCGGCCUGGUAACAUUAAGUUCAAUGUUGCCAUGAUUGUUGUUAGUUAUCCAUGCACCCUAUGAACUUGCUAUUGCCAUUCUUAGCUCCACAAACAUGUAUUGUUACUGUUGGUUGCCAUGCCAUGCCAUGUAUUGCUAUGUGGUGAGUGGUUCAAGCUCACCAACAUGCCUACUUAUUGUUAUUCCUGCCAUGUAUGAAUCUGUCAUAUAACUUGCUAUGUUUACAUGGGUGCCAUCAUAUUUUCUGUGCCCUUUUGGCUCAUGGUCAGUAAGGGACUUUUGUUCUAUACAUUUAGUAGGUUCAUGCCAUGCCUUUGUUUUCUAUGAUAUGUUCCUGUAGCAUGUUGUUUGAUAGCUCUAAACAUUGCAACCUGAUGUUAUUUCUGUAAAGUCUGAAACUGUUAUUAUUUGCAAUCUUGCCAUGUCCUUUUUGAGCAUGUUGUAGUGAUUACUGGAGAUAUCUCAGUGUUCAUGUUUUGUCAUGCUUUACCUGUACAUAAUGUCCAUGCCUUUUGUUAUCAUGUUAGGAUGAUGUAGCAUGUUGUUUUGAUGCUUGCAAGAUGCCUAGUUGCUGUUUUGGACAGAUUGUUGUUAUGACUUGUAUAGUGUAUGUGUUGCACCGUUGCUCCGUUUUGAGUGUGCUCUAUAUGAAACUUGCUUGUUUUUGCAUGUAGCUUCAUAUUAUCAUGUUGCAUCCUUGUUUUGAGGUGUUUGCUUGAUGUUUGAAUGCCUUUUGCAUCAAUGCCAUGUUUAACUUGUUUUGCUCAUAUCUUCUAGGCCGUAGCUCCGAAUCUAAUGAACUUUAUAUGUAACUUGACUAGAAUCUCGUGUAGAUCAUCUUGGUGCAUCUUAACUUGUUGUUUAACAACUUGAACAUAAGGUUUAUUCAGAUCUGGACAAACUUCUAAAUUUACAUAUGAGGACUUACCGGAAUUGUUAUAUGUUGUUCCUGGCCUCAUUUAAACUUGCUUUGAUGUGUUGCUCUUGUUUGCAUCAUCUCUUACCAUGAGUAGCUUCAUGUAGAUUUGUCAUGCAUCAUGCUUGUUGUGCAUCAUGUCUUGUAUAUGUGUGGUGUGUUUACCAUGUUGUGUGCUUCUUCUCGAUAGUUCCCGUUUCGUUGCGAUUGUGAGGAUUCGUUCGUCUACGCUUGGUUCGUCUUCGUGGCUUCAUCUUCUUCAUGGACUCGUUCUUCUUCCUUGCGGUAUUUCAGGCAAGAUGACCGCUACCCUAGAUCUCACUACUAUCAUUGCUAUGCUAGUUGCUUUGUUCUAUCGCUUUGCUGCGCUACCUAUCAUUUGCUCUUCAAGCCUCCCCAAUUGCCAUGUCAGCCUCUAACCUUUUCACCCUUCCUAGCAAACCAUUGUUUGGCUAUGUUACCUCUUUGCUCAGCCCCUCUUAUAGCGUUGUUAGUUGCAGGUGAAGUUGAAGAUUGCCCCAUGGUGGACAGGAUUAUGUUGGGAUAUCACAAUAUCUCUUAUAUUAUUAAUGCAUCUAUAUAUUUGGUAAAGGGUGGAAGACUCGGCCUUAUGCCUGGUGUUUUGUUCCACUCUUGCCGCCCUAGUUUCCGUCAUACCAGUGUUAUGUUCCCGGAUUUUGCGUUCCUUACACGGUUGGGUGAUUUAUGGGACCCCCUUGACAGUUCGCUUUGAAUAAAACUCCUCCAGCAAGGCCCAACCUUGAUUUUACCAUUUGCCUCGCCACCACCUACUUUUCCCUUGGGAGUCGCUCUCUCGAGGGUCAUCUUUAUUUUAGCCCCUCCCCCCUGUCCAGUGCUUGUCUAAGUGUUGGUCCGAACUGAGCCGCCUGCGGGGCCCCCUCGGGGCAACUCGAGGUCUGGUUUUACUCGUAGCCUAUCUUAUCCGAUGUUGCCCUGAGAACGAUAUAUGUCCAGCUCCUAUCGGGAUUGUCGGCGCAUCGGGCAGCUUUGCUGGUCUUGUUUUACCAUUGUCGAAAUGUCUUGUAAACCGGGAUUCCGAGUCUAAUCGGGUCUUCCUGGGAGAAGGUAUAUCCUUCGUUGAUCGCGAGAGCUUAUCAUGGGCUAAGUUGGGACACCCCUGCAGGGUAUAAACUUUCGAAAGCCGUGCCCGCGGUUAUGGGCAGAUGGGAAUUUGUUAGUGUCCGGUUGUAGAUAACUUGACACCAGAUCGGAAUUAAAACGCAUCAACCGCGUGUGUAGCUGUGAUGGUCUCUUUUCGGCGGAGUCCGGGAAGUGAACACGGUUUCGGUGUUAUGUUUGACGUAAGUAGGAGUUCAGGAUCACCUCUUGAUCAUUGCUAGCUUCACGACCGUUCCGCUUGCUCUCUUCUCGCUCUUAUUUGCGUAUGUGAGCCACCAUAUAUGCUUAGUUGCUGCUGCAACCUCACCACUUUACCCCUUCCUUUCCCAUUAAGCUUUGCUAGUCUUGAUACCCAUGGUAAUGGGAUUGUUGAGUCCUCGUGGCUCACAGAUUACUACAACAACAGUUGCAGGUACAGGUUAUGCGAUGAUCUUGACGCGAGAGCGGUGUUUGCUUGUUUUGGAGUUCUUCUUCUGCUUCUUCUUUGAUCAGGGGAUAGGUUCCAGGUCGGCAGCCUGGGCUAGCAGGGUGGAUGUCGUUUGAGUUUCUGUUUGUGUUCCAUCCGUAGUCGGAUGUUGAUCUCUUGUAAGAUGAUGUUGUAUUCAUGUGGCAUUGUAUGCCUUAUGUAUGUAUCCCCAUCUAUUAUGUAAUGUUGAUGUAAUGAUAUCCACCUUGCAAAAGCGUUUCAAUAUGCGGGUCUAUCCUUGGUGGGACCUUCGAGUUCCUUUAGGAUAGUGUCGCAUCUUGGGCGUGACAACAUAGCAAUUUCACCUUUUAUCCCGAAUUAAUAAUAAUUUUAGAAUAUUGUUUAAAUGUUUGGAAAAUCAUAUAAAUUAAUUCGUAACGCGGAUGAAAAAGUUUUCUACAUGAAAGUUGCUCAGAAUGACGAGACGAAUCUGAAUACGCGAUUCGUUCGUCUGCCACAUGCCCCUAACUACCUGAACAUGCAACUUUUCCCCUCCGUUUCAUCUGUCUGAAAAUGCUAAACCUGGGGAAACAUUCCCGAAUGUUGUCCCCCUUCGCCGGUAAUGUAUAGCACCGCAUUAGAACACGUCUAGCUCUACCUGUUGUCCUGUUAUGCUCUUGCUUGCUAUGUAUUUACUAUUUCUCCCCCUCUUCUCUCCGGUAGACCCCGAGAUUGCCGCUGAUGCCGCUGUGAUCAACUACGUCAACAACGACUCCUUGUUGUCUGAGCAACCAGGCAAUCCCCCCCUUUAAUCAUCCCGAUAUCGCCCAUUCUAUACUCUCAUGCUUGCAUUAGAUUUUGCUACUGUUAUUGUUUGCUCCUAUUCUGAUGCAUAGCCUGCUUUUGUACCUGUUUACCUACCUGCUUAUCCUAAACUGCUUAGUAUAGGUUGGUUAGUGAUCCAUCAAUGGCCCCCACCUUGUCCUUGUUGCCCCUGCUUCAUCAUCGACGACUUGAUCCACGUGAUCGAUGACCAGAGCCCGACACCUCACAUCACAUCACGCCCCUUUUGUUGCUCGACUCUGCAGAGCUACUAUCGAGUGUCGAGGGUGAUCCCUCAUACCGCACUCCUGAUGAUAAUUCUGUAGUGUAGCUAUUCGGUCAUGGUCAUCGAGGGUGAUUUCCUCUUUCACCAUUACCGAUACGGCUCUGUCAUUCAACACCUCAAGUGUGAACCACAAGGGUGGUCCCUCUUACGUUCACCUUGAUGAUUACAUUGAGUGGAAUCCACUGGGGGUGAUUCCUCGGGUUUUCCCCUUGAUGUCUGGACACGCAGUUACCUUGACUUUACUGGAGACUGUUGUGAAAACCGGGCGGGCCCGGAGAGCACCCGUGCGAUGUGACAGUGGCAGCUGGUUGUUUAGCGGUAUCACCCGGGAAGGGGUGAUAGCUCCAGACUUGUCCCGACAGCCGUCACUCCUUUUAAUAAUGCACUAACAGGUUUGGGUAUUUAUUCUGAAUUGGCCUUUGGCCUUUACGCACUAACCACCACGCGAGAAUGGUUAUGGGCCUCGACAUCAUGGUAUGAGCCAAAGCUUUGUCAGACGUCCAGUUCAGCAUUGUGGCCUGGCGGGAUCGUGCCAUCCACUUCACGGGUGGUGCUGGUAUCCCCUUGCGCACAACGACCCAGAGUGCAACGGGCGAUGGGCCCAGACCCCGGAGUGCUUAGGAUGUAGACCGGAGGGGACCUCUCUGCAGAGCCUAGGUCGGGUUGCGACGUGUUGAUCUUCCGAGGGCGGGCAUUGACCCCAGAAAGGUGUGUCCGGCCAGAGUGAUCGAGCGUGUUGGGUAACGUGGUGCACCCCUACAGGGAAGUUAUAUAUUCGAAUACCAUGUCCAUGGUAAUGGACGUUCAGACUUGUAUCCCGAUCUUAUACAACUAGAAAUGGAUACUUGAUAUGUGAUGGAUAUGUGGCUCCGGGAUUGCUUUCUUGCAGGGAGUCGAGGAAGGAUAUCUGGGCGUUAAUGUUACAACAUGCUUGUUAAUUAUAAAAUGCUAUUCUUUACUCUUCUACAUGCUGCAAGAUGCUCGGAGCUGCUUGAAGAUGCUAGUCUUUGAUAGGCUAGGCCUUCUCCCUCUAUUCUAGCAUUCUGCAGUUCAGUCCACAGAUACAACCCUUCCAUUUGAUACCAAUGCAUACAUAGUAUAGAUCUGAUGCUUGCGAGUACUUUGGAUGAGUACUCACGGUUGCUUUGCUACCCCUUUCCCCCCUUCUUUCUUCUAUCUGGUUGAUGCAUCCAGAUGGUGGAUCCAUGGAGCCAGAUGCCACCCCCGCCGACUACUUGUAACACCCCGAGAUUCAUGCGACAGUAAUCUCCCACUUCUCAUGCCAUGUCAUCAUGAUUACCUUGCUAGUUGCCACUUGUUCAAAACAUCAAGUCCAAAAUUCAAAAAUUUCUCAAACAUGAAUACAAAAAUGUUCAUCAUGUGCCAAAUAUUCCACAACUAAUAUUGGUGGUGGACCAACAUUUUUGCAAAGGGUUUAAGUGGCCUAAACUACUUAAAGCAGUGGCUAAAACAAUAGUUUAAAUGCCUUUUUACUCUAUAAAAAUUUCAAACUAUUUCAAAAGCCUCACAGCCUUUUGUGGCAGUGCUAACUAUUUCAAUGUAAUUAUGUGGCCAAGUCCCACAUUUUACAAAAUCCAUUUGGCAGCCCAAAUAUUACCAUGCUUUUUUUGUAAAAAGAAAAGAGCAGAGGUAAAAGAAAAAGAAACCCCCCCUGACCCCCCUGGGCCUUUGUCAUCUGGGCGGCCCAACCCAGCAGCCCACCUCCCCCCGGUCACCUCCCUCCUCUCUGUUCACCCGACCCAGCGGCCGCGCUCGCUGGUCGCCACCGAACCCUGUCGCCGUCCCCGUCGGGGAAGGGAUAAGGGCGACGUCCCCUCGAUGCCUCGAGCCCUCCCGUCCACUCACCGCACCCCACUCGCGCAAGUCCUUUCCCCUCGCCCGCUUCGUCUCUCCCUCGCACCCCAGAUCCCCUCCCCAUCGCAUCCGAACGCCACGGCCGCCAUGGCCGCCGUCGCCCUCGUGGCCACCGGCCACCACGCGCGUAUUUGCCAUGACGUAGCUCCUCGCCAUCAUCCGCUACGCCCCCUGGUGCCAUCCGCAAGAGCUCGGAGGCGCUAGAGCGCCGUCGCGCCGCCUUCUUCAACCUCCGACCGCCUCGGGCCGCGGCACACCGACGCCGUCUCCGGCCACCUCGACUCUUCCUCGGGCCUUCCCAGCAACGGAAGUGAGCGCCGGACCUUCGCCUCCCUCUCCCUCUCUCCCCGUGCUCUUUCCCGCGCCGUAGCUAGCUGUCGCCGCCUCUGUGCCCUGCUCGCCGCCGACGAGAUCGUGGCCGUCUUUGUGGUCGACGUCGCCGCCACCUGAGGCCACCGUUGAACUCCUGGAGCUCCCAGGAGCCCAACGAGCCUGAGCACGUGCCUCCCCGUGCCCCUAGCCGCUAGCCUGACCACCCUCAUCUCCGGCCGCCGCCUUGCCUCACCACCGACAGCACUCCGGCCACUCCCCGCCCGGGCCACCACCGCAGAACGAUGCGGCUUCGUCCGCUCGUUCGAACGAGCUAGGACACGAGCNNNNNNNNNNNNNNNNNNNNNNNNNNNNNNNNNNNNNNNNNNNNNNNNNNNNNNNNNNNNNNNNNNNNNNNNNNNNNNNNNNNNNNNNNNNNNNNNNNNNNNNNNNNNNNNNNNNNNNNNNNNNNNNNNNNNNNNNNNNNNNNNNNNNNNNNNNNNNNNNNNNNNNNNNNNNNNNNNNNNNNNNNNNNNNNNNNNNNNNNNNNNNNNNNNNNNNNNNNNNNNNNNNNNNNNNNNNNNNNNNNNNNNNNNNNNNNNNNNNNNNNNNNNNNNNNNNNNNNNNNNNGUGCUUCCGCCGUGGUUUUUUGCCACCGGCGGCUAGACGCCGGUGCUCGCGCUGAUGUGGCCGACCGGGGCCACCCCCCAGGGUCACUACCUGGUGGUCCCAGGGGCCCGGGCUGGCCAGUUGACCGAGGUCAACUGUGCUGACUGGGCAGGCCCCAGCCACUGACACGCGGGCCCCGCCGCUUUUUCUAACUAAAUUGUUUUAAUAAUUAAAAUUAAUUAGUUUAGCCAAUUAGUCUAUGACAGGUGGGGUCCAGUAGCUAAUUAACCUAGAUUAGUUAGUUUAUUACACUAUUAGACUAACAGAGGCUGACAUGUGGGUCCCGCUGGACCCACAGGCCAGGUUUGACCUGGUCAGCCGCCCUGCUGACUGUUGACUUCUCUAUGACGUCAUGAUGACAUCAUAUUCCUUUUCUGUUUUUUUAAUAAUUCCAGAAUAUUGUUUAAACUUUAAAAAUUCAUAGAAAUUAAACCGUUCCUCGGAAGAAAAUGUUUUCUACAUGAAAGUUGCUCAGAAAAAUCCAACGAAUCCGAAUACGCGGUCCGUUCAUCUGUCACAUGCCCCUAGCAUGCUGAACAUGGAACUUUCCCCCUCCGAUCGUCUGUCUGACACAGGUCCGGAACCGGGAAAACAUUCCCGGUUGACUUCCCCCCCUCGCCAGUAUCGUGUAGCAACACGUUAGAACACGUCUAGCUCUGCUUGUUGUCUUGUUAUGCUAUGUUUGCUUUAUAUUUACUGUUUCUUCCCCCUCUUCUCUCCGGUAGACCCCGAGACCGAUGCUGCCCCUGUGAUCGACUACGUCGAUGACGACCCCUCCUUGCCAGAGCAACCAGGCAAGCCCCCCCCCCUUUGAUCAUCCCGAUAUCGCCCAUUCCAUUCUCUCAUGCUUGCAUUUGAUUUUUCUACUGUUAUUGUUUGCUCUUAUUCUGAUGCAUAGCCUGCUUUUGUAACCUGUUUAUUGUUACUUACCUGCUUAUCCUAAACUGCUUAGUAUAGGUUGGUUAGUGAUCCAUUAGUGACCCCCACAUUGUCCUUGUUGCCCCUGCUUCAUCAUCGAAGACCCAAUCAACGGGAUCGAAGACCAGGCCCCGCCACCGCACAUCACUCUCCCCUUAGUUGCUCGACACUACUAGGUUACUAUCGAGUGCCGAGGGUGAGACCUCUACAACACUUCUGAUGUUAACCCUAUAGUGUAGCUAUUCGGUCAUGGUCAUCGAGGGUGAUUCCGCCUUAACCACUUCCGAUAUGACUCUGUCGUGCAACCCCUCAAGUGUGAACCUCGGGGGUGAUUCCUCUUACGUUCACCUUGAUGAUUACAUCGAGUGAAAUUCACCAGGGGUGAUUCCUCGGGUUUUCCCCUUAAUGUUUGGACACACGGUUACUAUGGUUACUAUGUUACACUGAACCAUGUUACUAAAGACGGGUUGACCCUGAGGGGUACCCGCGCGAGCAUAAUUGCGAGUGAUGUGGAGUCGAGUUGACCUGGAAGGUGCCCGAGAGAUAAUUACGAGGCGUGGCUGGGCAUUCUUAGCCCUUGCCGCAAGUCCUCGAGACGGGGCAACGGGGUCACAUCUUUCGUGAGUCUCUGCUUGUUACCGCGCAUUCCUAAUCCACUACGAUUUGGAUAUUUGAUCCGAGGGGCCUCUGGCCUGAUAGCACUAACCAUCACGUGGGCAUAGUAUGGGCGUUCUGCGUCAUAUGCAUCAGCCGAAGCUUAAUAGACGUCAGCGACUGAGCGGCGCGCACCGAGUUGGACUUGUAAGCACCUACCUUUUUAAGGAGGUAGCUAGGUCUGCUCACCGGCCGCGUUCGCAACGUGCAGGAGUUUCCGGGGAGAUGGCCCAUGACCCCUGGGGGCAUAGGUUUAGUCCGGCGUGCUGGCCUCUCUAUUAAGCCUAGGUCGGGUUGCGGCGUAUUGUUUGGCCAAGGCCGGGCAUGACCCUGGAAAGUGUGUCCGGCCGGAGUUAAGCGAGCAUGGUGGGUAAGUUGGUGCACCCCUGCAGGGAAGAAAACAUCUAUCGAUAGCCUGUCCUACGGUAACGGACACUUGGAGUUGUAUCCCGAUCGAUACAACUAGAACUGGAUACUCAUGAUGAGAAAUGGAUUGAGAUGAGAAAUGGAUGGUGAUGAGAAUUGGAUUGUGUUGAUAAUUGGAUAGUAUGGCUCUGGGAUUUCUUUCUCGUAGGGAGUCGAGAAAGGAUCUCUGGCCGAGGUUGAUAACGCUACUACUACUUUACUUUAUGCUACUCUACUCCCUCCUGUUUGCUGCAAGAGGGUGGUUUCCAGAAGAUGCUAGUCUUCGAUAGGACUAGGCCUUCUCUCUAUUCUGGCAUUUCUGCAGUCCAGUCCACAUAUACAGCCUUCCUUUGAUAAUGUUGCAUCUGUAGUGUAGAUCCUUGCUUGCGAGUACUUUGGAUGAGUACUCACGGUUGCUUUGCUCCCUCUUUUUCCCCUUUUCCAUUAUUCUCGGAUGACGCAACCAGAUGACGGAGUCCAGGAGCCAGAUGACACCUUUGACGACUGCUACUACCCCGAGGGUGCCUACUAGCACGUGACGGAGACCGCGGAUGACCAGGAGUAGUUAGGAGGCUCCCAGGCAGGAGGCCUUGCCUUUUCGAUCGUAGAUGCUUUUGUGCUAGCCUUCUUAAGGCACUUGUCUAACUCAUGUCUGUACUCAGAUAUUGUUGCUUCCGCUGACUCUUGUGUUUUCGAGCUUAUGUAUUCGAGCCCUCGAGGCCCCUGGCUUGUAAUAUAAAGCUUGUAUUAUUUUAAUUUGUGUCUAGAUUUGUGUUGUGAUAUCUUCCCGUGAGUCCUUGAUCUUGAUCAUACACAUUUGCGUGUAUGAUUAGUGUACGAUUGAAUCGAGGGCAUCACAAGUUGGUAUCAGAACCGACUGCCUGUAGGUAGCCCCUUUCCAACUCCUUGGACGAAGUUGAGUCUAGUCACCGAAAAACUUUUACUAACAUUGGCUGUGUGGCUUACGGGCCCACGUUGCCAUUGGGUGGUAUUAGGAUCUUUUAUUCCUCGUCUAUACUCUGGGACUCUGAUCUCUCUUCUAUUCGGGUUAGCCAUUUUACUAAACUCUGACAUUAGGUUCUCGUACCCACUUCCUCCCUGAGAGCCUCGACAUUAUCGAUGAUCGCUUGCUUCGCCAGAAGAUUCUGUGGAUACUCCUCGAUGUUUCUCGAGACCCUGUACCAACUGCCUUGCAGUUCCUGACCACCGAUAAUCCCCUUGAAUAACAUCCUUGCCACUUGUACCUUCCUCCCUAGUUGCUUCUGAUAUUACAAGAUGCCCCGAAAUUCUCUAUUUUUCGAGAAUCCUUUGAGCUUACUGCCUUGCAGUUCUUUGCCCCAUGAAUACCCCCCCCCUUCGAAUAAUUCCUCGCACUCACCGAGGAUCAGUUCAUCCUCAGUUGUUCGUGUGGUUCACAAAACUCUUCGAAAUACUAUUUGAUCUUCCGAAAAUACUCUACAACCUGUUGCUCUUGGAAUUCUUGCAUACUUGCUUUCUGGUUAAUUCCAUUUGUCUAGCGAUAUUCGUUAAAAUCCUUUGGGAUUAACAUUCUGAUCCUGUUGAUUCAGCAUUUGUGAGAAUGCACACGAUCAUCAAUUAAUCCUUGGAAAUUUUCUUUCUGGCUCAGCCAUUGUUUCGAAUAUGAGCUGGUUCUUACCCAAUCAAGAUUUGAUCGGGUGCACCUCUAAGUCUAUUCAACUUACUCAUCUUUUGAUCAGAGCCUCUGCUUCUGAUCCUUCAUCUUGGAACCAUAACUCCUUUGUACUCAAGCAUCGAAUUAUUCAUAAGUUUCUAUAAGCUGAUGCCUUUGCAUCCCCUUCUUCAUCUGAUUGAUUACCGAUACUCACCUCAACUCUGUCGUGAAUCGCCAGAUCCAUUGUUGGGUUGUUAUCCGACAGUGCCCUUCACAUCCAAAAUCUUGUGAGUUUUUCCCUGAUACAUACUACCUUCGGUAAAUUGUAUCACCUGCUUUGGUUUCAGUACUCUGCUUUCGAAAUCGUAUCUCUUGCUUGGUUGAUGGUUGUAUAGAUUCGUAAAAUAUGCCCUGAUGGGUUGAACUUAUGCCUUCCAUAAUUCGUAUGAACCCGAGAGUUCUCACGAGUCUUACUCUUCUGGUACUUCGCCAGAUAAAUCCUAUGCACUACAAAUUCUUCGAAAACGAGGAGUGAAUGAAAGGUUAUCUAUUGAAGAAGUGGGAGUCGACCUUGAACAUUUGUGUUCAUGCCCAUGGAACCGAUGUAGAACUUAUCAUGGAAGCUGCUCAUGAAAUAAUUAUUUCUCUGGUACAAGCUCAGCUUGUAUCUAUGAAUUGAUCCUUUACAAUCGUGGUUCCGACCAUAUUUCCUCCUUGAUUCCAUUUACCAGAUAAGUUAAAAUACUUAUCCUCUGCAAAUCAUUCCCCCUUCCAACCUCUACUCCAACUUACCUUCCGGCAUUACACCUAGUAUCUGAUAUUGGGAAGUUUUAUACCCCACAACAUCAUUCCUAGCCUGAUCGGCUAUAUUUUUUUAUCAUGUCAACUUUUAACUGUGCUACCUGAUCCUUCUUCCCAGAGCACAAUUUUUGACAAUGAGCUAAGGCUACAUCGACUUUCCUCGUCAUAUCAUUUUGUCUUGAAUAGCAAGCUUAAUUUCGAGUUUGUGUCGCACCCGUGGUUCCAAUAACUUUUCGCUUCAUCAUUCCUUUGACUUGAUGUCAUCGCCGAUCGAUUACAUCCUCAUGAAAUCUCUCGACAAAUGUUUCGUGAUCAUCAUCAACAUUCUGAGCUCUUCCAGGAUAUCAAUCGAAUUCAUGAUGAGAAAUACAAUCCUUGCCCCUCGAUGAUUUAAGUUAUCAUCGACAACAUUCUUGCCUUCCCCAACACAAACUUGUUCACAUAAUUUUGGUAAUACACCCUUUUUGACAUGUCGAUGGAUUGUUGCUGAGCCCGUCGGCCACACCCUCAUCUUUUCUUUGCUGAAAUUGUAUGACUUAUUUUCUAAGUUGUUUCCGAUGGAUCCUUUGUGUAUCUGAAGUCCGACCUUUCCCUGAUGACCAUGUCAACACUAUCCUGAAACAUGUGUGUGGUACUCCGAUCAUCAACAAGAACAUUGGGAGCGCAAUGCUAACUAUUCUUGAUUAAUUAUCCAAUCACCAUUGUAUGUGUAGACCUCAUAAAUUCCUUGCCCCUUUGUCUAAACGGUUUAAUACUUGGAGUCCAAUCAUGCUCUGCCUUUAUUUGGGAAAGUUAUACUCUAAUACUUGGGUAUAAACAUCUUUCCUUUCCAUUGGUCUGAUUAUCAUAAUAAUCACAUAUUCCUCCCCAUUGUUUUGUUAACCUAUCUUGUGAUCCAUAUGUUCUAAGCAGUAAUAGUUCCCGGCUUAUGUAAACACCUCGGUGUACAAUUGGUCAGUAAGACCUUGUUAUUAUUGUUGUUGACAUUCCGGUAACCACCGAUGGACGAGAACUUCGCCUUUUGGUCCGCCUCGUUUAAUCGAGCAGGAAAAUGGUUCUCUUCGUCCCUCGCCCUUGGUACCAACGUUGUUGGCGACAUAAGUGACAGACUAUCCCCUGAUAUGCCUUUCCCUCAUGACCGUGCAAGAUGUCACCACCCUUCCUGCAUUUAACCCACACGGUGGGCCCAUAACCCACAGUUCCACUGGAUCGAAACCUGACUCUCCUGUACAUCCUUAAUUCCGAAGUAUCCUUUGCUCUUAACCUUGUGUGUUCUCAUGAGCCACCCUCUGAGAGAUGAUCUAUUCCCAAUGCUUUGAACCCCCCCUUCUCAUACUCUGUUCAGGUAUCGAUCAUUUGUACAUUAACAUGAAACUUCCUAUUGCACCUUCAUACUUUGCUCUUGAUGUUUUCUUAAGUAUCGACUCGAGAGAUACUUCUGUCACAUUCCCUGAAUUGUUCACAAGAUGAUUAACCCUAUAAAGUUUAGUCCUCCUGAAGUUACCCAUCACUUCCCCACUUAAAUCUCGGGACGAGAUUUCUUGUAGUGGAGGAGAUUUGUAACACCCCGAGAUUCAUGCCACAGUAAUCUCCCACUUCUCAUGCCAUGUCAUCAUGAUUACCUUGCUAGUUGCCACUUGUUCAAAACAUCAAGUCCAAAAUUCAAAAAUUUCUCAAACAUGAAUACAAAAAUGUUCAUCAUGUGCCAAAUAUUCCACAACUAAUAUUGGUGGUGAACCAACAUUUUUGCAAAGGGUUUAAGUGGCCUAAACUACUUAAAGCAGUGGCUAAAACAAUAGUUUAAAUGCCUUUUUACUCUAUAAAAAUUUCAAACUAUUUCAAAAGCCUCACAGCCUUUUGUGGCAGUGCUAACUAUUUCAAUGUAAUUAUGUGGCCAAGUCCCACAUUUUACAAAAUCCAUUUGGCAGCCCAAAUAUUACCAUGCUUUUUCUGUAAAAAGAAAAGAGCAGAGGUAAAAGAAAAAGAAACCCCCCCUGACCCCCCUGGGCCUUUGUCAUCUGGGCGGCCCAACCCAGCAGCCCACCUCCCCCCGGUCGCCUCCCUCCUCUCUGUUCACCCGACCCAGCGGCCGCGCUCGCUGGUCGCCACCGAACCCUGUCGCCGUCCCCGUCGGGGAAGGGAUAAGGGCGACGUCCCCUCGAUGCCUCGAGCCCUCCCGUCCACUCACCGCACCCCACUCACGCCAGUCCUUUCCCCUCGCCCGCUUCGUCUCUCCCUCGCACCCCAGAUCCCCUCCCCAUCGCAUCCGAACGCCACGGCUGCCAUGGCCGCCGUCGCCCUCGUGGCCACCGGCCACCACGCGCGUAUUCGCCAUGACGUAGCUCCUCGCCAUCAUCCGCUACGCCCCCUCGUGCCAUCCUCAAGAGCUCGAAGGCGCUAGAGCGCCGCCAUGCCGCCUUCUUCAACCUCCGUCCGCCUCGGGCCGCCGCACACCGACGCCGUCUCCGGCCACCUCGACUCUUCCUCGGGCCUUCCCAGCAAUGAAAGUGAGCGCCGGACCUCCGCCUCCCUCACCCUCUCUCCCCGUGCUCUUUCCCGCGCUGUAGCUAGCUGUCGCCACCUCCGUGCCCUGCUCGCCGCCGACGAGAUCGUGGCCGUCUUUGUGGUCGACGUCGCCGCCACCUGAGGCCACCGUUGAACUCCUGGAGCUCCCAGGAGCCCAACGAGCCUGAGCACGUGCCUCCCCGUGCCCCCUAGCCGCUAGCCUGACCACCCUCAUCUCUGGCCGCCGCCUUGCCUCACCACCGGCGGCACUCCAGCCACUCCCCGCCCGGGCCACCACCGCAGAACGAUGCGGCUUCGUCNNNNNNNNNNNNNNNNNNNNNNNNNNNNNNNNNNNNNNNNNNNNNNNNNNNNNNNNNNNNNNNNNNNNNNNNNNNNNNNNNNNNNNNNNNNNNNNNNNNNNNNNNNNNNNNNNNNNNNNNNNNNNNNNNNNNNNNNNNNNNNNNNNNNNNNNNNNNNNNNNNNNNNNNNNNNNNNNNNNNNNNNNNNNNNNNNNNNNNNNNNNNNNNNNNNNNNNNNNNNNNNNNNNNNNNNNNNNNNNNNNNNGGCGCUCGUGCUGAUGUGGCCGACCGGGGCCACCCCCCAGGGUCACUACCUGGUGGUCCCAGGGGCCCGGGCUGGCCAGUUGACCGAGGUCAACUGUGCUGACUGGGCAGGCCCCAGCCACUGACACGCGGGCCCCGCCGCUUUUUCUAAGUAAAUUGUUUUAAUAAUUAAAAUUAAUUAGUUUAGCCAAUUAGUCUAUGACAGGUGGGGUCUAGUAGCUAAUUAACCUAGAUUAGUUAGUUUAUUACAUUGUUAGACUAACAGAGGCUGACAUGUGGGUCCCGCUGGACCCAUAGGCCAGGUUUGACCUGGUCAGCCGCCCUGCUGACUGUUGACUUCUCUAUGACGUCAUGAUGACAUCAUAUUCCUUUUCUGUUUUUUUAAAUAAUUCCAGAAUAUUGUUUAAACUUUAAAAAUUCAUAGAAAUUAAACCGUUCCUCGGAAGAAAAUGUUUUCUACAUGAAAGUUGCUUAGAAAAAUCCAACGAAUCCGAAUACGCGGUCCGUUCAUCUGUCACAUGCCCCUAGCAUGCUGAACAUGGAACUUUCCCCCUCCGGUCGUCUGUCUGACACAGGUCCGGAACUGGGAAAACAUUCCCGGUUGACUUCCCCCCCUCGCCAGUAUCGUGUAGCAACACGUUAGAACACGUCUAGCUCUGCUUGUUGUCUUGUAUGCUAUGUUUGCUUUAUAUUUACUGUUUCUUCCCCCUCUUCUCUCCGGUAGACCCCGAGACCGAUGCUGCCCCUGUGAUCGACUACGUCGACGACGACCCCUCCUUGCCAGAGCAACCAGGCAAGCCCCCCUUUGAUCAUCCCGAUAUCGCCCAUUCCAUUCUCUCAUGCUUGCAUUAGAUUUUGCUACUGUUAUUGUUUGCUCUUAUUCUGAUGCAUAGCCUGCUUUUGUAACCUGUUUAUUGUUACUUACCUACUUAUCCUAAACUGCUUAGUAUAGGUUGGUUAGUGAUCCAUCAGUGACCCCCACAUUGUCCUUGUUGCCCCUGCUUCAUCAUCGAAGACCCGAUCAACGGGAUCGAAGACCAGGCCCCGCCACCGCACAUCACUCUCCCCUUAGUUGCUCGACACUGCUGGGUUACUAUUGAGUGCCGAGGGUGAGACCUCUACAACACUUCUGAUGUUAACCCUAUAGUGUAGCUAUUCGGUCGUGGUCAUCGAGGGUGAUUCCGCCUUAACCACUUCCGAUAUGACUCUGUCGUGCAACCCCUCAAGUGUGAACCUCGGGGGUGAUUCCUCUUACGUUCACCUUGAUGAUUACAUCGAGUGAAAUUCACCGGGGGUGAUUCCUCGGGUUUUCCCCUUGAUGUUUGGACACACGGUUACUAUGGUUACUAUCUUACACUGAACCAUGUUACUAAAGACGGGUUGACCCUGAGGGGUACCCGCGUGAGCAUAAUUGCGAGUGAUGUGGAGUCGGGUUGACCUGGAAGGUGCCCGAGAGAUAAUUACGAGGCGUGGCCGGGCAUUCUUAGCCCUUGCCGCAAGUCCUCGAGACGGGGCAACGGGGUCACAUCUUUCGUGAGUCUCUGCUUGUUACUGCGUGUUCCUAAUCCACUACGAUUUGGAUAUUUGAUCCGAGGGGCCUCUGGCCUGAUAGCACUAACCAUCACGUGGGCAUAGUAUGGGCGUUCUGUGUCAUAUGCAUCAGCCGAAGCUUAAUAGACGUAAGCGACUGAGCGGCGCGCGUCGGGUUGGACUGGUAAGCACCUACCUUUUUAAGGAGGUAGCUAGGUCUGCUCACCGGCCGCGUUCGCAACAUGCAGGAGUUUCCGGGGAGAUGGCCCAUGACCCCUGGGGGCAUAGGUUUAGUCCGGCGUGCUGGCCUCUCUAUUAAGCCUAGGUCGGGUUGCGGCGUAUUGUUUGGCCGAGGCCGGGCAUGACCCUGGAAAGUGUGUCCGGCCGGAGUUAAGCGAGCGUUGUGGGUAAGUUGGUGCACCCCUGCAGGGAAGAAAAAAUCUAUCGAUAGCCUGUCCUACGGUAACGGACACUUGGAGUUGUAUCCCGAUCGAUACAACUAGAACUGGAUACUCAUGAUGAGAAAUGGAUUGAGAUGAGAAAUGGAUGGUGAUGAGAAUUGGAUUGUGUUGAUAAUUGGAUAGUACGGCUUUGGGAUUUCUUUCUCGCAGGGAGUCGAGAAAGGAUCUCUGGCCGAGGUUGAUAACGCUACUACUACUUUACUUUAUGCUACUCUACUCCCUCCUAUUUGCUGCAAGAGGGUGGUUUCCAGAAGAUGCUAGUCUUCGAUAGGACUAGGCCUUCUCUCUAUUCUGGCAUUUCUGCAGUCAAUUCCACAUAUACAGCCUUCCUUUGAUAAUGUUGCAUCUGUAGUGUAGAUCCUUGCUUGCGAGUACUUUGGACGAGUACUCACGGUUGCUUUGCUCCCUCUUUUUCCCCUUUUCCAUUCUUCUCGGAUGACGCAACCAGAUGACGGAGUCCAGGAGCCAGAUGACACCUUUGACGACUGCUACUACCCCGAGGGUGCCUACUACCACGUGACGGAGCCCGCGGAUGACCAGGAGUAGUUAGGAGGCUCCCAGGCAGGAGGCCUUGCCUUUUCGAUCGUAGAUGCUUUUGUGCUAGCCUUCUUAAGGCACUUGUCUAACUCAUGUAUGUACUCAGAUAUUGUUGCUUCCGCUGACUCUUGUGUUUUCGAGCUUAUGUAUUCGAGCCCUCGAGGCCCCUGGCUUGUAAUAUAAAGCUUGUAUUAUUUUAAUUUGUGUCUAGAGUUGUGUUGUGAUAUCUUCCCGUGAGUCCUUGAUCUUGAUCGUACACAUUUGCGUGUAUGAUUAGUGUACGAUUGAAUCGAGGGCGUCACACUACUACUACUACCCAGAGGGUGCCUUCUACUACGUGGAGCCUGCCGACGACCAGGAGUAGUUAGGAGGUCCCAGGCAGGAGGCCUUUCCUCUUCGAUCGUUGAUGUUUGUGCUAGCCUUCUUAAGGCAAAAACUUGUUUAACUUAUGUCUGUACUCAGGUAUUGUUGCUUCCGCAAACUCUUGUGUAUCGAGCUAUGUAUUCGAGCCCUCGAGGCCCCUGGCUUGUAAUAUAAAGCUUUGUAUUAUUUCUUUUUUGUGUCUAGAGUUGUGUUGUGAUAUCUUCCAGUGAGUCCCUGAUCUUGAUCGUACACAUUUGCGUGUAUGAUUAGUGUACGGUCGAGUCGGGGGGCGUCUCAAGUUGGUAUCAAAUCGACUGCCUGUAGGUACCCCCUUUCCAACUCCUUGGCCGAAGUUGAGUCUAGUCUUUGAAAAAUUGUUUUACUAACAUGGCUGUGUGGCUUAUCGGGCCCACGUCGCCAUUGGGUGGUAUUAGUAUCUUUUACUCCUCAUCUAUACUCUGGGAUUCUGGCCUCUCUUCUAUUCGGGUUAAAUUAUUUUGCUAACUCUAUCCUAGGUUCUCGUGAUCACUUCCAUCUGGAGAAUCGUAUUACGCCUUUCUCGAAUUGAGGGCUAAGUUCUGCUUCAAUGUUCACUGACCACAGGUUCCUCUUAUCAAGGGCACCCUGCAUCAUUAAUUUCAAAUCCCUCGCUCUAGAGGUUUUCCUUGACGUUGAUGUAGCCUUUGCUAUGCCCCGUUGUUGAAUCCCUCCAUCGCGUGCAUACAUGACGCCUAGUAUGUCAAGGAUGUUUCCCUUGUCCGAACUCAUGCAAACAACGUGUAAUUGGCUCUAUACAUGUAUCAGUAUGUCUUUAAUGACUACUGCUUUGUACAUACUGCGCCUUUGCUCAUGUUCAAGUUACAUCAUGAAUGACUCCAUACACUUGCUCCACCCCUUGCUAAACUACACCAUGUUGCAUCUAAGCAGGAUAGUUAGACCCGCUGAUCGUGGCCAUGGUGGCAAAAAUCCACCACCUCCCGAAUACAUGGCCGGAAUGAUACAUCAGUUUGAUGUUGAAUGGCCAGUUCAGGAAGGAGUCAUGGCUCAGUUUCCACGUCCCAAUAUGAACCAACAACCAGCCCUAGUAACUCUGCAAUACUUUGUGCGCCUCAACCCUGUCCUCUACUGAAGCUCAACUCAGCCCUUAAUGUUGAUGACUGGCUCCGUGACAUCAUUUUCGAGUUUGGGUCUGCUGAUAUAGCCCCUGCCAACUAUGUCACCUUCAUGGCUUAUUACCUAAAAGGUCCUGCUGCUCAAUGGUGGGAUAGCCACAGGCGUUCCUUACCUGUUGGAACCGCCAUUGCUUACCCGAAAUUCCAAGUUGCAUUCUGCGGGCCAAUGUCGAACCACCAUGGUUAGUCACAACGCCCCCGUUGAAAUUGAAAGGUUGGAAUUCCAUGUUUCCCCCAUUGUUUUGAAGUCGUCCAAUAUUGACCUCAUUCUGGGAAUGGAGUGGUUGAAAACACAUGCCACUUCUAUUAUUUGCGCUACUAAAACUGUCCAUCUACUACAUCCUUCAAGUGUGAUAGUAAGCUACCAUGCUCAUCUUGUUCGAAAUGCCGAAGUACAGAUUUAUUCCUUGAAUGAGUUAAAUGCUUCUCCUUUUGAGAGAAUUGAAAACGCUCCAGCCGUUUGUGAAUUCCAACAUGCCUCUCCAAAAGAACUACCUAGUCCAUAACCUUGAAGGUGCUACAGUAAAAUCUCCACUAAAGUUGUGGCGACAUUUUCUUCUUGGUAAUCGUUGCGAGAUCUUCACCGAUCAUGAAAGUCUGAAGUAUCUAUUUACUCAGCUAGAUCUGGAUCUCCGUCAGCAGCGAUGUAUCGAACCAAUUACCGCCUAUGACUAUGGUGUUUCUUAUACCCCUGGCAAGGCUAGUGUCAUAGCCAAUGCCCUGAGUCACAAAUCUUAAUUGCAACAUCCACUUGGCUUCUAAAGCUCAACCCUUGCAAGAUGAUCUCACUUAUAGAAAAGCAUCUCGUCCGCGUUCUCAAUCAAGCUGAACGUCGCAUCGUCUGAGGGCUAUCGAAUUUCUAGAAGUUCAGUGGUCAAAUCAUUCUGAAGAUGAAGCCACUGGGAAACUCGAGGGUCGUCUUCGAGAUGAAUACCCCGUUCUGUUUCCUUCUACCUCUUAAAUCUCGGGACGAGAUUUCUUGUAGUGGAGGAGAAUUGUGACGCCCGAAUAAUUAAGCUACAGUAAACCCUCGUUAAUGGUGCUAUGUCAUCACAUUACUGUUGCUGAUCCUCGGUUGAUCCAAGUCACAAUCCAAAUUCAAAUUUAAAAUAAAAGUCCAAGAUUCAAAUUUCUCAAACACGCAAAAUAAAAUGUUCAAAGUGUGUAAAAUAUUCCAUAGCUAAUUAUAGUGGUGACCCAACAUUUUUAUAAAGUGAUUAAUUGCACUAAACUAAAUAAUCGUUGGCUAAAAUAAUAAGUUAAAUGCUUUUAAAAUUUAUAAAAAUGCUAAACUAUUUUAUUUAAACCUCAAACCUGUUGUGGCAGUGGUAUAAAUAGAAAUACUAAUUUAGGAACAAAUUCUAUGUUUUAUAAAACUCUAAUGAAUUAAAAAUCAAAACAAAACAACAAAAAGGGUAAAAGUAAAUGAGAAAAAAAAGCCCCACUAAUUCCCCUGGGCCUUGGCCACUGGACAGGCCCAGCAAACCCAGCAAACCCCCAAGGUCGCCCCUCCCUUCCUGUUCCCCUGGCGCGGUCGCAACAGGGGCAUGAAUGCCCCCGACCGUCUCGCCGACGCCGACGGGGAGGGGAUAGGGCCGCCUUCCCCUCGGUCCCCUCGUCUCCCCGCUCCACUUCCCCCUCUCCUCCUCGGUUCCUCCUCCCCCCCUCUCGCCAGAUCCGCUCCAUCCGCGGCGCCUCGACGCCGACGCCACCUCGCCCCGACGCCGUCCCGAGGGCUCGCCGUCGCCAUGGACGCAGCCACCAGCCUCCCCUCUCCGUUCCGAGCUGUCCGACAGCUCCAUCGCGGACGCCUUCCUCCUCCUCGUAGACGAGAUCGGACCGGGACGGCCCCGCAGCACCGCCCCGACCCCUUCGACCACCUCGGAACGCCACCGCGCCGUCUGCCUCCUCCACUACGACGGCGGGCUUCCUCCACUUUGACCGUCUGCUGCUCCUGAACCUCCCGCCGAGCCGCCGUGUGCUCCUAGGUGAGCACCACGUCCAAACUCCCCUUCUCCUCUUCGAUUUGACACCGUAGGAUGCUGCGACCGACUCGCCCGAAGCUCCGCGCGACCGUUCCUCCCCUGUACGCGCUCGCGCUCCCCUGGCCCGCACACGCACGGCGCCGUCGCUGUCAUCUCGCACUCGCGCCGGAACACGCUCCCCGGGAUCCCCUACUACGCCCGGGCCACAGCCCUGCUCGUCCGCCCGCGCCUCCAAUUACGAGCACGCGCGCUCCCCUGCACGCCCGGCACUACUCGCUGCUCCCCGCGCUGGUCGUGCCUUGCGCGUGCGCACGCGCCGGCGUGCGUGCCUGCUGCUACCAGCGGCUACUGCUUCUGGUUGCCCACUGCUGCUGCCGCUUGCUACUCAUCUACUGCUACUGAUGCUAAGUGAUGAUAGCAACUGUAGCUACUAGCUAGCUUUUUAGUUUUUACAUUGAGUAACCCCCUAAACAGCCCCUAAACUUUGGUUAAACAACUGUUAACAAGGCUAAAAAUAAUAUUAGUAGAAAGUACACUUGACAAUGCUUAAAUGUGUCCACUGGACCAAAUCCAUUUGACGCAUGAAAUAAAUCCUAUGAAAAUCACAAAAUGCUAUCUUUUGUUAGCAGAAAACAGAACUGUGUGUGCGUGUGUGUAUUCUGUGUGUGUGGUGGCCGACAGGCUCUACGUUAGCUAAUUAGUACUCCUACUUUUUAGUCUAAUCAGUGGUUAGGUAUAGUGCAAAUGACAGCUGGACCUCCCUUUAAAUAUCCACUUAAAAAGAAAAUGCAAGACAUGCGUGAAUGACACCUAGGCCCAUCUACAGUUUUGACCAGUCAACAGUCAAACUGUUGACUGUUGACUGCACUGUUGACUGAGUCAACUGGGACCCCCUGGACCCACUGUCAGCCUCUAGUGGCCCUGCUGUGUACACUCUGCCGGGUGCACAUAGCAAUUUCACCUUUUAUCCCGAAUUAAUAAUAAUUUUAGAAUAUUGUUUAAAUCUUUGGAAAAUCAUAUAAAUUAAUCCGUAAUGCGGAUGAAAAAGUUUUCUACAUGAAAGUUGCUCAAAACGACGAGACGAAUCUGAAUACGCGAUCCGUUUGUCUGCCACAUGCCCCUAACUACCUGAACAUGCAACUUUUCCCCUCCGUUUCAUUUGUCCGAAAAUGCUAAACCUGGGGAAACAUUCCCGAAUGUUGACCCCCUUCGCCGGUAACGUGUAGCACCGCGUUAGAACACGUCUAGCUCUGCCUGUUGUCAUGUUAUGCUCUUGCUUGCUAUGUAUUUACUAUUUCUCCCCCCUCUUCUCUCCGGUAGACCCCGAGACUGUCGUUGUGAUCAACUACGUCGACGACGACUCCUUGUCUGAACAACCAGGCAAGCCCCCCCUUUGAUCAUCCCGAUAUCGCCCAUUCUAUACUCUCAUGCUUUCAUUAGAUUUUGCUACUGUUAUUGUUUGCUCCUAUUCUGAUGCAUAGCCUUCUUUUGUACAUGUUAUUGUUACCUACCUGCUCAUCCUAAACUGCUUAGUAUAGGUUGGUUAGUGAUCCAUAAGUGACCCCCACCUUGUCCUUGUUGCCCCUGCUUCAUCAUCGACGACUCGAUCCACGUGAUCGAUGACCAGAGCCCAACACCUCACAUCACAUCACGCCCCUUUUGUUGCUCGACUCUGCAGAGCUACUAUCGAGUGUCGAGGGUGAUCCCUCAUAACGCACUCCUGAUGAUAAUUCUGUAGUGUAGCUAUUCGGUCAUGGUCAUCGAGGGUGAUUUCCUCUUUCACCAUUACCGAUACGGCUCUGUCGUUCAACACCUCAAGUGUGAACCUCGAGGGUGGUCCCUCUUACGUUCACCUUGAUGAUUACAUUGAGUGGAAUCCACCGGGGGUGAUUCCUCGGGUUUUCCCCUUGAUGUCUGGACACGCAGUUAUCUUGACUUUACUGGAGACCGUUGUGAAAGCCGGGCGGGCCCGGAGAGCACCCGUGCGAUGUGACAGUGGCGGCUGGCUGUUUAGCGGUAUCACCCGGGAAGGGGUGAUAGCUCCGGACUUGUCCCGACAGCCGUCACUCCUUUUAAUAAUGCACUAACAGGUUUGGGUAUUUGUUCUGAAUUGGCCUUUGGCCUUUACGCACUAACCACCACGCGAGAAUAGUUAUGGGCCUCGACAUCGUGGUAUCAGCCAAAGCUUUGUCAGACGUCCAGUUCAGCAUUGUGGCCGGGCCGGAUCGUGCCAUCCACUUCACGGGUGUUGCUAGUAUCCCCUUGCGCACAACGACCCGGAGUGCAACGGGCGAUGGGCCUAGACCCCGGAGUGCUUAGGAUGUAGACCGGCGGGGACCUCUUUGCUGAGCCUAGGUCGGGCUGCGACGUGUUGAUCUUCCGAGGGAAGGCAUUGACCCCAGAAAGGUGUGUCCGGCCAGAGUGAUCGAGCGUGUUGGGUAACGUGGUGCACCCCUGCAGGGAAGUUAUAUAUUCGAAUACCGUGUCCAUAGUAAUGGACGUUCAGACUUGUAUCCUGAUCUUAUACAACUAGAAAUGGAUACUUGAUAUGUGAUGGAUAUGUGGCUCCGGGAUUGCUUUCUCGCAGGGAGUCGAGGAAGGAUCUCUGGGCGUUAAUGUUACUGUUGGGGAACGUAGUAAUUUCAAAAAAAAAAUCCUACGCACACGCAAGAUCAUGGUGAUGCAUAGCAACGAGAGGGGAGUGUAUCUUCAUACCCUUGAAGACCGCUAAGCGGAAGCGUUUAUCAAUGCGGUUGAUGUAGUCGUAUGUCUUCACGAUCCGACCGAUCCAAGUAUCGAACGCACGGCACCUCCGAGUUCUGCAAAUGUUCAGCUCGAUGACGUCCUUGCCUUCUCGAUCCAGCAAGAAAGGCGAAGUAGUAGAUGAGUUCCGGCAGCACGACGGCGUGGUGACGGUGUUGGUGAAGAACAAUCUCCGCAGGGCUUCGCCUAAGCACUACGGAAACUAUGACGGAGGAUAAACUAGAGGGGACGGGGUUGCCGGCACACGGCUUGGUGUUUCUUGAUGUGUCUUUGGUGCUAGCCCUACCCCUCUAUUUAUAUGUUGAGCCUUCGGGUCGAAACUUGGAGUAAAAGCCUCAACAAAGUCGGUUUCACCCGAAAGGCAAGAGUCCUUCUCGGACUCCAGGGCCAGACGCCAGGGUUCCCGGCGUUUGGACCCAGACGCCAGGGACCCUGGCGUCUGGCCCCUGGACUCCGCAAAACUUCCUUUUGCACUUUCCAAAAACCUUGUGGGCUUUCCCCUUUGGCCCAAAUAACGUGGUCUCGUACCCAAACAUUUCGGGAAACAUCCGGAACCCCUUCCGGUGAAUUCCGGAACUCUUCUGGAGAUCAAACACUAUUAUCCCAUAUAUCAAACUUUAUCUCCGGACCAUUCCGGAGUUCCUCGUCAUGUCCAUGAUCUCAUCCGGGACUCCUAACAACAUUUGGUUACCAACAUACAUAACUCAUAUAAUACUAUAUCGUCAACGAAACGUUAAGCGUGCGGACCCUACGGGUUCGAGAACUAUGUAGACCUGACCUAGAACUUGUUUCCGGUCAAUAACCAAUAGCGGGACCUGGAUGCCCAUAUUGGCUCCCACAUAUUCUACGAAGAUCUUUAUCGGUCAAACCGCAUAACAACAUACGUUGUUCCCUUUGUCAUCGGUAUGUUACUUGCCCGAGAUUUGAUCGUUGGUAUCCAAUACCUAGUUCAAUCUCGUUACCGGCAAGUCUCUUUACUCGUUACGUAAUGCAUCAUUCCGUAACUAACUCAUUAGCUACAUUGCUUGCAAGGCUUAUAGUGAUGUGCAUUACCGAGAGGGGCCAGAGAUACCUCUCCGACAAUCGGAGUGACAAAACCUAAUCUCGAAAUACGCCAACCCAACAUGUACCUUCGGAGACACCUGUAGUACUCCUUUAUAAUCACCCAGUUACGUUGUGACGUUUGGUAGCACCCAAAGUGUUCCUCCGAUAAACAGGAGUUGCAUAAUCUCAUAGUUACAGGAACAUGUAUAAGUCAUGAAGAAAGCAAUAGCAACAUACUAAAUGAUCAAGUGCUAGGCUAAUGGAAUGGGUCAUGUCAACCACAUCAUUCUUCUAAUGAUGUGAUCCCGUUAAUCAAAUGACAACUCUUUUGUCCAUGGCUAGGAAACAUAACCAUCUUUGAUAAACGAGCUAGUCAAGUAGAGGCAUACUAGUGACACUAUGUUUGUCUAUGUAUUCACACAUGUAUUAUGUUUCCGGUUAAUACAAUUCUAGCAUGAAUAAUAAAAAUUUAUCAUGAUAUAAGGAAAUAAAUAAUAACUUUAUUAUUGCCUCUAGGGCAUAUUUCCUUCAGUCUCCCACUUGCACUAGAGUCAAUAAUCUAGUUCACAUCACCAUGUGAUUUAACACCAACAUUCACAUCUGUAUGUGAUUAACACCCAUAGUUCACAUUGUCAUGUGACCAACACCCAAAGGGUUUACUAGAUUUAAUAAUCUAGCUCAUAUCGCUAUGUGAUUAACACCCAAAGAGUACAAAGGUAUGAUCAUGUUUUGUUCGUGAGAGAAAUUUAGUCAACGGGUCUGUCACAUACAAAGCCGUAUGUAUUUUGCAAAUAUUCUAUGUCUUCAAUGCUCUGCAUGGAGCUACUCUAGCUUAAUUGCUCCCAUUUUUAAUAUGUAUCCAGAUUGAGACUUCAAGUCAUCUGGAUCAGUGUAAAAGUUUGCACUGAUAUAACUUUUACAACAAACUCUUUUAUCCCCUCCAUAAUCGAGAAACAUCUCCUUAGUCCUCACUAAGGAUAUUCUUGACUGUUGUCCAGUGAUCUACUAUUAGAUCAAAAUUGUAUUCCUUUGCCAAACUCAGAGCAAGGUAUACAAUAUGUCUGAGGCAUAGGGAAUGACUUUAUAGAACCUAUGACUGAGGCAUAGGGAAUGACUUUUCAUUCUCUUUCUAUUUUCUGCCAUGGUCGGGUCUUGAGUCUUACUCAACUUCACACCUUGCAACACAGGCAAGAACUCCUUCUUUGACUGUACCAUUUUGAACUAUUUCAAAAAUUUAUCAAGGUAUGUACUCAUUGAAAAAUCUUAUCAAGCGUCUUGAUCUAUCUAUAUAGAUCUUGAUGCUCAAUGUGUAAGCAGCUUCACCGAGGUCUUUCUUUGAAAAACUCUUAUUCAAGUAUCCUUUCAUGCUAUCCGGAAUUUCUAUAUCAUUUCCAAUCAACAAUAUGUCAUCCACAUAUAAUAUUAGAAAUGCUACAGAGCUCCCACUCACUUUCUUGUAAAUACAGGCUUCUCAAAAAGUCUGUAUAAAACCAUAUGAUUUGAUCUACUCAUCAAAGCGUAUAUUCCAACUCCGAGAGGCUUGCACCAGUCCAUAAAUGGAUCAAUGGAGCUUGCACACUUUGUUAGCACCUUUAGGAUUGACAAAACUUCUGGUUGCAUCAUAUACAACUCUUCUUUAAUAAAUCCAUUAAGGAAUGCAGUUUUGAUAUCCUUUUGCCAGAUUUCAUAAAAUGUGGUAAUUGCUAACAUGAUUCGGACAGACUUAAGCAUCGCUACAGUUGAGAAAAUCUCAUUGUAGUCAACACCUUGAACUUGUCGAAAACCUUUUUGCGACAAGUCGAGCUUUGUAGAUAGUAACACAACUAUCAGCAUCUGUCUUCCUCUUAAAGAUCCAUUUAUACAAUAUGGCUUGCCGAUCAUCGGGUAAAUCCACCAAAGUCCACACUUUGUUCUCAUACAUGGAUCCCAUCUCAGAUUUCAUGGCCUCAAACCAUUUCGCGGAAUCUGGGCUCAUCAUCGCUUCCUCAUAGUUCGUAGGUUCAUCAUGGUCUAGUAACAUGACUUCUAGAACAGGAUUACCGUACCACUCUAGUGCGGACUGUACUUUGGAAGACCUACGAGGUUUUUGUAGUAACUUGAUCUGAAGUUUCAUGAUCAUCAUCAUUAGCUUCCUCACUAAUUGGUGUAGGAAUCACUGGAACUGAUUUCUGUGAUGAACUACUUUCUAAUUCGGGAGAAGGUACAAAUUACCUUAUCAAGCUCUUACUUUCCUCCCACUCACUUCUUUCGAGAGAAACUCCUUCUCUAGAAAGGAUCCAUUCUUAGCAACGAAUGUUUUGCCUUCGGAUCUGUGAUAGAAGGAGUACCCAACAAUUUCCUUUGGGUAUUCUAUGAAGACGCACUUCUCCGAUUUGGGUUCGAGCUUAUCAGGUUGAAAACUUUUUUCAUAUAAGCAUCGCAACUCCAAACUUUAAGAAAUGACAACUUAGGUUUACUGUUAAACCAUAGUUCAUACGGUGUCGUCUCAACGGAUUUAGAUGGUGCCCUAUUAAACGUGAAUGCAGCUGUCUCUAAUGCAUAACCCCAAAACGAUAGUGGUAAACUGAUAAGAGAUAUCAUAGAUCGCACCAUAUCUAGUAAAGUACGAUUACGACGUUCGGACACACCAUUACAUUGUGGUGUUCCAGGUGGCCUGAGCUGUGAAACUAUUCCACAUUGUUUUAUAUGAAGGCCAAACUCGUAACUCAAAUAUUCCCCUCCACGAUCAGAUCAUAGAAAAUUUAUUUUUCUUGUUACGAUGAUUCUGCACUUCACUCUGAAAUUCUUUGAACUUUUCAACUAUUUCAGACUUAUGUUUCAUCAAGUAGAUAUAUCCAUAUCUGCUCAAAUCAUAUGUGAAGGUCAGAAAAUAAUGAGACAUGCCACGAGCAUCAACACUCAUUGGAUCGCAUACAUCGGUAUGUAUUAUUUCCAAUAAGUCAGUAGCUUAUUCCAUUGUUCCGGAGAACGGAGUUUUAGUCAUCUUGCCCAAAAGGCACGGUUCGCAAGCAUCAAAUGAUUCAUAACCAAGUGAUUCCGAAAAUCCAUCUUUAUGGUGUUUCUUCAUGCGCUUUACACCGAUAUGACUCAAACGGCAGUGCCACAUAUAAGUUUGCACUAUCAUUAUUAACUUUGCAUCUUUUGGCAUCAAUAUUAUGAAUAUGUGUAUCACUACGAUCGAGAUCCAACAAACUAUUUUCAUUGGGUGUAUGUGUUGGGCCAGGCCCAAAACAGGGCACGGGCACGCGCGGCCUGGGUUACGCCAUAUCUUACUCCGUAUCCACCGCGCCCUCCCCCAACGGCACGCGUCGAAUGCGGCAUCGUGGGAGAUAUCGUGGGUGGUUUCUUUAUUCGGAAAGGCGGAAUGUCCACCCCCUCCCUCUUUAUAAGCAGGGGAAACAGGGGCAGUUCGCCCAUCUCGCCGGUUGCUACUCCAAUCUCGGAAAUUUCCGCCGCUCCCCCCUUCUUCUCAAAGCCGAAAGAGAGCAGCGCGCCGCCUCCCAUUGCCACCAGCACCACCAACGCCGUCGAUCUCCCCCACCACCUCCGCCAUGGCUCCGAAAGCCGACAAGGGGAAGGGCAUGAAAUCGGUCGAGGUGCAGCGGCUCGCGGCGCUGCGAAAGGAGCGGGCCAUCUUCCCCCCUCAGCUUACCGCGAAGGAGCUGAGGGAGUACUACUACCUCUUCUGGUCGACGGAGACGCGAGCGCAUCCGCGCACGAAGGUACUCCCGGCUGCCGCUUCGGAACUGGCUCCGAACGGAUACCCCUUCUUUGCGCUGUUCUUCUACUGCGGGCUCUGCCCGCCCUUCUCUGAAUUUUUCUGUGACAUCAUGAACACCUAUGGGUUCCGCCUCCUUGACUUCACCCCCAACGCCGUUCUGACCAUGGCAGUUUUCGCACAUCUCUGCGAAAACUUUGUCGGAGUCCAUCCAAACGUAGCUCUUUUUCGCCACUUCUUUAUGCCCCGAGUCGAGAGAGGAGAGCCUUUAUCCGGCGGAAUCGCCUGGAUCUCGAGAGUCGGCAAGAAGGAAGCUUAUCUGGAGGGAGAGCUCCGCAGCAAGUGGGAGGAAUGGAGAGCAGAGUGGUGCUGGAUUGUCGAGGAGAACCCGCAGCCAUUUACCGCCCUGCGACAAGCCCCAAUAGCGCGUGGCAACGAUUGGAGCAACGUGGCCCCAGAAGACGAUAGGCUGAAGAUUGCCGUCACCCGGAUCCUUUGCCUCAGGCUUGUCGGGCUCACCGUAGGCGUCGUUGGCGCAGAUUUUCUUCGCUGCCGCAUCGCCCCCCUGCAGGAGAGGAGGAGACCCGCCUGGGAGUUCCAGAACUCGGCGGAUAUCAUGAGGCUGCGCCCGGGCCUCAACUUCAACUUCACUGUCCUGGAGCUGGACGCGAUGCUCCUGGAACUGUUCAAGCGCGAUCCUCAACAUCCAUUCAUGUUGCCGAGGGGUGUCAUUCCAUUGUGCAACAACUCCUCGCUCGACCGCAUCCGUGCAAUGAUGCCGCUGUGCGACUCGCAUGGAAUUGUCCCAACUUGGCAAGAGCCGGCAGACGCCGUCGUGCAGGAGUUCUUUGACGGCUUGGUUGAAGUGCCGGUCCGCUCCGACGAGCGGAAGAGCCUUACUCGCGACACCACCGACGCGGAGAUGCAGCGCAUCGCCACUAGGCUGGAAGAGGCGGCGGCAGCCGCUGCCGCGGGUGAGUUUGGAUUCACCGUGGAGGAGGCAGAGGCAGCAGAGGCGGCAAGCCUCGCCGAGCGCGAGGAGUUUGCCGGCGAGGGAGAGCUUGUCGGGCCCGAAGAUGAGUCGAGCGAGCCCGGCGAGGGAGAGCUUGUCGGACCCGAACCUUCAGACAGCUUGCCGCAAGCGGAGCCCCCAGCUCCACCAAGAAGGCGUCUCCGCAAGGCCGUGGACGUAGCGGGGCGGCAGACGAGUCAACAGCCGCCGUGUCGCGCGACACGCUCUACCGCGGCAAGCACUGUUGCCGCGGGAGCGCCUCAUGCCGCUGCGGCAACUGGAGCGGGGUCUUCCCGGCCCACCGCUACUGCUCCUGCCAAGCGGACAAGGGAAACUACUCCUCCGCCUUGUUGCACCGGAGGCGAGCCGGACUUCGAUCUCUCCGUGCUCAGCUCCGACGAGGAAGAAGAAGAGUAAGAUUCUUUGCCGUGCUUGUAGUUCUUCAAUUCUUGCUGUUUUGUCUUGUAUCUGAUUUGCUUUACUCCGAACCCAUUCCUUUUCAGGACUCUGGCCCAGAGAGCGGCGAAGAGAGCCAAGGUCCCGGUGAUUGUCAUCGAGGACGAACCCACCGCGACAGCAGAGGGCGUGUCCGAGACCAUCUUGCCGGACCCGGCAACUUUUCCCCAAAGCAGCCCCCAGCGCAGCCCCCAGCGUAAGUACAUAGUUUACUUCCUGCUGUCAGGCGCGCAUGGUUGCUCUUUCUUUGCUGAUAUCUGACUGUUGGUUUGUGUAGGAGCAGAGCAGCCCCACCAGAAGGGCCCGGAAGCCGCUCCCGAAAUGCCAUCUGCUUCGACUACACCGCCAAGGGAGGAUUCCCCGGCAAGGGAGCGUUCUCCGGCAAGGGAGAAUUCUCCGGCAAGGGAUGAUUCUCCGGCAAGGGACAGCACUGGCGACCCCCCGAUGGUUGAGACCAUGACCGCACAUCCUAGCACAGGUAAUCCUCUUGCUUGAAAACUUCCCUUGGGUUCUUCUUCUUCUGAUUUUCUUUUUGGAUAUUUGUUUGACUUUUCUCCCCUCUUCGGUCGUCAGAUCCAUCUGCUACGGAUCCGAUGGAAACCGAGGUCGCCGGUGAGGAGAACGCGCGCAGCAACACCGACGACGCUAUUGCCACUGAAGGAGAAGCCGGUGCUGAUGAUCCCGCCGGCGAAGAGGCCGCCAAAGCUGCCGCCGCAGAAGCUGGCGAGGGAUCUGGCGAUUGCACUGACGGCCCCGAGGCCGCAGGAGCGCCAGGCGCUGCGCCGACCGCCGAUCCCUCCGCCGCUGCUGCAGCGCCAGGCUCCGAAGAGCCCCAGCCCGGCGCCUAUUUGAAGGCCGGCGACGGCAUCUUCAUCAGGCUUCCCUGGGCGUCAAGCUCCAGGGCGCCGGUCGAAGGAGAGAUUUUGGAUGGAGAGGUGCUCGCCUCCGCUGGGCUGACGCUGGUUGACGCGCCAAGCAGCAGCAGCGAUGAGCCUGAGGAGGAGCGGCUGUUAGAAAUAUGCCCUAGAGGCAAUAAUAAAAGUAUUAUUAUAUUUCAUUGUUCAUGAUAAUUGUCUUGUAUUCAUGCUAUAACUGUAUUAUCCGGAAAUCGUAAUACACGUGUGAAUACUUAGACCACACUAUGUCCCUGGUAAGCCUCUAGUUGACCAGCUCGUUGUGAUCAACAGAUAGUCAUGGUUUCCUGACUAUGGACAUUGGAUGUAGUUGAUAACGGGAUCACAUCAUUAGGAGAAUGAUGUGAUGGACAAGACCCAAUCCUAAGCAUAGCAUAAAAGAUCGUGUAGUUCGUUUUGCUAGAGCUUUGCAAGUGUCAAGUAUCUCUUCCUUCGACCAUGAGAUCGUGUAACUCCUGGAUACCGUAAGAAUGCCUUGGGUGUACCAAACGUCACAACGUAACUGGGUGACUAUAAAGGUACAUUACAGGUAUCUCCGAAAGUAGCUGUUGGGUUGACACGGAUCGAGACUGGGAUUUGUCACUCCGUAUGACGGAGAGGUAUCUCUGGGCCCACUCGGUAAUGCAUCAUCAUAUUGAGCUCAAUGUGACCAAGGUGUUGGACACGGGAUCAUGCAUUACGGUACGAGUAAAGUGACUUGCCGGUAACGAGACUGAACAAGGUAUUGGGAUACCGACGAUCGAGUCUCGGGCAAGUAACGUACCGAUUGACAAAGGGAAUUGCAUACAGGGUUUGAUCGAAUCCUCGACAUAGUGGUUCAUCCGAUGACAACAUCGAGGAGCAUGUGGGAGCCAUCAUGGGUAUCCAGAUCCCGCUGAUGGUUAUUGACUAAGAGAGUCUCGGUCAUGUCUGCAUGUCUCCCGAACCCGUAGGGUCUACACACUUAAGGUUCAGUUACGCUAGGGUUAUAGGGAUAUGUAUAUGCAGUAACCCGAAUGUUGUUCGGAGUCCCGGAUGAGAUCCCGGACAUCACGAGGAGUUCCGGAAUGGUCCGUAGGUAAAGAUUUAUAUAUGGGAAGUCCUGUUUCGGGCAUCGGGACAAGUUUCGGGGUUAUCGGUAUUGUACCGGGACCACCGGAAGGGUCCCGGGGGUCCACCGGGUGGGUCCACCUGUCUCGGGGGGCCACAUGGGCUGUAAGGGGGUGCGCCUUGGCCUAAUGGGCCAAGGGCACCAGCCCCACAUAGGCCCAUGCGCCUAGGGUUCAAGGGGGGCAAGAGUCCUAGGAGGGUAAGGCACCUCCUAGGUGCCUUGGGGGGAGGGAAAACCCCCCUUGGCCGCCGCACCCCCUAGGAGAUUUGAUCUCCUAGGGCCGGCCACCCCCCCUUGGCACCCCUAUAUAUAGUGGGGGGAGAGGAGGGACUUCAUACCUGAACGCCCUGGCCUUUGGUUGCCUCCUUCUCCCUCCCCAACACCUCCUCCACCUCCAUAGUGCUUAGCGAAGCUCUGCCGGAGUACUGCAGCUCCACCAACACCACGCCGUCGUGCUGCUGCUGGUGCCAUCUCCCUCAACCUCUCCUCCCUUCCUUGCUGGAUCAAGAAGGAGGAGACGUGGCUGUUCCGUACGUGUGUUGAACGCGGAGGUGCCGUCCGUUCGGCGCAGGUCAUCGGUGAUUUGGAUCACGUCGAGUACGACUACAUCAUCACCUUGCAAGCUUCCGCAUGCGAUCUACAAGUGGUAUGUAGAUGCAAACUCUCUCCCUAGACUCGUUGCUUAGAUGAACUCAUAGAUGGAUCUUGGUGAAACCGUAGGAAAAAUUUUAAUUUUCUGCAAUGUUCCCCAUCAGUGGCAUCAUGAGCUAGGUCUUUGCGUAGUUCUCUUUGCACGAGUAGAACACAACUUUGUUGUGGGCGUGGAUUUUGUCAUCUUACUUGCCUCUACUAGUCUUUUCUUGCUCAACGGUAUUGUGGGAUGAAGCGGCCCGGACCAACCUUACACGUACACUUACGUGAGACCGGUUCCACCGACUGACAUGCACAAGUUGCAUAAGGUGGCUGGCGGGUGUCUGUCUCUCCCACCUUAGUUGGAGCGGAAUCGAUGAACAGGGCCCUUAUGAAGGGUAAAUAGAAGUUGACAAAAUCACGUUGUGGUGAUUCGUAGGUAAGAAAACGUUCUUGCUAGAACCCAAUUGCAGCCACGUAAAAGAUGCAACAACAAUUAGAGGACGUCUAACUUGUUUUUGCAGCGAUUGAUCAUGUGAUGUGAUAUGGCCAGAAGUUGUGAUGAAUGAUUAAUUGUGAUGUAUGAGAUCAUGUUCUUUGUAAUAGGAUUCACGACUUGCAUGUCGAUGAGUAUGACAACCGGCAGGAGCCAUAGGAGUUGUCAUUAUUUUUUGUAUGACCUGCGUGUCAUUGAAUAACGUCAUGUAAACUACUUUACUUUAUUGCUAAACGUUAGUCAUAGAAGUAGAAGUAGUCGUUGCCGUGACAACUUCAUGAAGACACGAUGAUGGAGAUCAUGAUGAUGGAGAUCAUGGUGUCAAGCCGGUGACAAGAUGAUCAUGGAGCCCCGAAGAUGAAGAUCAAUGGAGCUAUAUGAUAUUGGCCAUAUCAUGUCACAACUAUAUAAUUGCAUGUGAUGUUUAUUAUGUAUUAUGCAUCUUGUUUACUUAGGACGACGGUAGUAAAUAAGAUGAUCCCUUAUAAAAUUUCAAGAAGUGUUCUCCCCUAACUGUGCACCGUUGCUACAGUUCGUCGUUUCUAAGCACCACGUGAUGAUCGGGUGUGAUGGAUUCUUACGUUCACAUACAACGGGUGUAAGACAGUUUUACACAGCGAAAACACUUAGGGUUAACUUGACGAGCCUAGCAUGUGCAGACAUGGCCUCGGAACACGGAGACCGAAAGGUCGAACACGAGUCGUAUGGAAGAUACGAUCAACAUGAAAAUGUUCACCAACGAUGACUAGUCCGUCUCACGUGAUGAUCGGACACGGGCUAGUCGACUCGGAUCGUGUAACACUUAGAUGACUAAAGGGAUGUCUAAUCUAAGUGGGAGUUCAUAAUUUGAUUAGAACUUUAUUAUCAUGAACUUAGUCUAAAACCUUUGCAAAUAUGUCUUGUAGAUCAAUGGCCAACGCUAAUGUCAACAUGAACUUCAACGCGUUCCUAGAGAAAACCAAGCUGAAAGAUGAUGACAGCAACUAUACGGACUGGGUCCGGAACCUGAGGAUCAUCCUCAUAGCUGCCAGGAAACAAUAUGUCCUAGAAGGACCGCUAGGUGACGCUCCCGUCCCAGAGAACCAAGACAUUAUGAAUGCUUGGCAGUCUCGUGCUGAUGAUUACUCCCUCGUUCAGUGCGGCAUGCUUUACAGCUUAGAACCGGGGCUCCAAAAGCGUUUUGAGCACCACGAAGCAUAUGAGAUGUUCGAAGAGCUGAAACUAGUUUUUCAAGCUCAUGCCCGGGUCGAGAGAUAUGAUGUCUCCGACAAGUUCUACAGUUGUAAGAUGGAGGAAAACAGUUCUGUCAGUGAGCACAUCCUGAAGAUGUCUGGGUUGCACAACCGUAUGACCCAGCUGAACAUUAACCUCCCAGAUGAGGCGGUCAUUGACAGAAUCCUCUAGUCGCUCCCACCAAGCUACAAGAGCUUUGUGAUGAACUACAACAUGCAGGGGAUGGAAAAGACCAUUCCUGAAGUGUUCUCGAUGCUGAAGUCAGCAGAGGCUGAAAUCAAGAAAGAACAUCAAGUGUUGAUGGUCAAUAAGACCACUAAGUUCAAGAAGGGCAAGGGUAAGAAGAACUUCAAGAAGGACGGCAAAGAUGUUGCCGCGCCUGGUAAGGCAGUUACCGGGAAGAAGUCAAAGAAUGGACCCAAGCCUGAGACUGAGUGCUUUUAUUGCAAGGGGAAGGGUCACUGGAAGCGGAACUGCCCCAAAUACUUAGCGGAUAAGAAGGCCGGCAACACCAAAGGUAUAUUUGAUAUACAUGUGAUUGAUGUGUACCUUACCAGUAAUCGUAGUAACUCCUGGGUAUUUGAUACCGGUGCCGUUGCUCAUAUUUGUAACUCACAGCAGGAGCUGCGGAAUAAACGGAGACUGGCAAAGGACGAGGUGACGAUGCACGUCGGGAAUGGUUCCAGAGUCGAUGUGAUCGCCGUCGGCACGCUGCCUCUACAUUUACCUACGGGAUUAGUUUUGAACCUUAAUAAUUGUUAUUUAGUGCCAAGUUUGAGCAUGAACAUUGUAUCAGGAUCUCGUUUAAUACGAGAUGGCUACUCAUUUAAGUCUGAGAAUAAUGGUUGUUCGAUUUAUAUGAGAGAUAUGUUUUAUGGUCAUGCUCCGAUGGUCAAUGGUUUAUUCUUAAUGAAUCUCGAGCGUAAUAUUACACAUGUUCAUAGUGUAGAUGCCAAAAGAUUUAAAGUUGAUAACGAUAGUCCCACAUACUUGUGGCACUGCCGCCUUGGUCACAUUGGUGUCAAGCGCAUGAAGAAGCUCCAUGCCGAUGGACUUUUAGAGUCUCUUGAUUAUGAAUCGUUUGACACGUGCGAACCAUGCCUCUUAGGUAAAAUGACCAAGACUCCGUUCUCCGGAACAAUGGAGCGAGCAACCAACUUGUUGGAAAUCAUACAUACCGAUGUGUGCGGUCCAAUGAGCGUUGAGACUCGCGGAGGAUAUCGUUAUGUUCACUCUCACAGAUGACUUGAGUAGAUAUGGGUAUGUCUACUUAAUGAAACACAAGUCUGAGACCUUUGAAAAGUUCAAGAAAUUUCAGAAUGAGGUGGAGAAUCAACGUGACCGAAAGAUAAAAUUCUUACGAUCAGAUCGUGGAGGAGAAUAUUUAAGUCACGAAUUAGGUACACACUUAAAGAAAUGUGGAAUCGUUUCACAGCUCACGCCGUCUGGAACACCUCAGCGAAACGGUGUGUCCGAACGUCGUAAUCGCACUCUAUUGGAUAUGGUGCGGUCUAUGAUGUCUCUUACCGAUUUACCGCUAUCAUUUUGGGGAUACGCUCUAGAGACAACUACAUUCACUUUAAAUAGGGCACCGUCUAAAUCCGUUGAGACGACACCGUAUGAAUUAUGGUUUGGAAAGAAACCUAAGCUGUCGUUUCUAAAAGUUUGGGGAUGCGAAGCUUAUGUCAAGAAACUUCAACCUGAAAAGCUCGAACCCAAGUCGGAAAAAUGCGUAUUCAUAGGAUACCCUAAGGAAACUAUAGGGUAUACCUUCUACUUAAGAUCCGAAGGCAAGAUCUUUGUUGCCAAGAACGGAUGCUUUCUGGAAAAAGAGUUUCUCUCGAAAGAAGUAAGUGGGAGGAAAGUAGAACUCGAUGAAGUACUACCUCUUGAGCGGGAUAGUGACGCAGCACAAGAAACCAUUCCUGUGAUGCCCACACCAACUGAAGAGGAAAACCAUGAUAAUGAUCAAGGUACUUCGGAUCAAGUUACUGCUGAACUUCGUAGGUCCACAAGGACACGUUCCGCACCAGAGUGGUACGGCAACCCUGUCCUGGAAAUCAUGUUGUUAGACAACAAUGAACCUUCGAACUAUGAAGAAGCAAUGACGGGCCCGGAUUCCAACAAAUGGCUUGAAGCCAUGAAAUCCGAGAUAGAAUCCAUGUAUGAAAACAAAGUAUGGACUUUGACAGACUUGCCCGAUGAUCGGCGAGCGAUAGAAAACAAAUGGAUCUUUAAGAAGAAGACGGACGCGGAUGGUAAUGUUACCAUCUAUAAAGCUCGACUUGUCGCUAAGGGUUAUCGACAGGUUCAAGGGAUUGACUACGACGAGACAUUCUCUCCCGUUGCGAAGCUAAAGUCCGUUCGAAUCAUGUUAGCAAUUGCCGCAUACUAUGAUUAUGAGAUAUGGCAGAUGGACGUCAAAACAGCAUUCCUUAACGGGCAUCUUAAGGAAGAACUGUAUAUGAUGCAGCCGGAAGGUUUUGUCGCUCCUCAGAACGCUAACAAAGUAUGCAAGCUCCAGCGAUCCAUUUAUGGACUGGUGCAAGCAUCUCGGAGUUGGAACAUUCGCUUUGAUGAGAUGAUCAAAGCGUUUGGGUUUAUGCAGACUUAUGGAGAAGCCUGCGUUUACAAGAAAGUGAGUGGGAGCUCUGUAGCAUUUCUCAUAUUAUAUGUAGAUGACAUACUCCUGAUGGGAAAUAAUAUAGAAUUUCUGGACAGCAUUAAGGCCUACUUGAAUAAGUGUUUUUCAAUGAAGGACCUUGGAGAAGCUACUUAUAUAUUAGGCAUCAAGAUCUAUAGAGAUAGAUCGAGAUGCCUCAUAGGUCUUUCACAAAGUACAUACCUUGAUAAGAUUUUGAAGAGAUUCAGAAUGGAUCAGUCCAAGAAGGGGUUCUUGCCUAUGUUACAAGGUAUGAGACUGAGCUCAGCUCAGUCACCGACCACGGCAAAAGAUAAAGAAGAGAUGAGUUUCAUCCCCUAUGCUUCAGCCAUAGGAUCUAUUAUGUAUGCCAUGCUGUGUACCAGACCCGAUGUAAACCUUGCCGUAAGUUUGGUAGCAAGAUACCAAAGUAAUCCCGGCAAGGAACACUGGACAGCGGUCAAGAAUAUCCUGAAGUACCUGAAAAGGACAAAGGACAUGUUUCUCGUUUAUGGAGGAGACGAAGAGCUCGUCGUAAAGGGUUACGUCGACGCUAGCUUCGACUCAGAUCCGGAUGACUCUAAGUCACAAACCGGAUACGUGUAUAUGUUGAAUGGUGGAGCAGUAAGCUGGUGCAGCUGCAAGCAGAGCGUCGUGGCGGGAUCUACGUGUGAAGCGGAGUACAUGGCAGCCUCGGAGGCAGCACAUGAAGCGAUUUGGGUGAAGGAGUUCAUCACCGACCUAGGAGUCAUACCCAAUGCGUCGGGGCUGAUCAAACUCUUCUGUGACAACACUGGAGCUAUUGCCCUCGCAAAGGAGCCCAGGUUUCACAAGAAGACCAGGCACAUCAAGCGUCGUUUCAACUCCAUCCGUGAAAAUGUUCAAGAUGGAGACAUAGAGAUUUGCAAAGUGCACACGGAUCUGAAUGUCGCAGAUCCGCUGACUAAACCUCUCUCGCGUGCAAAACAUGAUCAACACCAGAACUCUAUGGGUGUUCGAUUCAUCACAAUGUAACUAGAUUAGUGACUCUAGUGCAAGUGGGAGACUGUUGGAAAUAUGCCCUAGAGGCAAUAAUAAAAGUAUUAUUAUAUUUCAUUGUUCAUGAUAAUUGUCUUGUAUUCAUGCGAUAACUGUAUUAUCCGGAAAUCGUAAUACACGUGUGAAUACUUAGACCACACUAUGUCCCUGGUAAGCCUCUAGUUGACCAGCUCGUUGUGAUCAACAGAUAGUCAUGGUUUCCUGACUAUGGACAUUGGAUGUAGUUGAUAACGGGAUCACAUCAUUAGGAGAAUGAUGUGAUGGACAAGACCCAAUCCUAAGCAUAGCAUAAAAGAUCGUGUAGUUCGUUUUGCUAGAGCUUUGCAAGUGUCAAGUAUCUCUUCCUUCGACCAUGAGAUCGUGUAACUCCCGGAUACCGUAAGAAUGCCUUGGGUGUACCAAACGUCACAACGUAACUGGGUGACUAUAAAGGUACAUUACAGGUAUCUCCGAAAGUAGCUGUUGGGUUGACACGGAUCGAGACUGGGAUUUGUCACUCCGUAUGACGGAGAGGUAUCUCUGGGCCCACUCGGUAAUGCGUCAUCAUAUUGAGCUCAAUGUGACCAAGGUGUUGGACACGGGAUCAUGCAUUACGGUACGAGUAAAGUGACUUGCCGGUAACGAGACUGAACAAGGUAUUGGGAUACCGACGAUCGAGUCUCGGGCAAGUAACGUACCGAUUGACAAAGGGAAUUGCAUACAGGGUUUGAUCGAAUCCUCGACAUAGUGGUUCAUCCGAUGACAACAUCGAGGAGCAUGUGGGAGCCAUCAUGGGUAUCCAGAUCCCGCUGAUGGUUAUUGACUAAGAGAGUCUCGGUCAUGUCUGCAUGUCUCCCGAACCCGUAGGGUCUACACACUUAAGGUUCAGUUACGCUAGGGUUAUAGGGAUAUGUAUAUGCAGUAACCCAAAUGUUGUUCGGAGUCCCGGAUGAGAUCCCGGACGUCACGAGGAGUUCCGGAAUGGUCCGGAGGUAAAGAUUUAUAUAUGGGAAGUCCUGUUUCGGGCAUCGGGACAAGUUUCGGGGUUAUCGGUAUUGUACCGGGACCACCGGAAGGGUCCCGGGGGUCCACCGGGUGGGUCCACCUGUCCCGGGGGGCCACAUGGGCUGUAAGGGGGUGCGCCUUGGCCUAAUGGGCCAAGGGCACCAGCCCCACAUAGGCCCAUGCGCCUAGGGUUCAAGGGGGGCAAGAGUCCUAGGAGGGUAAGGCAGCUCCUAGGUGCCUUGGGGGGAGGGAAAACCCCCCUUGGCCGCCGCACCCCCUAGGAGAUUUGAUCUCCUAGGGCCGGCCACCCCUCCUUGGCACCCCUAUAUAUAGUGGGGGGAGAGGAGGGACUUCAUACCUGAACGCCCUGGCCUUUGGUUGCCUCCUUCUCCCUCCCCAACACCUCCUCCACCUCCAUAGUGCUUAGCGAAGCUCUGCCGGAGUACUGCAGCUCCACCAACACCACGCCGUCGUGCUGCUGCUGGUGCCAUCUCCCUCAACCUCUCCUCCCUUCCUUGCUGGAUCAAGAAGGAGGAGACGUGGCUGUUCCGUACGUGUGUUGAACGCGGAGGUGCCGUCCGUUCGGCGCAGGUCAUCGGUGAUUUGGAUCACAUCGAGUACGACUACAUCAUCACCUUGCAAGCUUCCGCACGCGAUCUACAAGUGGUAUGUAGAUGCAAACUCUCUCCCUAGACUCGUUGCUUAGAUGAACUCAUAGAUGGAUCUUGGUGAAACCGUAGGAAAAAUUUUAAUUUUCUGCAACGUUCCCCAUCAGCGGCUGCUUCGGAAGCUGUUGUUGUUGUACCGCGCCCGACAAGUCAAGCUAGAAUCCCGAGAAGCGCUUGUCGCGAGGGCGGGAGUGGACAUUGAGAAGCGCGCUAAGGAGCUCCGGGGUCUCAGGCAAGAAACUCUCCGAUCCCUGGCAGAGGAGCGGGAGCAGGUUGCCGAGGAGCGGAAAGCUUUCCUCCUCGCGAAGGCUGAAGUUGAAGAGCAACAGCGGCUCGCUGCCGAGAAGCUGUCUGCGCAGGAAGGCGAGUUGGCGCAGCGCAAGGUCAACCUUGAUAGCCACGAGGAGGAGCUUUCCGCACGCGAGCAAGCAAUUGGCGGGGCUGGCCGCCAAGAAGGAACUAGAGACAAAGAUGGCGCAGCUGGAGGCCGAUCUCAAGGCGAGCAGCGAGGAACUUGCUGGGCUCAAGCGUGAGCACGAGAAGGACGCCGCCGCUCAUGGCGAGCUGCAGGGUCGUCUCGCUGAGAGGAGCAAAGAUCUUAGCGCCGCCAAGGACUCCAACGCCAAUCUUGAGUUGAAGCUGGUUACUUUGACCAAGACGCUGGACGACGCCAGGGAGCAAGAGGUGGCCUUGAAGGAGAAGAUCAAGGCCGACGAGGCGCUGCUGGUGAGUGCUGCUGCCGCCCAGAAUGCUUUUAGGGAGACUAUGGAGCACUGGACCGAGGGUCUCGUGAAUGUUGCCGCUGCCAUCGACGGGGAGCUGGCGCAGCUGGGGAUGGAGGACCUCGGGUAUUCUUCCGACGAGCACCUCCAACCCAGCGCCAAGCUCAGCUUGUUCUUCAAAGGCGUGGCGACGGCCCUCCAGCGACUCCGGGAGAAGAUCCCAAAGCAGCUGGCCGACGAGUCGCACAAGAUCUGCGCGGGAGUUCUUCAAAAGGUGCUGGUGAAGGUGGCCUUCCGCAACCCAGGCCUCAACCUCACCAACGUCCUCAGGUCCCUGCCGCCGGAUGCUGAUCUGGAAGCGCUCAAGGCCCUUGUCGCACCCAUUGUGGACAAGGUGAGCGAGAUCAAGAGGGUUGAGGGCGACCGCGUAGAUUAGGCCGCCCGUUUUCUCUUUUUCCUUGUCGCUGCUGGUCAUGUCAUGAGAACAAUCUGUUAGAGCUGCGACAAGCUAUCUUGUAACAUAACUCUAUUUUGGUUAGGGAUUGCUAUGUUAUUUCCUUCACUUGAUUCCUUCCUUUGUAUGUUUUUGCCCUACGCUUUUAGGGAACUUGUCAGCGCAGGCACCUGGGCCGCGAGCGCUGGGUGCGGGACAUCAGCAGCCUGCUGGCGGUGCCGCUACUGACAAGAAACCUUGUUGCAACUAGUCGCAGCUCACAUAAGUUGUUGAGUGGACUCGAAACAAAGUAAGGGCGCAACUAGCUAUGAGUUGGUUCCUCCGUGCACAGGUUUUCCAUACAAAGUACGGUCGUUCGAGGAAGAUAGCUUAAAAAUUUAAAACUGAUUGCUCAAACUUUGGCAACUUAGCUUUUUUGUCGUUUGCUUUCCGGUAAGGCGAAACUUCCUUGAAUGAUGCCUAGUCCACACCAUUAUCUUCUCCUUUCCCCCCGUCAAACUUGUGUGCGAGGGAACCUUCCUUUCCUUUUUGAGAAAAAGAAAGAAGAGAAAAUAAAGAUAUGGAGCCUUACGGCUCGUUAUUGCUUACCGGGGGUAGGCGCUGCACAAAGUGUCAGAUAACGCAUGCAAAAAUAAAGUAGACAGCAUGAUAUUGACAAGAUGUGCAGAGCACAUGAGCUUUACUUAUGCACGGGGUCUGCGCCCGGCUUUGUACAAAGGAUUACAUGCAACAUCGGCAAGACUUGCACAAAAGGUGGUUGCCAGAAAAGAUUCCGGCAACCGCGCCCUACGGGUAAAACUGACGAAGAUGCUCAAUGUUCCAGGAGUUGCUCACCGGAAAGACAUCUUCGGUCUCAAGGCGGACAGCGCCAGGCCUAGUGACUCGUUUCACCUGGUAAGGGCCUUCCCACUUUGGCGUCAACUUGUUGGAAUUCUUGGCGGACUGAACGCGCCGAAGAACAAGGUCGCCUUCCUCGAAACUUCUGGCAUUAACUUCGCGGCUAUGGUAGCGGCGCAAAGCUUGCUGGUAUCGAGCAGCUCGUACAGCAGCCUGAAGACGGUCCUCCUCAAGGAGCAGCGCGUCAUCUUGUCGCAGCUGCUCUUGCUCAAGCUCAUCAUAAGCGAGCACUCGAGGUGAUCCGUAUACGAGUUCCGUGGGGAGAACUGCCUCUGCUCCAUAGACUAGAGCGAAAGGUGUUUGACCAGUGGCUCGAUUUGGCGUCGUCCUGAUCGACCAAAGAACCACCGGCAGCUCCUCAAUCCAGUUCCUUCCGCACUUGCGCAGCCUGUCGAAAGUCCUGGUCUUGAGCCCACGCAGCACUUCAGCAUUUGCCCUCUCCGCUUGACCGUUGCUUCUCGGAUGAGCAACAGAAGCGAAGCAGACCUUGGCGCCAAGAUCUUGGACGUACUGCAUGAAGGUGCGGCUCGUGAAUUGCGUGCCGUUGUCGGUGAUGAUCCUGUUAGGGAUCCCAAAACGGCAAACAAUCGACCUGAAGAACUUGACUGCUGACUGUGCUGUCACCUUCCUCACUGGUUCCACUUCCGGCCACUUUGUGAACUUGUCAAUUGCAACGUACAAGUACUCAAAGCCCCCGACAGCUCGGGGAAAAGGGCCGAGGAUAUCGAGCCCCCAGACCGAAAAUGGCCAGGAUAAAGGGAUCGUCUGGAGAGCUUGAGCUGGCUGGUGUAUCUGCUUGGAAUGGAACUGGCACGCUUCACACUUGGUUACUUGUGCAGUUGCAUCCUGGAGGGCUGUCGGCCAAAAGAAACCUUGCCGGAAUGCUUUGCCGGCAAGUGCUCUUGCACCAAUGUGGUGGCCACAUAUGCCUCCAUGUAUCUCUGCCAACAGCUUUUGUCCGUCUUCCUGGUGAAUACACUUCAAUUUCACGCCGUUGAGUCUUCUUAUGUACAGUGUGUUGUCGACAAACUGGUACAUACUUGACUGCCGGGCUACUCUUUCCGCUUCUUCUUGCUCUUCGAGAAGUUCUCCUGUCUGAAGGAAACGGACAAUCUGUUGUGCCCAUGCUGGAGCUUGCGGCUCGACAACAAGGACUAAAGGCACAUCUGCUGCUGCGGGAACAUCCGCUUCUACGGCGAGAACCUGCGGCUCAGCCGGAGCUUGACGUUCCCCGGCAAGCUUGCUGGAGCAAAACUUGUCGGGAGCGUCUGCUUCAACGGAACAAACCCUAGGGCUUGCCGGAGCAGACUGCCCCUCAGCAUCCUUGGUGUUGAUCUUGAGGACUUUCUUGAUAGCGGCUUCGGGGAGCUCUGCCGGAAAAUAGUCACCAGAAAUCAACUUCCUCUUCUUGCUCUGUCCAGUUGAUGGUGUUACGGACGGUUGAGUUAGCUUGAGCACAAAGAUCCCUGGUUCCACAGGUAACUUAAGUGCGGCGCACUUUGACAGGACAUCGUCAAUGUUUUUCUGAGCUCUUGGAACAUGUUCCAUCUGUAGGCCGUCAAAGCGCUCUUCUAGCUUUCUCACUUCGUCAACGUAAGCUUUCAUCAACGGACUCUGAUAAUUCUUGUUCACUUGGCGGACGACGAGCUGUGAGUCACCCCUGACAAUGAGCUUCUUGAUCCCGAGGUCUGCUGCGAUCCUGAGACCGGCAAGCAAACCUUCAUACUCUGCAGUAUUGUUUGUUGCUUGCUCCUUGGGAAAGUGCAUCUGGACUACGUACUUGAGGUGCUCUCCGGUGGGUGCAACAAGUAGCACGCCCGCACCGGCGCCUUGCAGCGAGAAGGCACCAUCAAAGUACAUCAGCCACUCUUUGCUUGCUUCCUUGACGGGGAUACUCGUUUCUGGAAUUUGUUCAUCUUGUGUUGGCGUCCACUCUGCUAUGAACUCUACCAAUGCUCUGCUUUGGAUAGUUGAAGUGCUCUCAAACUUGAGGCCAAAGCUUGACAGUUCCAGUGCCCACUCGACAAUCCUGCCUGUUGCUUCUGGAUUUUGCAGUAUCCUCUUCAGCGGAAAACGAGUGACGACUGUGAUCUCAUGUGCUUGGAAGUAAUGGCGCAGCUUUCUCGAGGCCAUGAGAUGGCCAAAAAGCAAUUUCUGCACACCAGAAUACCUUGACCUAGCCCCCUGCAGAAGGGAACUGACAAAGUAAACUGGGCGCUGCACCAUUCUUUUUUGCAUCUUCUCAUGCGCCUGCGCAGAUCCAUCUUUGUCGGGACCAGAGCUUGCCGGUGAAGUCCCUUGCUUGUCGCUGGAUGCAUCUGUCGUGGUUGCUGGCUCAUCAUCCGCCUCCCUCUCCGCUACUAACGCAGCACUAACCACUUGAUUGGUUGCCGCUAUAUAUAGCAGCAACUUCUCUUGUGGCUUAGGUGCGACAAGUGUUGGAGUGGAGGACAUGUAUCUCUUUAAGUCCUGCAGCGCAGCCUCCGCUUCCGGAGUCCAUUUCAUUGGACCUGCCUUUUUCAAUAUUUUGAAAAAUGGCAGGGCGCGCUCAGCAGACCUAGAGAUAAACCUGCUGAGAGCAGCUACGCAACCGGCAAGUCUUCGUACAUCCUUGAUGCGCUUUGGAGCUUCAAUCUGCUCAAUGGCCUUGAUCUUGUCGGGAUUGGCUUCAAUUCCCCGUUGAGACACGAAGCACCCGAGAAGCUUGCCGGAGGGGACUCCGAACACACACUUCUCGGGGUUAAGCUUGAGGUUGAUCUUGCGCAGAUUGCAAAGGUUUCAUCUAAAUCUUGGAUCAGAGUCGCCUUGUCCUUGCUCUUGACCACUAUGUCAUCCAUGUAGGCUUCCACAUUUCUGUGUAGUUGCGGCUCAAAAGCGUCAUGGACUACCCUUGCAAAUGUUGAACCAGCAUUCUUUAAACCGAAAGGCAUCCGUACGAAACAGUAAGUGCCACAUGGGGUGAUGAAUGCAGUCUUCUCCUCAUCCUCUUCUGCCAUGAAGAUCUGAUGGUAUCCUGAGUAUGCAUCAAGAAAUGAAAGCAAGUCACAUCCGGCCGUGGAGUCAACAAUCUGGUCGAUGCGCGGCAAGGGAAAUGGGUCUUUGGGACAAGCUUUAUUGACAUCGGUAAAGUCGAUACAAAGCCUCCAUUUCCCGUUUGCCUUGCGCACGACUACAGGGUUGGCUAACCACGUAGGAUGGAGCACUCCUCUGACGAGGCCUGCUGCUUCCAAUUUCUUGAUUUCUUCUGUGAUGAAUUCUUGGCGCUCCACUGCCUGUUUCCUGACUUUCUGCUUGACGGGCCGCGCAUGAGGACAGACGGCAAGAUGGUGCUCGAUUACUUUCCUGGGAACACCGGGUAUGUCAGACGGUUGCCACGCAAAUACGUCGACGUUCGCCCGCAGGAAAGCAACGAGCGCACUUUCCUAUUUAGGGUCGAGAGUGGCACUGAUGGUGAAGGUACCACCAGUGCCAUCCUCCUUGGCGGACACCUUCUUGGUCUCAGGUGGAGCUACCAUUGUUUUCUUACACUUGCCGGUGGAGCUCGACGGUGCGUCCUCGACGGUAGCGCAGCACUCCGAAGAGGUGCGCUUGCCGGAGUGGGCAUCAGAACUCUUGCCGGACUUGGUUUUCUUCUUCGCCCCGAGAGCUUCAACGGCAAGUGAAUCGCGAUCUGUUGCGGCUGCUGCUUCCCGGUAAAUCUUGUCGGCGCAGAUAAGAGCAUCCUUCUUGUCGCCAGGGACAGAGAUGACACUUAUCGGGCCUGGCAUCUUCAGCAUGUUGUAUGCAUACUGAGAGGCUGCCAUGAACUUGGCGAGUGCUGGACGGCCGAGUAUCCCAUUGUAAGGCAAUGGAAAGUCAGCAACGUCAAAAGUGACCCUCUCAGUUCUGAAGUUCAACUCGCUGCCAAAUGUCACCGGCAACGUGAUCUUUCCCUUCGGCUUGCUCCUUCCCGGAUUGAUUCCUUGGAACGUGCCGGUCUCUUCGAGCUCGCCAUCAGGGAUCUGGAGCUUCCGGAGUACCGCGGAGGAGAUCAGGUUCAAGCCGGCCCCGCCGUUAACUAGCAUCUUAGUGACCUUGAGGUUGCGGAUAGUUGGUGAAACCAACAUCGGCAAGCACCCGACCGCAGUUAUGCGAUCAGGGUGGUCCUCAAUAUCAAAGAUGAUAGGCGUGCUGGACCAUUUCAGGGGCUUGUGUGACUCGACGGGUGGUUCUGCCGCAUUGACUUCCCGCACCCACUGCUUGAGCUGGCGGUGUGAAGUAUGCAGAGAAGCACCGCCGUCAACGCACAGGACCUCUGUGGCUUUCUGGAACUUCUGAUCAUCGGUCUCGUCAUCAUCCAUAUCUUCAUCGUCGUCGUCAUCUUCAUCCUUGUCACGGCCGCGGGGAGGUCUGUCUCCUUGCCGCUGCUUGGCCUUGCCGUGGCGUCCUCCUCGACCGGGACAUUACUUGCCGGCUCCUCCAGCACCUUCCUGGGCUUUCUCCUUAUCGCGUCGCUCGUAUUCAGCCUUUUGCUACUCGACAAGUUGCUCGACUUUCUUGCAGCUCUGGAGGUUAUGGCCCUUGGUGCGGUGGAUAUUGCAGUACUGCUUGUUGGUGCCGUCCUGCUUGUCGGUGACCGCCACAGCCUCCUCGCUGGGGCUACCAGCUUUGGCUUUCUUGGUGCCACCUCCGUUGCCGGACUGCUCAACGACUAGCACAUCUUUGCCUUUCUUUUUCCUGUUGUUCCGCCGCCGGUUUUUCUUUGCCGGGGUAGUCUCCUCACUAUCAGAUCCUCCUGCUCCUAUAUUCUCUCCGGGGAGUUUCCUCCCUACCUCAGCACGUGCACACUUGUCGGCCAAGGCAUAUAGCUCACUGACGUCUCUGAUCUUGCACAUCGCCAUCUCCUCCCGCAUCCUGCGGUUUCGCACAUUCUGAUGGAACGCGUUGAUUACCGCGGCAGGGUGGACAUCUGGGAUGUUGUGCUGUACACGGCUGAAUCUCUCAAUGUACUUGCGCAAGGGCUCUCCUUCCUUCUGGGCGAGCAGAUGAAGAUUGCUCUCUUGGCCAUGAGGCUUGUGGCCGCUUGUAAAGGCGCCGACAAACUGAUGGCAUAGGUCUGCCCAGGAGGAUAUGGAGUUGUCCGGCAAGUGCAUGAGCCAGGAUCUGACAUUGGGCCUGAGCACCAGCAGGAAGUAGUUGGCCAGAAUCUUGUCGUCCCGCCCCCCGGCAGCUUGCACCGCGAUGGUGUAGAUGCUGAGGAACUCCGACGGAUGCGACUUGCCGUCGUACUUCUCCGGCACGUCUGGCUUGAAAUUCUUUGUGCUGGGCCACUGGACUUGCGGCAGCUCACGAGUGAACGCAGGGCAACCUACCGCGUACGGCAAGUCGCCUGGUUCCCCUGGUGCAUGCAUGUCGAUAGAAGGCCCAGCGCGCUGGUCUGAUUGACGCCGCACUUCUCUUCGGUGCUCGAUGCGAGUACAAGCGUCUUCUUGCUGUCGUUCGUGAAGAACUUGGCGCUGAUCGCGACGAGCUCGUGGAUCCGAUGAUGCGGUGGAGUCGCUGUCGACGUGGAUCCGGCGAGUCGGCGAUCUUGGCCUUCGGGGUGGAGAGUGCAUGGUGGUUGCACCCCCACCGGUUUCGUCGCCAUCGGCUCGUGCCUGGCGGUCCUGCCGCGGUAGCGAUGUACUCGGCUGCCGCGGAGUGUCACCGUUGGCGAAGCCGAUGAGACUCUGAAUGGUGGCCCUCCAUCCGUCGAUCUUGUCUUCCGUUGGAGGGUAAUCUAGGAGCAGUUGAGCUCGCGCCAAAGCUUCUGCUGGAGUGGUGGGCGGCAGUGGCAAACGGCGCGAGGAGCGGGAUAUGCUCGGACUUCUAACUAUGUUAGAAGGAGCAGUAUCCCAUCCAGGCGACCGUGUCUCGCUCGUGCCAGCAUGUCGGCGUGCAUGCUGGUCUUGAGCGCCCCGAGAUCCACCAGCUCGAUCUUGGUCCAACAAGCGUAUGGUACUGCGAAUACCAUGACGCUGUCGAUCAUGCGCCUCCUGAGACGGGCGCGGUGCAUGUACGGACGCCGAGGUCUGCGCAGCCUUGUCCUUGGACCUAGCAGCACCGUGAGCUCCCUCGUCGACGCCCGUUCUUCCGCCGGCGUCUACCCCACCACUCGUUUGCUCCGGUGGUGGUGGGAUCGACGUGGACGGAACAGCUGCCACCGAAGUCUUCUUCUUCGGUGGCAUGUCGAUGAAGUAGAUGAAGAUCUAGCUCGUGUGAACGCCGGAUCAGGUUCACACAACCUCGACAGCCCCUACCUGGCGCGCCAAAGAUGUCGGGGAAGCUGAUCCACGAACACCUAUGGGGACCAGCGGACCGAGCCCCUUUUGGUUCGACGGGGGGCGGAGAUCGCACGAAGAGCGGAUCGAGGCGAAGCACACGAGCAGUUUACCCAGCUUCGGAGCUCUCCAGAGAGAUAAUACUCCUACUGCUGCUUGUUUGAUUGUAUUGAGUUCUUGCUCGGGGGCGCUGAGUGCUACAGUACACACGAGCUGCUAACGAGAUCGAGCGUGAGUGUUUUUCUCCUUUUUUCUUUUCCCCUACUAUGUUGUGCAUGGGCCUCCUUUUAUAUGCUCAAGGGGUCACCGACAGGUGGCAACACAGACAAGGGUAAAAAAUGGAAAAGGUGUUGCGGUUGGUGCAACUACUUGUACAGUGUAUCCUACCUAACCCUGACGGCAAGGGACAAAGGCAUUAAAUGCCCGUCUGCGUCGCCCGAAUAGUGCAAAAAGGACCGUCAGGGACGCCACCGCUCGCCACGAUGGCAGUCUUGUCAGCGUCGCUUGCCACCACGCACCGCUGGCUACACAGCCUCUUGCCACGCGUGCCUGGAAAGGCCCCAGGGCGACACGUUGGUGGAUGCGCUGGAGCGCGGGUACAGAGUGGUAGCUUGCCGCGGCAAGCGCCUUGCCGCGGUUGUUGUCUUGUCGCGUCCGGAAGCUUGUCGCUCACCGGGCCUUGCUGGGACGCGUGGCGCGUCGCGGCAAGUUCCUUGAGAUGCCUUGGUUGGCCUUCCCGGCAAGCUCCUCUUGCCGGGGCCUUGUCUCCUUGGCUUGAAUACUUUUUUCUUGAAUGGCUCCAAAGGAACCACGGAGGACCUUGGCGGUCACCCGGCAAGCCUUGCCGCGGUGUGCUGCAACUGCCCGUGCACAAGUUCGGGAUACUAGGGUACCCCUACUCUAGUACACCGACAGUAUGACCAUCGAAGGUUUUAUUCAUGUAAACAGACAACAAUUAUUCUCUGACUUUAAAUGAAUAAUUCUAUUGCAAUAAACAUGAUCAAAUCAUAUUCAUGCUCAACGCUAACGCCAAAUAACAUUUAUUUAGGUUUAACACUAAUCCUGAAAGUAUAGGGAGUGUGCGAUGAUGAUCAUAUCAAUCUUGGAACUACUUCCAACACUCAUCGUCACUUCCCUUCGACUAGUCUCUGUUUAUUCUGUAACUCCUAUUUCGAGUUACUAAUUUUUAGCAACUGAACAAGUAUCAAAUACUCAGGGGCUACUAUAAAUACUAGUAAGGUACACAUCAAUAACCUGUAUAUCAAAUAUACCCUUGUUCAAACCGCAUAACAAUAUACGUUGUUCCCUUUGUCAUCGGUAUGUUACUUGCCCGAGAUUUGAUCGUCGGUAUCCAAUACCUAGUUUAAUCUCGUUACCGGCAAGUCUCUUUACUCAUUACGUAAUGCAUCAUUCCGUAACUAACUCAUUAGCUACAUUGCUUGCAAGGCUUAUAGUGAUGUGCAUUACCGAGAGGGGCCAGAGAUACCUCUCCGACAAUCGGAGUGACAAAACCUAAUCUCGAAAUACGCCAACCCAACAUGUACCUUCGGAGACACCUGUAGUACUCCUUUAUAAUCACCCAGUUACGCUGUGAUGUUUGGUAGCACCCAAAGUGUUCCUCCGGUAAACGGGAGUUGCAUAAUCUCAUAGUUACAGGAACAUGUAUAAGUCAUGAAGAAAGCAAUAACAACAUACUAAACGAUCAAGUGCUAGGCUAAUGGAAUGGGUCAUGUCAAUCACAUCAUUCUUCUAAUGAUGUGAUCCCGUUAAUCAAAUGACAACUCUUUUGUCCAUGGCUAGGAAACAUAACCAUCUUUGAUAAACGAGCUAGUCAAGUAGAGGCAUACUAGUGACACUAUGUUUGUCUAUGUAUUCACACAUGUAUUAUGUUUCCAGUUAAUACAAUUCUAGCAUGAAUAAUAAAAAUUUAUCAUGAUAUAAGGAAAUAAAUAAUAACUUUAUUAUUGCCUCUAGGGCAUAUUUCCUUCAGUCUCCCACUUGCACUAGAGUCAAUAAUCUAGUUCACAUCACCAUGUGAUUUAACACCAAUAUUCACAUCUGUAUGUGAUUAACACCCAUAGUUCACAUUGUCAUGUGACCAACACCCAAAGGGUUUACUAGAGUUAAUAAUCUAGCUCAUAUCGCUAUGUGAUUAACACCCAAAGAGUACAAAGGUAUGAUCAUGUUUUGUUCGUGAGAGAAAUUUAGUCAACGGGUCUGUCACAUACAAAGCCGUAUGUAUUUUGCAAAUAUUCUAUGUCUUCAAUGCUCUGCAUGGAGCUACUCUAGCUUAAUUGCUCCCACUUUCAAUAUGUAUCCAGGUUGAGACUUAUAGUCAUCUGGAUCAGUGUAAAAGUUUGCACUGAUAUAACUUUUACAACAAACUCUUUUAUCCCCUCCAUAAUCAAGAAACAUCUCCUUAGUCCUCACUAAGGAUAUUCUUGACCGUUGUCCAGUGAUCUACUAUUAGAUCAAAAUUGUAUUCCUUUGCCAAACUCAGAGCAAGGUAUACAAUAUGUCUGGUUCACAGCAUAGCAUACUUUAUAGAACCUAUGACUGAGGCAUAGGGAAUGACUUUUCAUUCUCUUUCUAUUUUCUGCCAUGGUCGGGUCUUGAGUCUUACUCAACUUCACACCUUGCAACACAGGCAAGAACUCCUUCUUUGACUGUACCAUUUUGAACUAUUUCAAAAAUUUAUCAAGGUAUGUACUCAUUGAAAAAUCUUAUCAAGCGUCUUGAUCUAUCUAUGUAGAUCUUGAUGCUCAAUGUGUAAGCAGCUUCACCGAGGUCUUUCUUUGAAAAACUCUUAUUCAAGUAUCCUUUCAUGCUAUCCAAAAUUUCUAUAUCAUUUCCAAUCAACAAUAUGUCAUCCACAUAUAAUAUUAGAAAUGCUACAGAGCUCCCACUCACUUUCUUGUAAAUACAGGCUUCUCAAAAAGUCUGUAUAAAACCAUAUGAUUUGAUCAACUCAUCAAAGCGUAUAUUCCAACUCCGAGAGGCUUGCACCAGUCCAUAAAUGGAUCGAUGGAGCUUGCACACUUUGUUAGCACCUUUAGGAUUGACAAAACUUCUGGUUGCAUCAUAUACAACUCUUCUUUAAUAAAUCCAUUAAGGAAUGUAGUUUUGAUAUCCUUUUGCCAGAUUUCAUAAAAUGUGGCAAUUGCUAACAUGAUUCGGACAGACUUAAGCAUCGCUACAGUUGAGAAAAUCUCAUUGUAGUCAACACCUUGAACUUGUCGAAAACCUUUUUGCGACAAGUCGAGCUUUGUAGAUAGUAACACAACUAUCAGCAUCUGUCUUCCUCUUGAAGAUCCAUUUAUACAAUAUGGCUUGCCGAUCAUCGGGCAAAUCCACCAAAGUCCACACUUUGUUCUCAUACAUGGAUCCCAUCUCAGAUUUCAUGGCCUCAAACCAUUUCGCGGAAUCUGGGCUCAUCAUCGCUUCCUCAUAGUUCGUAGGUUCGUCAUGGUCUAGUAACAUGACUUCCAGAACAGGAUUACCGUACCACUCUAGUGCGGACUGUACUUUGGAAGACCUACGAGGUUUUUGUAGUAACUUGAUCUGAAGUUUCAUGAUCAUCAUCAUUAGCUUCCUCAUUAAUUGGUGUAGGAAUCACUGGAACUGAUUUCUGUGAUGAACUACUUUCCAAUUCGGGAGAAGGUACAAAUUACCUUAUCAAGCUCUUACUUUCCUCCCACUCACUUCUUUCGAGAGAAACUCCUUCUCUAGAAAGGAUCCAUUCUUAGCAACGAAUGUUUUGCCUUCAGAUCUGUGAUAGAAGGAGUACCCAACAAUUUCCUUUGGGUAUUCUAUGAAGACGCACUUCUCCGAUUUGGGUUCGAGCUUAUCAGGUUGAAAACUUUUUUCAUAUAAGCAUCGCAACUCCAAACUUUAAGAAACGACAGCUUAGGUUUACUGUUAAACCAUAGUUCAUACGGUGUCGUCUCAACGGAUUUAGAUGGUGCCCUAUUAAACGUGAAUGCAGCUGUCUCUAAUGCAUAACCCCAAAACGAUAGUGGUAAACUGAUAAGAGAUAUCAUAGAUCGCACCAUAUCUAGUAAAGUACGAUUACGACGUUCGGACACACCAUUACAUUGUGGUGUUCCAGGUGGCCUGAGCUGUGAAACUAUUCCACAUUGUUUUAUAUGAAGGCCAAACUCGUAACUCAAAUAUUCCCCUCCACGAUCAGAUCGUAGAAAAUUUAUUUUUCUUGUUACGAUGAUUCUCCACUUCACUCUGAAAUUCUUUGAACUUUUCAACUAUUUCAAACUUAUGUUUCAUAAAGUAGAUAUAUCCAUAUCUGCUCAAAUCAUAUGUGAAGGUCAGAAAAUAAUGAUACAUGCCACGAGCAUCAACACUCAUUGGAUCACAUACAUUAGUAUGUAUUAUUUCCAAUAAGUCAGUAGCUUGUUCCAUUGUUCCGGAGAAUUGAUUUUUAGUCAUCUUGCCCAAAAGGCACGGUUCGCAAGCAUCAAAUGAUUCAUAAGCAAGUGAUUCCGAAAAUCCAUCUUUAUGGUGUUUCUUCAUGCGCUUUACACCGAUAUGACUCAAACGGCAGUGCCACAUAUAAGUUUGCACUAUCAUUAUUAACUUUGCAUCUUUUGUCAUCAAUAUUAUGAAUAUGUGUAUCACUACGAUCGAGAUCCAACAAACUAUUUUCAUUGGGUGUAUGACCAUCGAAGGUUUUAUUCAUGUAAACAGAACAACAAUUAUUCUCUGACUUUAAAUGAAUAACUGUAUUGCAAUAAACAUGAUCAAAUCAUAUUCAUGCUCAACGCUAAUGCCAAAUAACAUUUAUUUAGGUUUAACACUAAUCCUGAAAGUAUAGGGAGUGUGCGAUGAUGAUCAUAUCAAUCUUGGAACUACUUCCAACACUCAUCGUCACUUCCCUUCAACUAGUCUCUGUUUAUUCUGUAACUCCUAUUUCGAAUCACUAAUUUUUGGCAACUGAACAAGUAUCAAAUACUCAGGGGCUACUAUAAACACUAGUAAGGUACACAUCAAUAACCUGUAUAUCAAAUAUACCCUUGUUCACUCUGCCAUCCUUCUUAUCCACCAAAUAUUCAGGGUAUUUCCGUUUCCAGUGACUAUUUCCUUUGUAGUGUAAGCACUGAGUUUCAGGCUUUGGUUCAGCUUUGGGCUUCUUCGUGGGAGUGAAAACUUGCUUGUCAUUCUACUUGAAGUUCUCUUUAUUUCCCUUUGCCCUUUUCUUGAAACUAGUGAUCUUGUCAACCAUCAACACUUGAUGCUCUUUCUUGAUUUCUACCUUCAUUGAUUUCAACAUCAGGAAGAGCUCGGGAAUCGUUUUCGUCAUCCCUUGCAUACUAUAGUUCAUCAUAAAGUUCUACUAACUUGGUGAUGGUGACUAGAGAACUCUGUCAAUCACUAUCUUAUCUGGAAGAUUAACUCCCACUUGAUUCAAGCGAUUGUAGCACCCAGACAAUCCGAGCACAUGCUCACUAGUUGAGCGAUUCUCCUCCAUCUUUUAGCUAUAGAACUUGUUGGAGACUUCAUAUCUCUCAACUCGGGUAUUUGCUUGAAAUAUUAACUUCAACUCCUGGAACAUCUCAUAUGGUCCAUGACGUUCAAAACGUCUUUGAAGUCCCGAUUCUAAGUUGUUAAGUAUGGUGCACUAAACUAUCAAGUAGUCAUCAUAUUGAGCUAGCCAAACGUUCAUAACGUCUGCAUUUGCUCCUGCAAUAGGUCUGUCACCUAGCGGUGCAUUAAGGACAUAAUUCUUCUGUGCAGCAAUGAGGAUAAACCUCAGAUCACGGAUCCAAUCCGCAUCAUUGCUACUAACAUUUUUCAACACAAUUUUCUCUAGGAACAUAUCAAAAUAAACAUAUGAAAGCAAUAACGCAAGCUAUUGAUCUACAACAUAAUUUGCAAAAUACUACCAGCACUAAGUUCAUGAUAAAUUUAAGUUCAAUUAAUCAUAUUACUUAAGAACUCCCACUUAGAUAGACAUCCCUCUAAUCCUCUAAGUGAUUACGUGAUCCAUAUCAACUACACCAUGUCCGAUCAUCACGUGAGAUGGAGUAGUUUCAACGGUGAACAUCAAUAUGUUGAUCAUAUCUACUAUAUGAUUCACGCUCGACCUUUCGGUCUCCGUGUUCCGAGGCCAUAUCUGUUAUAUGCUAGACUCGUCAAGUUUAACCUGAGUAUUCCGUGUGUGCAACUGUUUUGCACCCGUUGUAUUUGAACGUAGAGCCUAUCACACCCGAUCCUCACGUGGUGUCUCAGCAUGAAGAACUUUCGCAACGGUGCAUACUCAGGGAGAACACUUCUUGAUAAUUUUAGUGAGAGAUCAUCUUAAAAUGCUACCGUCAAUCAAAGCAAGAUAAGUGGCAUAAAGGAUAAACAUCACAUGCAAUCAAUAUAAGUGAUAUGAUAUGGCCAUCAUCAUCUUGUGCUUGUGAUCUCCAUCUCCGAAGCACCGUCGUGAUCACCAUCGUCACCGGCGCGACACCUUGAUCUCCAUCGUAGCAUCGUUGUCGUUACGCCAUCUAUUGCUUCUACAACUAUCGCUACCGCUUAGUGAUAAAGUAAAGCAAUUACAGGGCGUUUGCAUUUCAUACAAUAAAGCGACAACCAUAUGGGCUCCUGCCAGUUGCCGAUAACUUCGGUUACAAAACAUGAUCAUUUCAUACAAUAAAAUAUAGCAUCACGUCUUGACCAUAUCACCUCACAACAUGCCCUGCAAAAACAAGUUAGACGUCCUCUACUUUGUUAUUGCAAAUUCUACGUGGCUGCUACGGGCUUAGCAAGAACCGUUCUUACCUACGCAUCAAAACCACAACGAUAGUUCGUCAAGUUAGUGCUGUUUUAACCUUCGCAAGGACCGGGCGUAGCCACACUCGGUUCAACCAAAGUGAGAGAGACAGACACCCGCCAGUCACGUUUAAGCACGAGUGCUCGUAACGGUGAAACCAGUCUCGCAUAAGCGUACGCGUAAUGUCGGUCCAGGCCGCUUCAUCUCACAAUACCGCUGAACCAAAGUAUGACAUGCUGGUAAGCAGUAUAACUUGUAUCGCCCACAACUCACUUGUGUUCUACUCGUGCAUAUGACAUCUACGCAUAAAACCUAGGCUCUGAUACCACUCUUGGGGAACGUAGUAAUUUUAAAAAAAAUUCCUAUGCACACGCAAGAUCAUGGUGAUGCAUAGCAACGAGAGGGGGAGUGUAUCUUCAUACCCUUGAACAUCGCUAAGCGGAAGCGUUUAUCAACGCGAUUGAUGUAGUCGUACGUCUUCACGAUCCGACCGAUCCAAGUACCGAACGCACGGCACCUCCGAGUUCUGCACAUGUUCAGCUCGAUGACGUCCUCGCCUUCUCGAUCCAGCAAGACGGGUGAAGUAGUAGAUGAGUUCCGUCAGCACGAUGGCGUGGUGACGGUGUUGGUGAAGAACAAUCUUCGCAGGGCUUUGCCUAAGCACUACGGAAACUAUGACGGAGGAUAAACUAGAGGGGACGGGGUUGCCGGCACACGGCUUGGUGUUUCUUGAUGUGUCUUUGGUGCUAGCCCUGCCCCUCUAUUUAUAUGUUGAGCCUUGGGGUCGAAACUUGGAGUAAAAGCCUCCACAAAGUCGGUUUCACCCGAAAGGCAAGAGUCCUUCUCGGACUCCAGGGCCAGACGCCAGGGUUCCCGGCGUCUGGACCCAGACGCCAGGGACCCUGGCGUCUGGCCCCUGGACUCCGCAAAACUUCCUUUUGCGCUUUCCAAAAACCUUGUGGGCUUUCCCCUUUGGUCCAAAUAACGUGUUCUCGUACCCAAACAUUUCGGGAAACAUCCGGAACCCCUUUCGGUGAAUUCCGGAACUCUUCCGGAGAUCAAACACUAUUAUCCCAUAUGUCAAACUUUAUCUCCGGACCAUUCCGGAGUUCCUCGUCAUGUCCAUGAUCUCAUCUGGGACUCCGAACAACAUUCGGUUACCAACAUACAUAACUCAUAUAAUACUAUAUCGUCAAUGAAACGUUAAGCGUGCGGACCCUACGGGUUCGAGAACUAUGUAGACAUGACCUAGAACUUGUUUCCAGUCAAUAACUAAUAGCGGGACCUGGAUGCCCAUAUUGGCUCCCACAUAUUCUACGAAAAUCUUUAUCGGUCAAACCGCACAACAACAUACGUUGUUCCCUUUGUCAUCGGUAUGUUACUUGCCCAAGAUUUGAUCGUCGGUAUCCAAUACCUAAUUCAAUCUCGUUACCGGCAAGUCUCUUUACUCGUUACGUAAUGCAUCAUUCCGUAACUAACUCAUUAGCUACAUUGCUUGCAAGGCUUAUAGUGAUGUGCAUUACCGAGAGGGCCCAGAGAUACCUCUCCGACAAUCGGAGUGACAAAACCUAAUCUCGAAAUAUGCCAACCCAACAUGUACCUUCGGAGACACCUGUAGUACUCCUUUAUAAUCACCCAGUUACGUUGUGACGUUUGGUAACACCCAAAGUGUUCCUCCGGUAAACGGGAGUUGCAUAAUCUCAUAGUUACAGGAACAUGUAUAAGUCAUGAAGAAAGCAAUAGCAACAUACUAAACGAUCAAGUGCUAGGCUAACGGAAUGGGUCAUGUCAAUCACAUCAUUCUUCUAAUGAUGUGAUCCCGUUAAUCAAAUGACAACUGUUCUGUCCAUGGCUAGGAAACAUAACCAUCUUUGAUAAACGAGCUAGUCAAGUAGAGGCAUACUAGUGACACUAUGUUUGUCUAUGUAUUCACACAUGUAUUAUGUUUCCGGUUAAUACAAUUCUAGCAUGAAUAAUAAACAUUUAUCAUGAUAUAAGGAAAUAAAUAAUAACUUUAUUAUUGCCUCUAGGGCAUAUUUCCUUCAGUUACAACAUGCUUGUUAAAUAUAAACUGCUAUUCUUUACUCUUCUACAUGCUGCAAGAUGCUCGGAGCUGCUUGAAGAUGCUAGUCUUCGAUAGGCUAGGCCUUCUCCCUAUAUUCUAGCAUUCUGCAGUUCAGUCCACAGAUACAACCCUUCCAUUUGAUACCAGUGCACACAUAGUAUAGAUCUGAUGCUUGCGAGUACUUUGGAUGAGUACUCACGGUUGCUUUGCUACCCCUUUUCCCCCUUCUUUCUUCUUUCUGGUUGAUGCAACCAGAUGGUGGAUCCAUGGAGCCAGAUGCCACCCCCGCUGACUACUACUACUACCCAGAGAGUGCCUUCUACUACGUGGAGCCCGUCGACGACCAGGAGUAGUUAGGAGGUCCCAGGCAGGAGGCCUUGCCUCUUCGAUCGUUGAUGUUUGUGCUAGCCUUCUUAAGGCAAAAACUUGUUUAACUUUUGUCUGUACUCAGAUAUUGUUGCUUUCGCUGACUCUUGUGUAUCGAGCUAUGUAUUCGAGCCCUCGAGGCCCUUGGCUUGUAAUAUAAAGCUUGUAUUAUUUCUCUUUUGUCUCUAGAGUUGUGUUGUGAUAUCUUCCCGUGAGUCCCUGAUCUUGAUCGUACAUAUUUGCGUGUAUGAUUAGUGUAUGAUUGAAUCGGGGGCGUCACACUACCUCUAUAACCUGGUAGACAUAAUUUUACACUAGCAUUGAGGUAGGGCUAUAACCUAGUACAAAUCAUUUUACACAAUAGUUGAACUAGCUCUAUAACCUAGUACAAAUAAGUUUACACUAGAGUUAAACUAGCUCUAUAACCUAGUACGAAUAAUUUUAACUAGCAUUGAACGAGGUCUAUAACCUAGUACAAAUCAUUUUCCACUAUAGUUCGACUAGCUCUAUUAUCUAGUACAAAUAAUUUUAGACAAGAAUUGAACUAGCUCUAUAACCUAGUAGAAAUCAUUUUACACUAGAGUUGAACUAGCUCUAUGACCUAGUACACACAAUUUUAGACUAGAGUUGAACUAGCUCUAUAAUUUGGUACAAAUAAUUUUAAACUAGAGUUGAACUAGCUCUAUAACAUAGUAUAAAUAAUUUCACACUAGAGUUGAAGUAGCUCUAUAACCUAGUGUGAUGCCCGGAUAAUUAAGCUACACUAUUCUCUACUAAUGAGGCCACGUCACCACUGUUACUUUCGCUAAUCUCGUUUAGAUUCAAAACGGUUCAAAUUCAAAUUCAAAACAAAGUUAAAAAAUAGAAGUUCUCAAAUGUCCAAAUUAAAUAGUACAAGUUGUGGCAAAUAAUUUAUAAGUAUUAUUGGUAAAGAAACCACAGCUUUAUAAAAGGUUUUAAUGCACUAAAAUAAUUAAAAUAGCAGCUAAAGUAAUUAUUUAAAUGCCUUUUAAGUAUUGAAAAUGUGUGAAGUAAUUUAUUAAUGCACUAAGCUUUUUAUGGCAGUAGCAUAUCUUGUUGCUCUAAUUUAGGUGCUAUUCUUACCUUUUUAUAAAACUAAAAUAAUGGGAAACUUAAAUGGAAAUCAAAUAAACAGAAACUAUAAAAAAGGAUAGAAGUAAAGGAGAAAACAAAAGGCCUCACCCCUCACCCUGGGCCGCUUGGCCACCAGACCCACCAGGUCGGCCUAGCAGCCAGGCCAUCUCCCCCCGCAACAGGUCCUCCCUUCUCCUGUUCCUCGGACCGCUAGAGAGAGCGCUCCCGCACGUGGUCGGCACCGCACCACCUCGUCGACGACGUGGGGUUGGAUAACAGCGCCCCUCCCCGAACCCUAGCUACCCACUCGCUCCACUCCUCUCUGUCCCUCCGCCUCGCCCCUCGCCAGAUCCCCUUUCCUCUAGCCCUCUCACUCUCGGUCCCGAGCCACCCGAGCACUACCAUCGCCGUGCCAUCGUCGUUCGCCUGCUCCGGCUUCUUCCCGGGCCACGGGAGGUUGGCCGGGGGCCUCGCCGCGCCCCGUAGUCACCGUCCACACCACCAGAGCAGGCUUCGGAGUUCCCUGCCGCUGGAUCGGGCGUCGCCCGCACCGGCAACCACGUCGACCAACGCCACCGCCUCGCCGCGUCCAACUACUCCGGCAUCUCCUCGACCUCUCCUGAGCUCCCCACCGGUCGCCGCUGUGAGCUCUCCCUCGAUUCCCCUGUUUCCCCCUUCGGUUCGUCGCCUAGAUCGCCGUAACCAUCGUAGCCGAGCUCGCCGUCGUUGCUUCCCCUCGGCACUGCAACCAUAGCCGGCCAGGCUCGUCCACGAGCACGGCCUCGUGCUCCUGGCCUCCCCGGUGCCUGCCAGCUGCGCUGCAUCGCACGUCCGCAGCCCUGCGCCUGCAACCGUCCGCGUCGGCUCACGCUCCGCGUCCGCGAGCACACGCCCUGCUCCCCAUCCCUGCUCGCCCGCGAGAACACCCUUCCGGACCCUGGCCGACCACUGCGACCCCGCUGCCGCCCAGCCGCGCGACGACCACGACCCACUCCGUCCGCGGGCGCGCGCCUGGCCGCGCCCGACCGCGCCGGCUGCUACCCUCGCCGCGACUUGCCUCCACCCCACCCGUGCUCCCCUGCUGCUGCUUGCUUCCACGGCGUUGCUGCUGCAUCUACUACUGCCGCCGCUAACUGUACUCUGUAUUGCUAGCUACGGAAGAUGCUACUAGCUAGCUUUUCUCUUUUUACAAUGACUAACCCUCUAUACAGCCCGUAAAUAUCGUCUAAACGGUUAUUAACAUUAGUAAAAAUAAUAUGAGUAGAAACUAUACAUGACAAACUUCAUUUUAUCCCAUUGGAACAAAUCCAUUUGAUGCUUGAAUUAAAUCAUAUGAAAAUCACAAAUUGCUAUCUUCUGUUAAGAGAGAACAUAAUUAACCUCAUAGCAUACUGUGUUGCGUGCUGUGUGUGGUGUGUGUGGCCGGUUUGGCCACGGCCGUGUGUGGCUGGCCCUUGUUAGAUUAUUAGGAUUAAAAUUAGUACUAAUGUGACACCCGGAUAAUUAAGCUACAGUAAUUCCCUGCUAAUGAUGCAACGUCAUCAUAAUUACUGUUGUUAAGCUCGUAUUGGUUCGAAUCCGGUCGAAAUUCAAAUUUAAAUUAAAGUCAAAAAAAAUUUAAACAUAAAAUCUAAAAUGUUCAAUGUGUGGCAAAUAAUCUAUGGUUAUUUGUCAUGUUCGAAACAACCUCUUUUGGAUUCCCACAGUGCCCCUGGAAUUUUAUUCAGUGGACCAUCAACCAAUUAUUUGAGCUUCUCAAUUUCAAAAAUAUAAUUGAACACUCCCAAAUGCUUGGAACUUUUUUUCGUACCAACCCAGGUUAUUGCCUUGUAUUUUUGUGCCAAGUUUUGUAUUGAACAAAACUAUUUUAGUGGCUCAAAUAAAAUGCAAAGUAGUAAAGAAAUAAAUAAAACAGAAAAUAAAAAAGGUAAAAGGCCUAUUCUACUGGGCACUAUGGCCCGUCUAGCAAAAAGGCCAGCCCAGUCACCUCACCCAUCCCCUCCUCACGCUACAGAGGACAGGGGAGGGCGUGGCGGCCAUCGGUCGCUGCCAACGGCGCCGUGGCGGCCAUCGCCCGGCCGACCCCGNNNNNNNNNNNNNNNNNNNNNNNNNNNNNNNNNNNNNNNNNNNNNNNNNNNNNNNNNNNNNNNNNNNNNNNNNNNNNNNNNNNNNNNNNNNNNNNNNNNNNNNNNNNNNNNNNNNNNNNNNNNNNNNNNNNNNNNNNNNNNNNNNNNNNNNNNNNNNNNNNNNNNNNNNNNNNNNNNNNNNNNNNNNNNNNNNNNNNNNNNNNNNNNNNNNNNNNNNNNNNNNNNNNNNNNNNNNNNNNNNNNNNNNNNNNNNNNNNNNNNNNNNNNNNNNNNNNNNNNNNNNNNNNNNNNNNNNNNNNNNNNNNNNNNNNNNNNNNNNNNNNNNNNNNNNNNNNNNNNNNNNNNNNNNNNNNNNNNNNNNNNNNNNNNNNNNNNNNNNNNNNNNNNNNNNNNNNNNNNNNNNNNNNNNNNNNNNNNNNNNNNNNNNNNNNNNNNNNNNNNNNNNNNNNNNNNNNNNNNNNNNNNNNNNNNNNNNNNNNNNNNNNNNNNNNNNNNNNNNNNNNNNNNNNNNNNNNNNNNNNNNNNNNNNNNNNNNNNNNNNNNNNNNNNNNNNNNNNNNNNNNNNNNNNNNNNNNNNNNNNNNNNNNNNNNNNNNNNNNNNNNNNNNNUCUAAUUCGAGCUCAAAAGCUCCGCGGUGAUCGAGCUCAUUGCUGUCGUUACCGCGGCCACCAUCGAUGCCGUCACUCGGGAGCACGUCCAGAAGGUCCUCCACGGUCGUCUUCGUCCGUUCCGGGUGCCGCUUCAAGCUGGGGCACCGCGUAGCCAUCGCCAUGGUCGUCUUCCCCGCCUCGGCCGCCACUGCCUCGUCGUCGUCGCCGUCGAUCUACACAACCACGACCUCCUCGGCCUCCCCAACCACGCCGUCGCGCUCGCAGUGAGGCCCUCCGCUGAUUCACCCUUUCCUCCCCUUCGAUUUGAACGCCGUAGGCCGCCAUCACCGUCGUUCCCGAACCCCUGCGUACGCGUGCGUGUGUGCGUGUGGCUCCUGCUCCUGCGCUGUUGCUGCCGCUACUAUGCGCGCGCCCCCGCGCGUAGCCUCACCACGGCUUGUUGCUGCUCGUCAACCGCGGCGGCUGCUCGCUGCUUCGUUGCUCUGCUUGCUGCUUCUGCUGCUGCGCUGCUUUGGCUGCUGCUCCUCUGCUAUUGUUGCCGAUGCUUGCUAUCGCUGAAUGUUGUUGUGCUACAGCUUGCCGCUGCUAUUGCCUGCUGCUCCUAGCUACCGCUGCUCCUUGCUGAUGCCGCCGCUGCUCCUUGCUGAUGCCGCCGCUGCUUCCCACUAGCGCCGUCACUCGCCGCGGCCCGUACUUGCUAGCUGCAGCCCCGGCGCCACGCUUGCCGCAUCCUGGCCAUGCCACGGCCAUAGCCAUGUGCAUGUGUUUGCUUGUGCGUGAUGCACAUCCACACAGUGGCACGACUGGGCCACUGCCACAAGGGGCUAGCCCAAAUUAGAUUAGCUCUAAUCAUCAAUUAGUUAGGUUAAAUAUUGUUUAGGUAAGUUGCUAACCUAUGACUAGUGGCCCCCAUGCCGAUUAAUCUAAUUAAUUAGAAUAGUUUAGGUGCUGCCUAUGACAUGUGGGCCACACCCUCCCCUUUUAACUAGUCAUUUUGACUUGGUCAACUCGAAUUAUUAUUUAAUUCCAGGAAUUUUCAUAAAAUGAUAAAUCUUUGAAAAUUAAUAGAAAAUUAACCGUAACUCGGAUCGAAAAACUUUGUACAUGAAAGUUGCUCAGAACGACAAGACGAAUGCGAACACGCGAUCCGUUCACCCGCCACACGUCCCUAGCAUAGCGAACCAGCAAACUUUCCCCUCCGAUUCAUCUAUGUGACAGACGUCCGGAACCGGGAAAACUUUCCCGGAUGUUUUUCCUCCUUCGCCAGUAUCGUCUAGCACUGUGUUAGAACACCUCUAGCCCCGCUUAUUGUCUUGUUAUGCAUAUGUUUGCGUGUAUUUACUUUUUCUUCCCUCUUCUUUCCGGUAGACUCCGAGACGGCCACGGAUGCCGCUAUAAUCGACAACAUCGACGACGACCCUCCUUCUUGUCUGAGCAACUAGGCAAGCCCCCCCUUUGAUCAUCCCGAUAUCGCCCAUUCUAUACUCUCAUGCUUGCAUUAGAUUUUGCUACUGUUAUUGUUUGCUCCUAUUCUGAUGCAUAGCCUACUUUUGUACCUGCUUAUUGUUACAUACCUGCUUAUACUAAACUGCUUAGUAUAGGUUGGCUAGUGAUCCAUUAGUGACCCCCACUUGUCCUUGUUGCCCCUGCUUCAUCAUCAACGCCUCGAUCGACGUGAUCGACGACCAGAGUCCGACACCUCACAUCACAUCACGCCCCUUUAGUUGCUCGACUCUGCAGAGCUACUAUCGAGUGCCGAGGGUGAUCCCUCAUAACACACUCCUGAUGAUAAUUCUGUAGUGUAGCUAUCCGGUCGUGGUCAUCGAGGGUGAUUUCCUCUUUCACCAUUCCCGAUACGGCUCUGUCGUUCAACACCUCAAGAGUGAACCUCGAGGGUGGUCCCUCUUACGUUCACCUUGAUGAUUACAUUGAGUGGAAUCCAUCGGGGCUGAUUCCUCGGGUUUUCCCCUUGAUGUCUGGACACACGGUUACAAUGACUUUACUUGAGACCUUGGUGAAAGUCGGGCGGGCCCGAAGAGCACCCGCAAGAUGGUUACGUGGCACGGCCGGGCAUUCUAGGCCCUUGUCGUAAGUCCACGAGACGGGGCGACGGGGUCACUUUCGAUCGUGAGUCUCUUCUCGUCUCCGCAAGCUAAUAAUACACUAUGGUUUGGGUAUUUGUUCUGAGUUGGCCUCUGGCCUUUACGCACUAACCACCACGCGAGAAUAAAUAUGGGCCUCGACGUCGUGGUAUCAGUCGAAGCUUUGUCAGACGUCCAGUUCAGCAUUGUGGCCGGGCCAGAUCGUGCCAUCCACUUCACGGGUGAUGCUGGUAUCCCCUUGCGCACAACGAUCCGGAGUGCAACGGGCGAUGGGCCCAGACCCCGGAGUGCUUAGGAUGUAGACCGGCGGGGACCUCUCUGUUGAGCCUAGGUCUGGCUGCGACAUGUUGAUCUUCCAAGGGAGGGCAUUGACCCCAGAAAGGUGUGUCCGGCCAGAGUGAUCGAGCGUGUUGGGUAACGUGGUGCACCCCUGCAGGGAAGUUAUAUAUUCAAAUACCGUGUCCACGGUAAUGGACGUUCAGACUUAUAUCCUGAUCUUAUACAACUACAAAUGAAUACUUGAGAUAUGUGGCUCCGGGAUUGCUUUCUCGCAGGGAGUCGAGGAAGGAUCUCUGAGCAUUAAUGUUACAACAUGCUUGUUAAUUAUAAACUGCUACUCUUUACUCUUCUACAUGAUGUAAGAUGCUCGGAGCUGCGUGAAGAUGCUAGUCUUCGAUAGGCUAGGCCUUCCCCCUCUAUUCUGGCAUUCUGCAGUUCAGUCCACAGAUACAACCCUUCCAUUUGAUACCAAUGCAUACUUAGUAUAGAUCUGAUGCUUGCGAGUACUUUGGAUGAGUACUCACGGUUGCUUUGCUACCCCUUUCCCCCCCCUUCUUUCUUCUUUCCGGUUGAUGCAACCAGAUGUUGGAUCCCUGAAGCCAGAUGUCACCGCCGAUGGAUGCUACUGCGUGAAGACCGUCGACGUCCAGGAGUAGUUAGGAGGUCCCAGGCAGGAGGCCUUGCCUCUUCGAUCGUUGUUGCUUUUGUGCUAGCCUUCUUAAGGCAUCCUUGUUUAACUUAUGUCUGUACUCAGAUAUUGUUGCUUCCGCUGACUCUUGUGUAUCGAUAUGUAUUCGAGCCCUCGAUGCCCCUGGCUUGUAAUAUAAAGCUUGUAUUAUUUUGAUUUGUGUCUAGAGUUGUGUUGUGAUAUCUUCCCGUGAGUCCCUGAUCUUGAUCGUACACAUUUGCGUGUAUGAUUAGUGUACGAUUGAAUCGGAGGCGUCACAAGUUGGUAUCAGAGCCGACAGCCUGUAGGAUCCCCCUUUCCAACUCCUUGGCCGAAGUUGAGUCUAGUCUUCAAAAACGGUUUUACUAACAUGGUUGUGUGGCUUACGGGCCCACGUCACCAGUUGGGUGCUAUUACGAUCUUUUAUUCCUCGUCUAUACUCUGGGAAUCUGAUCUCUCUUCUAUUCGGGUUAAAUGGUUUUGCUAACUCUACUCUAGGUUCUCGUAAAUACUUCUCCCGGAGAGCCACUUCAUUCCAAAUGAUGGCCCGCUUCACCAGAAGAUUUUGAAGAUACUCUCCGAUGUUUUACCGAUUCCCUCGUACACUUUGCGUUGCGAUCCCUACCACCGAUAAAUCCUUAUGCGUAACUACCUAUGUUGUCGUUCAUACCUUCAUCCCCAGUUGCUCUUGUUACUACAAGAUGUCCUGAAAUAUUCUUCGAUGUUCCGAGAAUUCUUUAUGCUUACUGCCCUGCAGUUCCUUGCCGCAUGAAUAUCCCUACGGAUAAUUACUCGCUUUUAUCGAGUAUCCAUUCAUCCCCAGUUAUUCUUAUGCUUCAUAAGAUACUUUUUAAUACAAUCCGAGCUUUCGAUGACCUCUAUCGCCUAUUGCUCUAGAAGGUCUUACCUGCCUAUACUCUGGUUAAUUCCAUAUGCCUAGCAGUAUCCAUUGACGUCCUUUGUCAUUAUCAUUUUGAGUCUUUUUAUUUGAUAUGUCUGUGUCGCAAUCAUCAGUUGAUCCUUAUAGAUUAUCUUUCUGGCUCAGACGUCUUCCCGAACACGAGCUGGUUCUUGGCCAAUCAGAUUUCCAUCGAUUGUGCCCUAACUCUAUUCAACUUAACCAUCCUUGGUCAGAGCGUUUGCUUCUGAUCCCUUGAUUUUGGAAAUCGUAAUUCCUUUGCAUUUGAACUCUGAAUUAGUCAGUUGCUUCUAUAAUCUGUCCUCCUCACAUUCUUUCUUCUUCUGGUUGAGUACCGUUACUCACAUCAGAUCCCUCGUGGACAACCAGAUUCUUUGUUGGGUUCUAUCCGACAGUGUCCUUCAUAUUCAAUAACCUUGUGAGCUUUUCCUUGGAUACAGAAUGCCUUUGGUAAAUCCCCUGCUUUUGUCAACCAUGCUCCGCCUCCGAGCUUGAGUUAUUUAUUCCUAAAGUUUGUGGUAUGUGUUCCUAAGAUGCCCCGAUGGCUUGAGCCUACGCCUUCCCUAAUCUAUGUGAACCCGAAGAUUAUGCGGGCUAUAUCUACUGGCGUUUCUUUGGAUAAAUUUUCAAUUCUACAACUUGUCCAAGACGAGAAGUAAAUGAAAAGUUGUGCAUUAGAGAAGUGGGAGUCGACCUUGAGCCUUGUGUUCAUAACCAUGGACCCGAUGUGGAGCUUAACAUGGAAGCUUCUUGUUAUAAUAAUAGCCCCCUUGCGAUGAGUUCAUAUUGUAUCUAUGCUUGGUCCUUGGCAACCGUGGUUCCGACCAUGACUGUUAUCCUUUGAUUGCAUUUCUCAAACGAGUUAAAGUACUUGUCUUCUUCAGAUCAUUUCAACUGUCAAGCCUCUAUUCUGCUCUACCCUCGAGUAUUACCCUCUGGUAUCUCGAGAAUACCGCAGAACUACAUAACAUCUUAUGAGUUCUUCAUGAACUUUUAAUUCUCGGUGAUUCCAAGUUUCUACGGGUUCUGGGUUAUUAGACACUCGAGAACGCCGAUAACUGAUUCGAUGUCUACACUUUCCUUUCCAUUGUUUUGUUUAAACUUUCUUGUAAUGUAACAUAUAUGAGCAGUGAUAAUUCACUGCUUAUGUAAACACCUCGGUGUACAACUCUGUUAGUAAGACCUUGUUACUAUUGUUGAUGACAUCCCGGUAGCCACCGUUGAACGAGAACUUUGCCUAUUGGUCCGCCUCGUCUUAACGAGCAGGAAAAUGGUUCUCUUCGUCCCUCGCCCUUGGUACGUGUUGUUGCCGACAAAACUGAGAGGUUAUUGUCAGACAUACCUUGCUAUCAAGAUCGUGCAAGAUGACAUCACCCUUCCUACUUUUUGAUCCACAUGGUGGGCCCAUAACCCACAGUUCCACAAGAUCGAAACCUGACUCUCCUAUACAUCCACAUGGCUUCGUAUGUAAUUCACGGGCCACCUUCCUUGUGAUCCGUUCUGGUAUCAGACGCAAUACUUAUUCCCAUUGCUCUGAACCCCUUUCACCCUCUGUUUCAGGUAACGAAAGAUUGCCUACCCGCUUAAAGCUUCUUAUUGCACCACCUUACCUUGCUCUCGAUGACUUCUUGAAUUUCAGCUCGAGAGAUGCCUCUAUGCUAUGUUCAGCGAGAUAGCCCCAAGGUACCUAUCUUGUGUUGAGCCCCGUCCUUCCUGAGUCUUUCCCCUUACUCCAUCCCUUAAAUCUUGGGACGAGAUUUCUGUUGGAAAUAUGCCCUAGAGGCAAUAAUAAAAGUGUUAUUAUUAUAUUUCUUUGUUCAUGAUAAUAGUCUUUUAUUCAUGCUAUAACUGUAUUAUCCGGAAAUCGUAAUACACGUGUGAAUACAUAGACCACAAUAUGUCCCUAGUGAGCCUCUAGUUGACUAGCUCGUUGUGAUCAACAGAUAGUCAUGGUUUCCUGGCUCUGGACAUUGGAUGUCGUUGAUAACGGGAUCACAUCAUUAGGAGAAUGAUGUGAUGGACAAGACCCAAUCCUAAGCAUAGCACAAAGAUCGUGUAGUUCGUUUGCUAGAGCUUUGCCAAUGUCAAGUAUCUCUUCCUUUGACCAUGAGAGCGUGUAACUCCUGGAUACCGUAGGAGUGCUUUGGGUGUAUCAAACGUCACAACGUAACUAGGUGACUAUAAAGGUGCACUACAGGUAUCUCCGAAAGUAUCUAUUGUUUUAUGCGGAUCGAGACUGGGAUUUGUCACUCCGUAUGACGGAGAGGUAUCUCUGGGCCCACUCGGUAAUGCAUCAUCAUAAUGAGCUCAAGGUGACCAAGGUGUUGGCCACGGGAUCAUGCAUUACAGUACGAGUAAAGUUACUUGCCGGUAACAAGACUGAACAAGGUAUUGGGAUACCGACGAUCGAGUCUCGGGCAAGUAACGUACCGAUUGACAAAGGGAAUUGUAUACAGGGUUUGAUCGAAUCCUCGACAUCGUGGUUCAACCAAUGAAAUCAUUGAGGAGCAUGUGGGAGCCAACAUGGGUAUCCAGACCCCGCUGAUGGUUAUUGCCCGAGAGUAGUCUCGGUCAUGUCUGCAUGUCUCCCGAGCCCGUAGGGUCUACACACUUAAGGUUCGGUGAUGCUAGGGUUGUUAGGAAGACUAGUAUGUGACUACCGAAUGUUGUUCGGAGUCCCGGAUGAGAUCCCGGACGUCACGAGGAGUUCCGGAAUGGUCCGGAGGUAAAGUUUUAUACAUGGGAAGUUGUUAAACGGGCACCGGAAAGUUUCGGGGUCAUACCGGUAUUGUACCAGGACCACCGGAAGGGUUCCAGGGGUCCACCGGGAGGGGCCACCCCUCCCGGGGGGGGGCACUUGGCUGCGUGGGGAUAGCAGCCAGCCCCUAGUGGGCUUGGCGCGCCCCCCCUUUGGGCCCAUGCGCCUAGGGUUGGGGGGGGGAACCCUAAAGGGGGCGCACCCCCCUUGCUUGGGGGGCAAGCCCCCCACCCCUUGGCCGCCGCCCCCCCUAGGGUUUUCCCUAGAGGGCCGGCCCCCCCUUGCCCUUUCCCCUAUAUAUAGAGGGGUGAGGGGAGGGCUGCAAUACACCACAAGCCAAGGCGCAGCCCCUCCCCUCCCCAACACCUCUCCUCCUCCGUAUAUGCUUGGCGAAGCCCUGUCGGAGUACUGCUGCACCAACUACACCACGUCGUCGUGCUGCCGUUGGAGCAAUCUUCCUCAACCUCUCCUUCCCCCUUGCUGGAUCAAGAAGGAGGAGACGUCUCCCGUCCCGUACGUGUGUUGAACACGGAGGUGCUGUCCGUUCAACACUUGGACAUCGGUGAUCCGAAUCACGUUCGAGUACGACUCCAUCAUCACCAUCCCCUUGGCUAGCUUCCGCUCGUGAUCUACAAGUGGUAUGUAGAUGCAAACUCUCUCCCUUGACUCGUUGCUUAGAUGAACUCAUAGAUGGAUCUUGGUGAAACCGUAGGAAAAAUUUUAAUUUUCUGCAACGUUCCCCAACAGUGGCAUCAUGAGCUAGGUCUAUGCGUAGUUCUCUUUGCACGAGUAGAACACAAUUUUGUUGUGGGCGUGGAUUUUGUCAUCUUACUUGCCUCUACUAGUCUUUUCUUGCUUCGGCGGUAUUAUGGGAUGAAGCGGCCCGGACCAACCUUACACGUACGCUUACGUGAGACCGGUUCCACCGACUGACAUGCACUAGUUGCAUAAGGUGGCUGGCGGGUGUCUGUCUCUCCCACUUUAGUUGGAGCGGAUUCGAUGAAAAGGGCCCUUAUGAAGGGUAAAUAGAAGUUGACAAAAUCACGUUGUGGUUAUUCGUAGGUAAGAAAAUGUUCUUGCUAGAACCCAAUUGCAGCCACGUAAAAGAUGCAACAACAAUUAGAGGACGUCUAACUUGUUUUUGCAGCGAUUGAUCAUGUGAUGUGAUAUGGCCAGAAGUUGUGAUGAAUGAUGAAUUGUGAUGUAUGAAAUCAUGUUCUUUGUAAUAGGAUUCACGACUUGCAUGUCGAUGAGUAUGACAACCGGCAGGAGCCAUAGGAGUUGUCUUUAUUUUUUGUAUGACCUGUGUGUCAUUGAAGAACGCCAUGUAACUCACUUUACUUUAUUGCUAAACGCGUUAGCCAUAGAAGUAGAAGUAGUCGUUGGCGUGACAACUUCAUGAAGACACGAUGAUAGAGAUCAUGAUGAUGGAGAUCAUGGUGUCAAGCCGGUGACAAGAUGAUCAUGGAGCCCCGAAGAUGAAGAUCAAUGGAGCUAUAUGAUAUUGGCCAUAUCAUGUCACAACUAUAUAAUUGCAUGUGAUGUUUAUUAUGUUUAUGCAUCUUGUUUACUUAGGACGACGGUAGUAAAUAAGAUGAUCCCUUACAAAAAUUUCAAGAAGUGUUCUCCCCUAACUGUGCACCGUUGCUACAGUUCGUCGCUUCUAAGCACCACGUGAUGAUCGGGUGUGAUGGAUUCUUACGUUCACAUACAACGGGUGUAAGACAGUUUUACACAGCGAAAACACUUAGGGUUAACUUGACGAGCCUAGCAUGUGCAGACAUGGCCUCGGAACACGGAGACCGAAAGGUCAAACACGAGUCGUAUGGAAGAUACGAUCAACAUGAGAAUGUUCACCGACAAUGACUAGUCCGUCUCACGUGAUGAUCGGACACGGCCUAGUCGACUCGGAUCGUGUAACACUUAGAUGACUAAAGGGAUGUCUAAUCUGAGUGGGAGUUCAUAAUUUGAUUAGAACUUAAUUAUCAUGAACUUAGUCUAAAACCUUUGCAAAUAUGUCUUGUAGAUCAAAUGGCCAACGCUCAUGUCAACAUGAACUUCAACGCGUUCCUAGAGAAAACCAAGCUGAAAGAUGAUGGCAGCAACUAUACGGACUGGGUCCAAAACCUGAGGAUCAUCCUCAUAGCUGCCAGGAAACAAUAUGUCCUAGAAGGACCGCUAGGUGACGCUCCCGUCCCAGAGAACCAAGACAUUAUGAAUGCUUGGCAAACUCGCGCUGAUGAUUACUCCCUCGUUCAGUGCGGCAUGCUUUACAGCUUAGAACCGGGGCUCCAAAAGCGUUUUGAGCAUCACGGAGCAUAUGAGAUGUUCGAAGAGCUGAAACUAGUUUUCCAAGCUCAUGCCCGGGUCGAGAGAUAUGAUGUCUCCGACAAGUUCUACAGUUGUAAGAUGGAGGAAAACAGUUCUGUCAGUGAGCACAUCCUGAAGAUGUCUGGGUUGCACAACCGUAUGACCCAGCUGAACAUUAACCUCCCAGAUGAGGCGGUCAUUGACAGAAUCCUCCAGUCGCUCCCACCAAGCUACAAGAGCUUUGUGAUGAACUACAACAUGCAGGGGAUGGAAAAAGACCAUUCCUGAAGUGUUCUCGAUGCUGAAGUCAGCAGAGGCUGAAAUCAAGAAAGAACAUCAAGUGUUGAUGGUCAAUAAGACCACUAAGUUCAAGAAGGGCAAGGGUAAGAAGAACUUCAAGAAGGACGGCAAGGAGGUUGCCGCGCCUGGUAAGCCAGUUACCGGGAAGAAGUCAAAGAAUGGACCUAAGCCUGAGACUGAGUGCUUUUAUUGCAAGGGGAAGGGUCACUGGAAGCGGAACUGCCCCAAAUACUUAGCAGAUAAGAAGGCUGGCAAAACCAAAGGUAUAUUUGAUAUACAUGUAAUUGAUGUGUACCUUACCAGUACUCGUAGUAACUCCUGGGUAUUUGAUACCGGUGCCGUUGCUCAUAUUUGUAACUCACAGCAGGAGCUGCGGAAUAAACGGAGACUGGCGAAGGACGAGGUGACGAUGCGCGUCGGGAAUGGUUCCAGAGUCGAUGUGAUCGCCGUCGGCACACUGCCUCUACAUUUACCUACGGGAUUAGUUUUGAACCUUAAUAAUUGUUAUUUAGUGCCAAGUUUGAGCAUGAACAUUGUAUCUGGAUCUCGUUUAAUACGAGAUGGCUACUCAUUUAAGUCUGAGAAUAAUGGUUGUUCGAUUUAUAUGAGAGAUAUGUUUUAUGGUCAUGCUCCGAUGGUCAAUGGUUUAUUCUUAAUGAAUCUCGAGCGUAAUAUUACACAUGUUCAUAGUGUAGAUGCCAAAAGAUGUAAAGUUGAUAACGAUAGUCCCACAUACUUGUGGCACUGCCGCCUUGGUCACAUUGGUGUCAAGCGCAUGAAGAAGCUCCAUGCCGAUGGACUUUUAGAGUCUCUUGAUUAUGAAUCGUUUGACACGUGCGAACCAUGCCUCAUGGGCAAGAUGACCAAGACUCCGUUCUCCGGAACAAUGGAGCGAGCAACCAAACUAUUGGAAAUCAUACAUACCGAUGUGUGCGGUCCAAUGAGCGUUGAGGCUCGCGGAGGAUAUCGUUAUGUUCUCACUCUCACUGAUGACUUAAGUAGAUAUGGGUAUGUCUACUUAAUGAAACACAAGUCUGAGACCUUUGAAAAGUUCAAGGAAUUUCAGAAUGAGGUGGAGAAUCAACGUGACCGAAAGAUAAAGUGCCUACGAUCAGAUCGUGGAGGAGAAUAUUUAAGUCACGAAUUUGGCACACACUUAAGGAAAUGUGGAAUCGUUUCACAACUCACGCCGCCUGGAACACCUCAGCGAAACGGUGUGUCCGAACGUCGUAAUCGCACUCUAUUGGAUAUGGUGCGGUCUAUGAUGUCUCUUACUGAUUUACCGCUAUCAUUUUGGGGAUACGCUCUAGAGACAGCUACAUUCACUUUAAAUAGGGCACCGUCUAAAUCCGUUGAGACGACACCGUAUGAAUUAUGGUUUGGGAAGAAACCUAAGCCGUCGUUUCUAAAAGUUUGGGGAUGCGAUGCUUAUGUCAAGAAACUUCAACCUGAAAAGCUCGAACCCAAGUCGAAAAAAUGCGUCUUCAUAGGAUACCCUAAGGAAACUGUCGGGUAUACCUUCUACUUAAGAUCCGAGGGCAAAAUCUUUGUUGCCAAGAACGGAUGCUUUCUGGAAAAAGAGUUUCUUUCGAAAGAAGUAAGUGGGAGGAAAGUAGAACUCGAUGAAGUACUACCUCUCGAACGGGAAAGUGGUGCAGCUCAGGAAAAUGUUCCUGUGAUGCCCACACCAACUGAAGAGGAAACCAAUGAUGAUGAUCAAGGUACUUCGGAUCAAGUUGCUACUGAACUUCGUAGGUCCACAAGGACACGUUCCGCACCAGAGUGGUACGGCAACCCCGUCCUGGAAAUCAUGUUGUUAGACAACGGUGAGCCUUCGAACUAUGAAGAAGCGAUGGCGGGCCCAGAUUCCAACAAAUGGCUUGAAGCCAUGAAAUCCGAGAUAGAAUCCAUGUAUGAAAACAAAGUAUGGACUUUGACAGACUUGCCCGAUGAUCGGCGAGCGAUAGAAAACAAAUGGAUCUUUAAGAAGAAGACAGACGCGGAUGGUAAUGUCACCAUCUAUAAAGCUCGACUUGUCGCUAAGGGUUAUCGACAGGUUCAAGGGAUUGACUACGACGAGACAUUCUCUCCCGUAGCGAAGCUAAAGUCCGUCCGAAUCAUGUUAGCAAUUGCCGCAUACUAUGAUUAUGAGAUAUGGCAGAUGGACGUCAAAACAGCAUUCCUUAACGGGCAUCUUAAGGAAGAACUGUAUAUGAUGCAGUCGGAAGGUUUUGUCGAUCCUAAGAACGCUAACAAAGUAUGCAAGCUCCAGCGAUCCAUUUAUGGGCUGGUGCAAGCAUCUCGGAGUUGGAAUAUUCGCUUUGAUGAGAUGAUCAAAGCGUUUGGGUUUAUGCAGACUUAUGGAGAAGCCUGCGUUUACAAGAAAGUGAGUGGGAGCUCUGUAGCAUUUCUCAUAUUAUAUGUAAAUGACAUACUCUUGAUGGGAAAUAAUAUAGAAUUUCUGGACAGCAUUAAGGCCUACUUGAAUAAGUGUUUUUCAAUGAAGGACCUUGGAGAAGCUGCUUACAUAUUAGGCAUCAAGAUCUAUAGAGAUAGAUCGAGACGCCUCAUAGGUCUUUCACAAAGCACAUACCUUGAUAAGAUUUUGAAGAGGUUCAAAAUGGAUCAGUCCAAGAAGGGGUUCUUGCCUAUGUUACAAGGUGUGAGAUUGAGCUCGGCUCAGUCACCGACCACGGCAAAAGAUAAAGAAGAGAUGAGUGUCAUCCCCUAUGCUUCAGCCAUAGGAUCUAUUAUGUAUGCCAGGCUGUGUACCAGACCUGAUGUAAACCUUGCCGUAAGUUUGGUAGCAAGAUACCAGAGUAAUCUCGGCAAGGAACACUGGACAGCGGUCAAGAAUAUCCUGAAGUACCUGAAAAGGACAAAGGACAUGUUUCUCGUUUAUGGAGGAGACGAAGAGCUCGUCGUAAAGGGUUACGUCGACGCUAGCUUUGACUCAGAUCCGGAUGACUCUAAGUCACAAACCGGAUACGUGUAUAUGUUGAAUGGUGGAGCAGUAAGCUGGUGCAGCUGCAAGCAGAGCGUCGUGGCGGGAUCUACAUGUGAAGCGGAGUACAUGGCAGCCUCGGAGGCAGCGCAUGAAGCUAUUUGGGUGAAGGAGUUCAUCACCGACCUAGGAGUCAUACCCAAUGCGUCGGGGCCAAUCAAACUCUUCUGUGACAACACUGGAGCUAUUGCCCUUGCCAAGGAGCCCAGGUUUCACAAGAAGACCAGGCACAUCAAGGGUCGUUUCAACUCCAUCCGUGAAAAUGUUCAAGAUGGAGACAUAGAAAUUUGCAAAGUACACACGGAUCUGAAUGUCGCAGAUCCGUUGACUAAACCUCUCUCGCGAGCAAAACAUGAUCAACACCAGAACUCUAUGGGUGUUCGAUUCAUCACAAUGUAACUAGAUUAGUGACUCUAGUGCAAGUGGGAGACUGUUGGAAAUAUGCCCUAGAGGCAAUAAUAAAAGUGUUAUUAUUAUAUUUCUUUGUUCAUGAUAAUAGUCUUUUAUUCAUGCUAGAACUGUAUUAUCCGGAAAUCGUAAUACACGUGUGAAUACAUAGACCACAAUAUGUCCCUAGUGAGCCUCUAGUUGACUAGCUCGUUGUGAUCAACAGAGAGUCAUGGUUUCCUGGCUAUGGACAUUGGAUGUCGUUGAUAACGGGAUCACAUCAUUAGGAGAAUGAUGUGAUGGACAAGACCCAAUCCUAAGCAUAGCACAAAGAUCGUGUAGUUCGUUUGCUAGAGCUUUGCCAAUGUCAAGUAUCUCUUCCUUUGACCAUGAGAGCGUGUAACUCCUGGAUACCAUAGGAGUGCUUUGGGUGUAUCAAACGUCACAACGUAACUGGGUGACUAUAAAGGUGCACUACAGGUAUCUCCGAAAGUAUCUAUUGUUUUAUGCGGAUCGAGACUGGGAUUUGUCACUCCGUAUGACGGAGAGGUAUCUCUGGGCCCACUCGGUAAUGCAUCAUCAUAAUGAGCUCAAGGUGACCAAGGUGUUGGCCACGGGAUCAUGCAUUACGGUACGAGUAAAGUGACUUGCCGGUAACGAGACUGAACAAGGUAUUGGGAUACCGACGAUCGAGUCUCGGGCAAGUAACGUACCGAUUGACAAAGGGAAUUCUAUACAGGGUUUGAUUGAAUCCUCGACAUCGUGGUUCAACCAAUGAAAUCAUUGAGGAGCAUGUGGGAGCCAACAUGGGUAUCCAGACCCCGCUGAUGGUUAUUGCCCGAGAGUAGUCUCGGUCAUGUCUGCAUGUCUCCCGAGCCCGUAGGGUCUACACACUUAAGGUUCGGUGACGCUAGGGUUGUUAGGAAGACUAGUAUGUGACUACCGAAUGUUGUUCGGAGUCCCGGAUGAGAUCCCGGACAUCACGAGGAGUUCCGGAAUGGUCCGGAGGUAAAGUUUUAUACAUGGGAAGUUGUUAAACGGGCACCGGAAAGUUUCGGGGUCAUACCGGUAUUGUACCAGGACCACCGGAAGGGUUCCGGGGGUCCACCGGGAGGGGCCACCCCUCCCGGGGGGCCACUUGGGCUGCGUGGGGAUAGCAGCCAGCCCCUAGUGGGCUUGGCGCGCCCCCCCUUUGGGCCCAUGCGCCUAGGGUUGGGGGGGGGGGGGAAACCCUAAAGGGGGCGCACCCCCCUUGCUUGGGGGGCAAGCCCCCCACCCCUUGGCCGCCGCCCCCCUAGGGUUUUCCCUAGAGGCCCGGCCCCCCCUUGCCCUUUCCCCUAUAUAUAGAGGGGUGAGGGGAGGGCUGCAAUACACCACAAGCCAAGGCGCAGCCCCUCCCCUCCCCAACACCUCUCCUCCUCCGUAUAUGCUUGGCGAAGCCCUGUCGGAGUACUGCUGCACCAACUACACCACGCCGUCGUGCUGCCAUUGGAGCAAUCUUCCUCAACCUCUCCUUCCCCCUUGCUGGAUCAAGAAGGAGGAGACGUCUCCGUCCCGUACGUGUGUUGAACGCGGAGGUGCUGUCCGUUCAGCACUUGGACAUCGGUGAUCUGAAUCACGUUCGAGUACGACUCCAUCAUCACCAUCCCCUUGGCUAGCUUCCGCUCGUGAUCUACAAGUGGUAUGUAGAUGCAAACUCUCUCCCUUGACUCGUUGCUUAGAUGAACUCAUAGAUGGAUCUUGGUGAAACCGUAGGAAAAUUUUUAAUUUUCUGCAACGUUCCCCAACAAUUUCUUGUAGUGGAGAAGAAUUGUGACGCCCGGAUAAUUAAUCUACAGUAAUUCCCUGCUAAUGAUGCAAUGUCAUCAUGAUUACUAUUGUUAAGCUCGUAUUGGUUCGAAUCCGGUCGAAAUUCAAAUUUAAAUUAAAGUAAAAAAAAUUCAAACAUAAAAUCUAAAAUGUUUAAUGUGUGGCAAAUAAUCUCUGGUUAUUUGUCAUGUUCGAAACAACCUCUUUUGGAUUCCCACAGUGCCCCUGGAAUUUUAUUUAGUAACCAUCAGCUAAUUUUUUGAGCUUCUCAAUUUCAAAAAAAUAAUUGAACACUCCCAAAUGCUUGGAACUUUUUUUUGUACCAACCCAGGUUAUUGCCUUGUAUUUUUGUGCCAAGUUUUGUAUUGAACAAAACUCUUUUAGUGGCUCAAUUAACAUGCAAAGUAGUAAAGAAAUAAAUAAAACAGAAAAUCAAAAAGGUAAAAGGCUUAUUCUACUGGGCACUAUGGCCCGUCUAGCAAAAAGGCCAGCCCAGUCACCUCACCCAUCCCCUCCUCACGCUACAGAGGACAGGGGAGGGCGUGGCGGCCAUCGGUCGCUGCCAACGGCGCCGUGGCGGCCAUCGCCCGACCGACCCCGCUUAUAAGCCUCCCCCUGGCCCCGGGCCGAAACCCUAGCACGCCGUCAUCCUUCCCCCCCUCUCUCCCCAAUCGGCCCCCUCCUCUUCCUCUCUAAUUCGAGCUCAAAAGCUCCGCGGUGAUCGAGCUCAUUGCUGUCGUUACCGCGGCCACCAUCGACGCCGUCACUCGGGAGCACGUCUAGAAGGUCCUCCACGGUCGUCUUCGUCCGUUCCGGGUGCCGCUUCAAGCUGGGGCACCGCGUAGCCAUCGCCAUGGUCGUCUUCCCCGCCUCGGCCGCCACUGCCUCGUCGUCGUCGCCGUCGAUCUACACCACCACGACCUCCUUGGCCUCCCCAACCACGCCGUCGCGCUCGCAGUGAGGCCCUCCGCUGAUUCACCCUUUCCUCCCCUUCGAUUUGAACGCCGUAGGCCGCCAUCACCGUCGUUCCCGAACCCCUGCGUACGCGUGCGUGUGUGCGUGUGGCUCCUGCUCCUGCGCUGUUGCUGCCGCUACUAUGCGCGCGCCCCCGCGCGUAGCCUCACCACGGCUUGUUGCUGCUCGUCAACCGCGGCGGCUGCUCGCUGCUUCGUUGCUCUGCUUGCUGCUUCUGCUGCUGCGCUGCUUUGGCUGCUGCUCCUCUGCUAUUGUUGCCGAUGCUUGCUAUCGCUGAAUGUUGUUGUGCUACAGCUUGCCGCUGCUAUUGCCUGCUGCUCCUAGCUACCGCUGCUCCUUGCUGAUGCCGCCGCCGCUUCCCACUAGCGCCGUCACUCGCCGCGGCCCGUACUUGCUAGCUGCGGCCCCGGCGCCACGCUUGCCGCAUCCUGGCCAUGCCACGGCCAUAGCCAUGUGCAUGUGUUUGCUUGUGCGUGAUGCACAUCCACACAGUGGCACGACUGGGCCACUGCCACAAGGGGCUAGCCCAAAUUAGAUUAGCUCUAAUCAUCAAUUAGUUAGGUUAAAUAUUGUUUAGGUAAGUUGCUAACCUAUGACUAGUGGCCCCCAUGCUAAUUAAUCUAAUUAAUUAGAAUAGUUUAGGUGCUGCCUAUGACAUGUGGGCAACACCCUCCCCUUUUAACUAGUCAUUUUGACUUGGUCAACUCGAAUUAUUAUUUAAUUCCAAGAAUUUUCAUAAAACGAUAAAUCUUUGAAAAUUAAUAGAAAAUUAACCGUAACUCGGAUCGAAAAACUUUGUACAUGAAAGUUGCUUAGAACGACGAGACGAAUGCGAUACGUGAUCCCUUCGCCCGCCACACGUUCCUAGCAUAGCGAACCUGCAAACUUUCCCCUCCGGUUCAUCUAUGUGACAGACGUCCGGAACCGGGAAAACUUUCCCGGAUGUUUUUCCUCCUUCGCCAGUAUCGCCAAGCACUGUGUUAGAACACCUCUAGCCCCGCUUAUUGUCUUGUUAUGCAUAUGUUUGCGUGGAUUUACUUUUUCUUCCCUCUCUUCUCUCUGGUAGACUCCGAGACGGCUGCCGAUGCUGCUAUAAUCGACAACGUCGACGAUGACCCUCCUUCUUGUCUGAGCAACCAGGCAAGCCCCCCCUUUGAUCAUCCCGAUAUCGCCCAUUCUAUACUCUCAUGCUUGCAUUAGAUUUUGCUACUGUUAUUGGUUGCUCCUAUUCUGAUGCAUAGCCUGCUUUUGUACCUGCUUAUUGUUACCUACCUGCUUAUACUAAACUUCUUAGUAUAGGUUGGCUAGUGAUUCAUCAGUGCCCCCCACUUGUCCUUGUUGCCCCUGGUUCAUCAUCAACGCCUCGAUCGACGUGAUCGACGACCAGAGCCCGACACCUCACAUCACAUCACGCCCCUUUGGUUGCUCGACUCUCCAGAGCUACUAUCGAGUGCCGAGGGUGAUCCCUCAUAACGCACUCCUGAUGAUAAUUCUGUAGUGUAGCUAUUCGGUCAUGGUCAUCGAGGGUGAUUUCCUCUUUCACCAUUCCCGAUACGGCUCUGUCGUUCAACACCUCAAGAGUGAACCUCGAGGGUGGUCCCUCUUACGUUCACCUUGAUGAUUACAUUGAGUGGAAUCCACCGGGGGUGAUUCCUCGGGUUUUACCCUUGAUGUCUGGACACACGGUUACAAUGACUUUACUUGAGACCUUGGUGAAAGUCGGGCGGGCCCGGAGAGCACCCGCAAGAUGGUUACGUGGCACGGCCGCGCAUUCUAGGCACUUGUCGUAAGUCCACGAGAUGGGGCGACGGGGUCACUUUCGAUCGUGAGUCUCUGCUCGUCUCCGCAAGCUAAUAGUACACUAUGGUUUGGGUAUUUGUUCUGAGUUGGCCUCUGGCCUUUACGCACUAACCACCACGCGAGAAUAGAUAUGGGCCUCGACGUCGUGGUAUCAGUCGAAGCUUUGUCAGACGUCUAGUUCAGCAUUGUGGCCGGGCCGGAUCGUGCCAUCCACUUCACGGGUGAUGCUGGUAUCCCCUUGCGCACAACGAUUCGGAGUGCAACGGGCGAUGGGCCCAGACCCCGGAGUGCUUAGGAUGUAGACCGGCGGGGACCUCUUUGCUGAGCCUAGGUCGGGCUGCGACGUGUUGAUCUUUCGAGGGCGGGCAUUGACCACAGAAAGGUGUGUCCGGCCAGAGUGAUCGAGCGUGUUGGGUAACAUGGUGCACCCCUGCAGGGAAGUUAUAUAUUCGAAUACCGUGUCCACGGUAAUGGACGUUCAGACUUAUAUCCUGAUCUUAUACAACUACAAAUGAAUACUUGAGAUAUGUGGCUCCGGGAUUGCUUUCUCGCAGGGAGUCGAGGAAGGAUCUCUGAGCAUUAAUGUUACAACAUGCUUGUUAGUUAUAAACUGCUAUUCUUUACUCUUCUACAUGCUGUAAGAUGCUCGAAGCUGCGUGAAGAUGCUAGUCUUCGAUAGGCUAGGCCUUCCCCCUCUAUUCUGGCAUUCUGCAGUUCAGUCCAUAGAUACAACCCUUCCAUUUGAUACCAAUGCAUACUUAGUAUAGAUCUGAUGCUUGCGAGUACUUUGGAUGAGUACUCACGGUUGCUUUGCUAACCCUUUUCCCCCUUCUUUCUUCUUUCCGGUUGAUGCAACCAGAUGUUGGAUCUCUGAAGUCAGAUGUCACCGCCGAUGGAUGCUACUGCGUGAAGACCGUCGACGUCCAGGAGUAGUUAUGAGGUCCCAGGCUGGAGGCCUCGCCUCUUCGAUCGUUGUUGCUUUUGUGCUAGCCUUCUUAAGGCAUCCUUGUUUAACUUAUGUCUGUACUCAGGUAUUGUUGCUUCCGCUGACUCUUGUGUAUCGAGAUAUGUAUUCCAGCCCUCGAUGCCCCUGGCUUGUAAUAUAAAGCUUGUAUUAUUUUGAUUUGUGUCUAGAGUUGUGUUGUGAUAU
rnacentral:lncRNA from 1 species